GUUGAUUUAAACUUAGGUCUUGUUUGGUGUUGAGGUGUUAUAGCUUUUAAGCUACAGGUGUUGUGGAAAAAAGCUGCAACUAUUAAAUAAAAGUUAAUAGCUUGUAGUAAAUAUAAUUUUUAAAUAAUAAUUUUGACAAAAUUAGUAAAGAUAUAAUAAAGUUUUCAUCAUACAAGUGUAAAAUCAAAUCAAGUUAACUUUCAAGCUACAACAGCUGGUGUUUACCAAAUACUUUAGUGCUUUAGUUUUUAAGCUAUAGUUGUCCAAUUCAAUCCCAAACGGUGCCCUUCAGGAAUUGUGCUCUUUUUAUUGUUAUAUGUUAUGGCUUUUGUAUGAGUUCCCAAUCACCAGUUUGACCAGCAAUUAUUUGAAAUGUGUGGUGGUUUGAAAAGACCUUAGCGCACAUUCCGUCCUCUUUAAGUGAAAUGUGGGAACCAACCGUGGUGAAUCUUGCACAUGCUUACAGAAAGUUAAAGUAUGUUUAAAUUUAUUGGAAUAGGCUGUGUCACUUGCAUUUUCUUGUUCUAUUGCCUACUCAAGAUAUUUAUCCUUUAUUUUAUUGUGUUUUUGUUGAAUUUUACAUGAAAUAUCAUUCAGAUAUCUAGAUUUGUUUUUUUUUUUUUGGCUAAAUUUUCAAGUAGAGGAUCAUCUUUAUCUUGAUAAAUGCAUUUUAUUUUAGGGAUUCCAGCAUAGGGUAAUAAUGUAAGAUUUUUCAGUUUGCAUCGUCUGAGAUUGUGAGCAGCAUGAAGAUAUAAGAAAGAAGUAUAACCUUCCUUAUACCGUCAUGGCUGCUUAUGAUCAGCUUUGCCCAAUAAGCUUGAGAGACUACUAGGAGCCGUAGAAGUUGUCUGUAGCACUUCCUAAAAGGACUUGAUGCAAAUAGUUUAAAUAAGGAUAUGCCGGAUUAUGGAUUGGUCUACUCUCUACUGGCUACUUCAUAUGCUACCCGUUUAUAUAUUUUUCUCUUUAUGGAAGAGUACUUUUUUUUUCAUGUUUUUGUUUUUUUCCUUCUUAGUAGGCGGUGGAUUUAGGUUUAUUUCUAGUAUUGCUAAUCUAUAAACAUACAUUUGACUUAUUGUUUAUUGAACCUGAUUCUAGAAUCUAUCAUGUUUCAGGAUAUAUCAUGAGGCAAUAUCCAGUUACGAGCGAGCGCUGACGUUGUCGAAUAGAAGUUUGAGCACAAUAGAAGUUUGAGCACCUAUGCAGGUCUUGCUUACACUUACCAUUUGCAGGUAUGGUGGAUUUAUUAUUAAUUCAUUUUUCAAUGAAAACUUGUGUGCCUAUGAAUAUUCUGCUGAUGUGAGGAGUAGUUAGCAAAUUGAUCUAAGUAGUAUUUGUUAGCAAAUACUAGUUUAUUGGAUGCAUCUAAUAUUUGCAGCUUAGGGUUUAAAAAACUAUUGUCAGAUCUUCACCGUUGCGUUAAAAAAACUGCUAGAGUCUAUGGUGGCGAAUUUGUUUCUUUUGGGUCUCUUGUGCAGGAUAACUUCUCUGCGGCCAUUACAUAUUAUCACAAGGUAAACUCAAAAGUGCUCUUGCUGUUUCCUUUAUGUGCAAUAAGCUUACUGUCUAUCGUAGUCAUCCACUGUUGAAGAGACAACUCUAAUCUCGCUACAUUAUAUGGAUCAUUGAUUUGCUUUUUCAUUCUAAUCUGCAAAUCAGGCAUUGUGGCCGAAGCCAGAUGAUCAGUUUUGUACCGAAAUGUUAAGUUUGGCUCUUGUUGAUGAAGAUCGCCAUGGCAUUGACCCCAAAAUCGAAUUUGAGUGUAAUUUGUUAUUCAUACCUAUAACAGUUUAAUUAUUUUGGUAUUGGUGAAGGGCUUUUAUUGUAUAAGCUCAGGGGCGUCAUCUUCAUCUAUAUUCUACCUUUUACAUUAUUAAUUUAUUUCCUCAUUUGUUGAAAUCUACUUGGCUUAGAAGUGAUUUAAAUUGCUUUCUUUCAUGGAACCAUUUUCUUCACAGUUUUUAUUAUUUACCACCAAACAGUUAAGUCUAGGGAAAUUUACAAAAAGAGCCAAAAAAAUUAAGCAUUUUUCAACUUUAACCCCCCCCCCCCCAAAUUUUUUCUAUCAACAUUAGUCAAAUCACCAAAUUGUGGACGAAAUUACCCUCAGCAUUCUCACGUUUCCCUCAAGCAAAUUCCUCCCCCUCUCACCAAAAUCUCAUCACCGGAAUCCUGUAUACAUCGUCGGCGGCAUAGAUCGGCAGUGGAGGAAGUUGUCGGCGGCUGAAACAAGCUAAAUCACGUUGAAAAUCUUCGGAGAUCUCCAAAAUCAAAGACAAAAAUUGGAAACCUUAGGUGAGUUGUUAUUGUCGUUGUUGUUGUUGUUGUUGUUGUUGUUGUUGAUGUUGUUGUUGUUGUUGUUGUUGUUUGGGCUGUUGUUGUUCUUGUUGUUGUUUGGGUUGUUGUUGUUGUUGUUAUUUGGGUUGUUGUUGUUGUUGUUGGUGUUUAAUGGCGGUGGUGGGUGAGAUGCAUGUGGGAAAGGGAAGGGAAGAGAAAGGGAAGGGAAAGGGAAGUGAAGGGGAGCGCGAGGCCGCGGCUGUUGCACGCGAGAUGCUCAUCUCGCGCGCGCGAGGCCGCGCCUAACGCACGCGAGAUGCGCAUCCCCCUCACGCGAGGCCGCGCCUGUCGCAAGCGAGAUGCGCACGAUACGCUCAUCCCGCGUGCACGGAUGGGCAUGCCACGCACAUUCCGGAUGAGCGUGCUGCGCGCAUUCCAGAUGAGCGUGCCGCGCGCAUCUCGCGGGCGACAGGCGCAGCCUCGCCCACGAGAUGCGCAUGUCGCGCGCGAGACGCGUGCCAGCCUGCGCGCUUGGCGCAGCUCUUGGUGCCUGUCGCACCCCCGUCGCACCAAGAGACAGCUCGUUGUUUGGUGUUGCCUUUUUUUUUUUUUGCUUUUGUUCAUAAUUUAUUAACAUAUAAUACUUUUAACUUGUACUAGAUAAAUGGGCAAAUCAAAAAUAGCAUUGCAUAACCCACCCGGACCGACGAAAGAACGAGGAAUGAUGAAGAUACCUUAUGCUGAUCACUUUCCCGGGCGUAUCACGAGUAUGUGCAAAUUAGAUGUCGUUGUUAAUGUCAUCUGGGAAAAAUUAACAAAGCAACAGUUGCAACUAUUCAAAGACAAUAUAUUUGGGCAUUUCUUACAGUGCCGAAGCUAUCCGUUCAGUGGCGCAAUUGUGCACAAUAUAUUGCUUCGGCAAGUGUCCCAUGGCGCUGGAAAUGAAUAGAAUGAGUUAUGGUUUCAAGUUGGCGACCAUUUAAUAUGGCUAUCGAUUGGAGAGUGGUGCCUAGUAACGGGACUUUGCUAUGGCAAAAAUGUCGUCCUGACGAAGCAUAAAACAAUGCAUAGGUUACUUAAGAAGUACUUUGGAGGUAGGAAUCGAUAUAAAUCUUGGCCAAUUCGAGGAAAGAUUUAUGAACUUAGACUUUAAGACUAUGGAUGACACCGAUGCGCUAAAAAUCGUCAUGUUUUACUUUGCUGAUAGACCACUAAACGGAAGAAAAGAUCAUUGUCAAAUCAAUUUCAAGUUGCUUAAUAAGGUAGAUGACAUAAAUCACUUUCGAAGUUGUUCGUGGGGUCGUUUGUCAUAGGAAACAAUAUAUAAAAGCAUUAAUAAUGCAUUGAACGGCACAGCCAAUAAAUUUAAGAGGGCAAGCGCAGAAAAUCCCUUGCAUAGAAUUAAGAAAUACAAUUUUUACGACUUUACGUCUGCAGUGCAUGUGAGUGAAGAAUUUUUUUUUAUAACUUAGUUUUGUUAUAAUAAUUAUUUAAUGACACGUUUUUUUACUUCAUAUCUUUCCUUGUUGAAGGCAUGGAUUUUUGAAGCGAUUGGAGGACUACCAUCAUAGUGGGUGGUGAAAAUUAGGAGGAAGGGUCCUCAGAUCGUGCGAUGGAAGCCCAUGGCUUCUUCAAAUAUAAACUUCGGCGAAGUCUAUAUAUACCUCAACGAGCGUCUUGAAGUCAUUUAUAUGUAUGUAUGUAUAUAACCGUUAAAUAAUAGAUGGUUAUACUAAUUGAAAAUUUGGUAUUCUUUACGAUAGGAUGGCACCAUUUUCCAAACCCUCAAACCGGAUGCAAAUGAGAAAGCCACAAAUUAUUGGAAGACCGUCGAGGAUUACGUGCCAUAUUUGCCAAGUUAGGUCCGUAAUGUGGGUAUCCUUUAUAGUAUCAUUGAAAACUGGAUGCAAAGUCAUUUAUAUGUUUGUUUUUUUUUUGUAUUUACUAUUUUCUGUUUUACUUGGUGCAGCACCAGCCUUCAAUCAACGAGGUGGAUCAUGACACCACGAGCCAAAUAGGACUGCAGCAGAGUCAUGUUGAGGAUGACUGUGCUGCCGACGACCAUUAUGAAUCCGCACACGAUUCAGAUGAUAGAAAUGAGCCGGAGGUAACUUUUUUCAUCCUGAACAUUUUGUUUAAUCACAUAUACCUAAUUUCAGCACUUUGUCAUUACUUUCUUAUUUUGUAAUAAUAAGUAAGGACUAAGUUUCGCAAUGAUUAUUUCGUUCAACGACUGGACAAAAUAGAGUCUUCCAUUCACGAGUUGUGGUCGGAACUUCAGACUGGACACAGUUCCAUUAACGAACUGAGGUCAGAACUUCUGGCAGAACGCAGAGAAGCACAACAAUACAGAGAAGCAGUCAUGGGUUUAUGGCUUCGUUUGGCGCGGGUUCUUCAAAGGGCACGUACGUUGAUUCUCCGUUUGGCCCCUCGCACACAGUGAGCAAGUUUCAUAUGCUUUUGUUAUGUUAUUAUAAUUUCAAACCCGAAAUUAUUUUAAUAUGUUCAUCUCCUCGAAACAACAAGCCCCAGAUGGCUAUGGUCCAAACGUUGAUGCUAGCUACGGUACGCAUACUGAUGCUGGUAAUGACGACGAGCACACCCCUAUGUCGUUGUACAGUUUAUAUGGGGACAUAAGUGGCGACAGUGUACAGAUAUUCACGGAGGUACCUCCCGGUGUUUGUAAGUUUGGCCGUCCGUACUGACCGUCGUAUAUCAUUGGCAGUCCUUACUUCAUUCCUCCUUUCAAGAGAGUUAGGAAUGCCAGGCCUAUGAAAUUGAUGAAAUUGAUGAACAUUACAGACUAUGAAAUUGAUGAAAGAUCGAGUGUGGAUAUGAAUCCACUUAGGGGAUUAGAAGAUUCAAGGCUAUGUGAGAAGUUUGAUCAGUGGUUUGCCGGCAAAUUUUUCGUGGAUCAGCCCGUCCAACAGUCCCGAAAUUUCUUUGAAAUACUCAUGGGCAAUGCUUUGAUGGGGUGGCUUGGUGACGAGGUAAGUGUGUUUAAUGGUCAGUACAUUACAAUAUUGUUCAUAUUUCUGCUAGCAUGAAUUAUGUUCUAAAUUUACUUGGUUUAAUCCCUUCACAACAUAUUCACAUGUAUUACCGCUUGAUUAGCGAGAAGCAACGUCGGUUUUCAAAUGCACUACCGCAGCGUGUCACACAUACAGAUACAUACUUUUGGGCAUGUUUACGAACUCUAUAAUCAUUAACUAUAAUUUUGAUAUUUUAAAUAUCUCGAAAUGUUAUUAAUUUUCUACUCAUCGUAUAAUAGGUGUUCCUAAAGCAAUUAUGGAACAAUGGUAGUUGUGAUGUCCAUUCAUUACAAUAUGGCAGCAACUUGAACUGAUAUAUGGAUGGGCGGAAAGAUAUUAUGUCCAAACCGUUUACGGACGUUGAUAUGGUAAGAAUUGUCACUCAAUCUUAUGGUAAUUGUGUAUAAAAUAUACUAAUUUAGUAUUUUUUUAUGUAGAUAUUCAUCCUUGUGAAUUUGGGCGGCGAUCAUUGGGUACUAGCUCAAGUAGACCUUCGCGCGAAGAGGGUGCGGAUUUACGACUCGUUGGUUAUCUUUCGCGAUGACAAAACAUAUUUGCGUAAAUUCAAACCUCUUUAGGUCGUCUUCCCUCAAUGGCUACAAGAUGUUGGAUUCUACAACAUCUGACCUGAGCUGCAGAAUGCCAACCCUUGGAAAGUAAGAAUCGUUAAGGAUGUGCCCCAACAAGAACCUGGAAGUGGUGAUUACGGCGUAUUUAUGUUGAUGUUUACAAUGUAUUUGAUGUUCGGGCUAAAACUUGAUUUUGAUAGUAGCCACGGGCAUUACUUUAGGAAGAAAAUUGUUGUAGAUAUAUUCACUGGCGAUAUUGCCUUGUAAGUCAUUGUAUUGUGUUCAGACUUGAUAUAUGGAUGUAGAUUAUUUUUUUAAUAGAUAUAAACUUUUGAUAUAUUCAUAUAUUUAGCUAUAAGUAAUUUUGAUCUACUUUAAUACUCAUUAUGCAAAUGAACAUAAAAUAAUAUACCUCAUUACAUAUAAUUGUAAAAUAAAUUAUAAUAAGAGUUCAGAAUUUAUAAUUAGUUACAAUGAUACAGUCAGUUUGGAUUCGACACAAUGAGAUUUUUACAUCUCUUGCGGUUAUGACCUGGUUGGUUGCAUCGACCGCAUCUCACAGUUCUUCGGUUAACAUUCUCACCGAUAGAAGGAAUUCUUAACUCUGGACGACGACCAGGUGGUGGUGCUUCGAUCGGUGGGUUAACUCUGAUUUCCUGGAUUUCUUCUGGAAUGUCCCAAUCUGUCAUGUCACCAACCAACGCCACUGGUUUUGCAUAUGCCAUGACCAAUGAAUAUUUAAAGUAAUAAUCAGAGCAAAGACUUAUGUAAUCCACACGGACAGUCAGACAAGCAGCAAUUGCAUGCGCACAAACAAGCUGAUCGAGUUGGAAUACUCUACAGGAGCUAGUUCUUUCAUGAAUGUCAACUAUCCCUUCCUUCAUACCUUCACCCAAAACGUGAAAUCGAUGCUGAGACACAGGCCGAAUGGUCAUUCUUUCGGCCAAAAUUCUCCUUUCUCCGACUAUCUCAUCUGCCUACGUCCUUAGACGAGUGCUCAUCGAUUCAGCCACAAUUUUCCUAUCAUAAAGCCAUUGUUGUAAUAUUUUUCUAAAGUGAUCAAUAAGAUAAGUUACAGGAAAUUUCGGUGGUUCCCUAAUUAAAGAAUUCACGCUUUCCACAAUGUUGGUGGUAAGUAUAUUGUAUCUCCUACCUUUAAAUUCAAACCUUGCCCAAUUACACGUACCCACAUUAUUCUCUAAGUAAUCAGCCGUGCCUGAGUGGAGCAUCCACAACCCUUCAAGUUGUCUUUUAAAUUCUUCGUGUCCAUAUGCCUUUGCUGCAUUAAUAAAGGCUGGCUCGAAUUGAUCCCAAAUAGCUUUGGACAUCCUAAAUUUAGACUUAAUGUUGCCUUUGACAUGGUAAAAAAAAAAACUCCAUGAGCAGCAGUGUGAAAUGCUUUUAAAAUGGCUCUUUUGAUGGCAGUGCAUCGAUCAGAGAUAAAUACUAACUCUGUUCUAUCGCCAAUCACUCCGUGUAACUUCGUCAUAAACCAUUCCUAAGCAUCAUUAUUUUCUGAAUCCAUGACCCCAAUAGCUAACGGAUACAGUUGAUUAUUACCAUCCAGACAUGCUGCUAUAAACAUGCUUCCACGAUAUAGCCCCUUUAAAUGAGUGUCAUCUACAGCGAUCACAGGCCUAAUGUACUGCGUGAAGCCCUUGAUGGAAGAUCCAAGCGCAACAAAGUAAUAUAAGAAAUUAUCAUCUCCAUCCAGCUAAAGGUAUGUCACUGUGCCCUCAUUCGCUUUGGUCAAAACGUGAGAGUAUUUGGGAAAUAAGUUGUAUGACUUUGCAGGGUUCCCUCGUACUAUUUCAAGACCGACUUCUUUAGCCCGAUAUGCUUGCUGAUAUGUUAAUUGGACCCCGUAUUCUUACUGCAUGUCUGCUCUAAUGUCAUUCGGCGUGUAUAUCCGUUUAGCUUGAAUAAAUUUAUCUGCAAUAAGAUGGCCAACAACCCGACUCUUAACUUGACGGAGGCCACUAGGUAAAACCUUAUUAGAGCACGUAUGAACAUUGUCAACUCUUCUCACUAUCCAAGGAACAUUCUGCUCAUUCGAAUCUUUCGUUGCGCAAAGAUGCCAAUUACAUGAUUCCGAAGAACAAUUAGCCUUAAAGCGUGUCGUUAUGGACCGUGCAAUCUUGAAAUCAAACUUUUCCCGCAAUGACACUUUGUGCAAUUCCAGUAUUAACUCAUUCUACUCAGCGAAUAACUUUCCCACACCAAUGUCAGCAGAAUUACAGCUUCUAACUAAGUCUGGGGCAACCAAGUUUAAAGGCAAAACUGGAGCAAGACUCACCAGGGGAUUAACUGUUGUCCUCCUCCUCGAACGGGCCAUCAGAGGAAUAGGUCGGUUGUCUCUAUUGUUAAUAGGAAUAUCAUACUGAUGCUCAUCCUCAUCAUUGAUAGGAAUAUCGGAAUGACCAAUGCCUAUAUCAUCAACUUCAGUAUUGGAGUUCAUGCCUUGCACACUAUUGAACGGUUCCAAACAAGCAUUAUCAGCUUCUGUGUUUUUGGUGUCAUAACCAAGAUCAUCAUAACUGCGGAACUCAUUAUUGUGAAAUGGAGAGUAAUGUUGCCCUAACGAUGUCCCUAAUGGUAACACAUUUUCUUCAACAUCCGCUAACAUAAUGCCAUUAUCAUCAAUAGUGUCAUUGUUUUCGUUGACUGGUGAGUAACGUUGCUGGAACGACAUGUGUUGUGGUAACACAUCUUCCUCAAUAUCGGGGACAGACUCGUUUACUCUAAACGAAGUUUCACUUUCCACAAGUGGCUCAGGAUUUUCGGCCGGAACUCGAGGAUAUGUGGUGACAAAUAUAGGGAGGCAUCCAUAAUUGACCACAUCAGAGGCCAUGUGCAAUACAACAUUAACCAUUUCAUCAUUAAAUAUGUCCAUAGGUAGUGAACAUGCACGAUAUAUUGUGUUACUAGACCUCAAAGUUGUCUUCAUCAUCAAACUAUAUUCAUUAGGAUUUAUCUGUAAAACUUCAUACACCCUUGCCAGAAAUUGCUCAAACGUACAAUCUUUCCGAACUAAAAAUGUUGUAUUCUUCGCAUUCACGUACUCCGUACGGCCAUCUGCUAACAUCUCCCACCAACCGUCGUAACAUAAUUGAAGUACAACGGAAUCCAUUAAACCUAAAAAUUAUAAAAAAAAACAUAAGAGAUAAGAUUUCACGCUACAAAACCUAGUAAAGUGAAUAUGCAGUACAUUUAUGUGGAUGAAAUGAAGUAUACAAUUUUGGAUUUGCUUCGUCUCAUCGUAAGCUUCAAAACGAUAUAUUAUACGCCUAAAACGGACACAUCUAGCCCAAGUUAUUACUUUCGAAAAAUAGCUUAAAUUUAGUGAGACAGGCAGUGGGACAUGUGCCUGUCUCACAUAAAACCAGUGGGAACAAGUGAGACAGGCGCCUGUCUCACAUAAAACCAGUGGGUUUAUAUGUGCGACAGGCGCCUGUCCCACUUGCCCGUCACACAUAUUUUGGUGAGACAGGCAAGUGGGACAAGUGCCUAUCUCACAUAAAUCUGCUGGUUUUAUGUGAGACAGGCGUCUGUCUCACUUGUUCUGGGCUUUUGUUUUGCUCGAUUUUUUAGGAGUUUAAAUGAUUGAUCUUCAUUUCUCAACUCAAACUAACUACUUUAACAAGUCACAUUAUUUUGUUAAUGAAAAAUAACAACGUUUGCAAUAAAAAACGCACUUCAAUUUCGAACUCAAAUGAUAAAAUCAAUAGAUUAAAAGUUUAGGUUAUGGUAAGAGUAUAAACUAACCUUAAGAAGCUCUCCAAUUGAUAAUUAUAUCUUCAAUUAUGUAAUGCUUGUUUGAUGAAAUUUGUUAAUUUAUUGAGAGUGAUGGAGUUUGUUGAGUAAUGAAGUUUGUUAAGUUGAAAAGGGAAAAGUGGUGGAAGUGCUGGAAUUGAAAAGGGAAAAGUGGCAUGCUUUGUAAAUUUGAUGAAAGUGAUGAGGGUAAUGUAGUACAAAAAUAGGGUGUUUGGCUAGUUAUGAUAGAAAAAACUUUGAGGGGUUAAAGUUGAAAAACGCUUAAUUUUUUUGGUUAUUUUUGUAAAUUUCCCUUAAGUCCAUUAAGAAAUUAAUGAUGUCACAUGGAUAUUUCAAGAAUUUUAGUUUAUUAAGCUGGAAGUAUUAUAAUAUUUACAAUUUUAUCAAUUGAUCAAUUUGGAUAAAUAAAACAACCAAUUGAUAAAAGUAUUAUCUCUUUGUGUAUGUUAACUUUAUUUUUUUAUUGAUUUGGAAGAUUAAACUUAUUUUCACAAUUUAGGGGUAAACCAGACUUUUAGUAUAAAUUCUAUUAAAAUUUUGUUAUUUUAGCAAGUAAAAUGUAAUAGUUGGAAUAUUAAACUGUAAAAAUAUAAUUAUUAAAAAAAUUUACUAAUAAAGUGAUAUAUUAGACGAAGUUAGGCGAUAAAGAGAUAACAUCCCUCUUAGGAAUUAAUUAUAUUAGUUUACAACCUUGUAAUCCUUUGUUAAGCAGCAAAGUUAAAUAUCUUUUAUUGAGUAUUUUUGUUUCCUAUUUAACACAUGCAAUCUUUAUUAAAUGAAUAAAGAUUUUUUUUAAAUAAAUAAAUAAAAGAGGAGCAAAGCCGAAAUCAAAAGAGUUAAAUUUCGUCGAGCCUCGUGUACUCAGUUUAGAAUUCUAAAUUCACAAGUCUAAUUAGGUUUAUAUUAUUAUUAUGAUAUUAGUUAGAAAGGCAGCUAGUAAGCAAGUCGAAUAAGACAGCUAUUAUUAUUAUUAUUAAGUUUUUUUGGCCUCCUGCCUUUCCUCUUAUGUGAACUUUGGUGAACGACUAAAGAAAGCAUCAGCUAAGCUUCUGAGUCUCAUCCAAAAAUUAUUGGUUUAUACCAAGAUUCCUAAUUGCUACCAUUUGAAUUGUUUUUCAACUUCUAGUUCUCAUAAUUUUGAGAACAAUGAAACAUGAAAAUAAUUGCUUUCUUUGGUGAUUGAUUGAUGUGAUUCUAUUUCAUUGGAUCAUUUUCUAUUUCAUUAUUAUUAUUAUUAUUAUUAUUGUGGUCGUCGUUUGUUUAGGUCACUUUGUAGUGUAGAUCCCGAUAAGCAAUGAAUUUUUUUGUCAUUUAUUCUUUUAGCAACUUUAAUAUUUUUCCUUAAGACUUUUCGUUUUCAGUGGAAACAGAGAUGCACGCGAGGUAGUUGUUAAUUUAGGAGUUGAGUUGAGUUUUUAUUGAGUAUUGAAUUAAUAUUUAUUAAAUAAAAGAAUAAAAGGAUAAAAUUGUAAAAUAAAUUCUUAUCAUUAAUAUAUUAUUCAGUAAAAAUUGAGUUGAAUAUUAAAUAUAGGUUAUAUUGUAACUUUCUUUUAAGUUAUAUGAUUUUAUAAUUAAAUCUAGAGUCGUGCUAAAUUACCGGGUGAGUAAUUUACGACCCAACCAUUUUGUACAAAUAUGAAUAAUUAUAAGAGUGGAUCCAGGCUGCAAGUUACUACUGAUGCUUUAACUUAGCGAAAAACCUUAAGUCUUUUUUUUUUGGAUUAUUUUCUCCAUUUCGAUAACACCACUCGAACUUUAGUUGACCACGUGUCAACAUUUCAAUGGUAUCAUAUCAAAUUAUUAGCUGUGAAUCAUUGAGUAUGAAAACAUACCGGACCCACAACUUUUGCUUUUACGUGAACGUGAAUCAGAUUCUUGGAAGCUGUGAAGUGGGGACUGAUCGUUUAAAUUAUUUAAAGCCAGCAAUAAUUGAAGUUUUAUUUAUUUAUUUUUUAUUUUUUAAAUGAGGCAAUAAUUGAUUAUUACUUCGGGAGGUUGCCAAUUUUUUCCCUAUAGUAAUUAAUAUAUACCAUUUUUUUUUUUACUGUUUUUAUAAUGGCCAAAAACCCGACAGCAUAAGUUUAUAAUAUUACCUUUAUUUUCAACUACUCUUUUAUUUAUAUUUAUUAUAAGUUAAAUAAAUCACAUAAAUAGAAACAAAAUAAAAAAUUAAAUAUGAAAAAUAAAAAAUAAAUGUUUUGAUAUGAGCAAAAAAAUUAAUAAUAAAUUUUUUUCUUGUACUUAUUUAUUUUGUGAAAAUUUUCUUAUAAUAAAUAUAUAAGAAACUUAUUAUAAAAUGAUAAAAAAAUUAUUAUAAAAAAACUUGAAUGACAAAUAAAAAUUUAUUAUAAGAUAAAUAAUAAAAUAUUUUGCCUAUACUUUUUACAUUUAAUUUUAAAAUAUUACAAAAUGUUUAUUAUAAGAAAAUAUUCACAAAAUAAAUAAUUAUAAGAAAAAAAUUUUAUUAUUAUUUUUUUGCUCAUAUCAAAACAUAUAUUUCUUAUUUAAUUUCUAUUCAUGUAAUUUAUAAUAAAUAUAAAUAAAAAAAUAACUAAAAAUAAGGGUAAUAUUGUAAACUUAUGGUGUUAGGGGAUUUUUAAUAAUUAAAAAAAUAAUUAAAAAAUACAUGAUAUAUUUUAAUUACUGUGAGGGGAAAAGUGGCAAUCCCCUUAUUACCUCCACCAAAGCUUUAUGAAAAGGGAGCUGCUACCUUGUUUUCCACGGCAUAAGACGAUCGCUCUUAAUUUUAAAUGACUCAAGUUGACUUACCGUUGAACUGGAAGGACAUAAAGCGAAUGACCUUCUCAUUUUCCAUCUGCCACAAAAAUUUAUUUAAAAAAUAAGUGCAUAAACUAAGCCGGUCUUAACGUUUAAUUUUUAACCAAUAUAUAUAUAUAUAUAGAAAAAUAAUAUUUACAUUCUAAGGUUUAGGAAAAUAAUCACAAAAACUCUUGAGUUUUUAAUAAAAGACACCGAAAUUCAUUUAUGAUUAUAAUACCCUUUGACUCUAUAAAUCUCUAAAAAUAUAACUCUAAAAUUUUAUAAUAAAUAGAAAUAUGGCAUUAAAAUAAAUGUAAUAAUAUAUAUAUUUCAAAAUAAUUUUAAUAUUUAAAAAUAUUUUAAUAUUUUUAAUCUAUUAGACCUCUUUUAUUAUAUUAAAGCAAUUUUUAAUAAUAAAUAGAAACAAAAUAUUAAAAUUAAAAUUAUUUUGGCUAUUAUGUAAAAGUUAAUUUUAAUAUUAUUAAUAGGGGGAUUUUUUUAAUUGUAAAAUCUAUUUAACCCAAAGAUUUAUUUAAAAUCUUUUUCAUAUUACAAUUAUAUUAUUAAAAUAAUUAUAAUAAUUUAAAAUUUUAAUAUUAUUUUAAAUGUAAAAAAAAUUAUUAUUAGUCUACCAAAUAGAUUUAUAUUAUUUAUAUUAAAUUUGUGUUAAUUAAAAACUUUUAAAAUCAAUUUUUUAAUUACUAUAAUCAAAGGGUAUUAUGGGUAAAAAAGAGUUUUUGUAUCCUUUUUUUUAAAACUUGAGAGUUUUUAUAACUAUUUUCUCAAAUUUGGGAAAUGUCAUUGUCCUUUUUCUUUUUUUAUACGAACUUGGAUCUUAGUUUUUUACAAGUAUUUAAAUAUUAGUACGUGAAAUGUAUUUUAAAAUAUCCAUCAAUUUAUUAUUUCUUAAAGUACAUUUUAUUAAUAAAUAGCAUAAUACACACGAAGGACCACUGAUAUUGAUGUUCAUACAUCGGAAUCAAUUUUCUUUAUGGGGAGUCUACGUCAUGAUUUCUAUGUCACGAAUUCUCCAAAAUAUUAUGUAUAUCUUGAUUUCUACCUUUUAUGAGGAGUCUACGUCAUGAUUUCUACCUUUUAUUAAUAAAUAGCAUAAUACACACGAAGAUAGGGGUGAUCGCGGAUCGGAUUUUAUGGAUUGGACAUCAAUCCAUAUCCGAUCUACGAUUUUACGGAUUAUAAAUUUUCAAUUCAAUCCAAUCCAUGAAUUGGUGAAAUUCAAUUCAAAUCCAAAUACAAUCCAUACAUCUGCAGAUCGGAUACGGAUUUGACCAAAUUCAUAUUCAAUCCUUCAUUUUGCGGAUUAGUUUGCGGGCUGAAAAUUUUUAAUACUGUCAAAUCCACAAACUAACUAAAUAAAAAAAUAAUAUAAAAAUAAUUUUACUACCGAUCAAAUUUAAAAUUAAAUAAGAUUUCAAUAAAUUAAUUGUUUAAAUAAAGUUAGAAAAUACAUUUAAAGUUUCAAAAUAAAACACACCAAAACGAAAAAAAUCUUAUUUGUUUAGAUCGGUACAUUUUUUUUUAUGCGAAUACCACUCUAUUGGUGGGGGGUUAGGUAGGACCCCUACUUGGCAUUUAGAACAGAUAAUGAAAAACACAUAUGGAGGGGGACAUAAACCAAAACCUCCAAUCUAGAGAAAUAAAUAUAACAGUAAAAGAAAUGACUUAGGCAUAGCCUAACAUAAGAAGAAAAAGAGUAAUGCAGACGGUGACAAUAUCUCUUACGAUACUUGCGGCCGGCAAGUAAUUUAAUGUCAUUUUUCGAGUGACCGACAACGAUAAAAUCAGGGCUAGAGUCAAUUCUCUCAGAAUUCUCAAGAGCAGACAGAAAAUAGUCAUUAUUCGCCAAAUGUUCGUCAGAACUAUCAUCAUUAUCAGUAUGAGAAUUGUAAUGCCUAAAAUAUGUGCUGGAUGCUCGAUGAAGCUAUAUAUUAUACUCACUUGGUUCUCAGAUCCUAGAAUCAUGAGUCGUGACAUCCUGGCCAGUCGGCUCCUGAAUGGAAGUAGAGUUUGUAGCGUUAACUUGGUUCUCCGUAGGUACAAUCGGAGACCCCACAUCUGCAAUUUGCUCAGUGAUGGAAGGCUCAAGUCGUGGAGUAUCCAAGGGUUGUGGAGUAUCUGACGGCAGAACUUCUGACUUCUUAUUAUCUACUCUGGUUUGCCAAUUCCCACUGGGUCGCUGGGGAAGGACCCCUGGAUUGGCCACGAAACACGUCUCAAUGGUAUGGCCAAGGCGCUUGCAGGAAGCACAGUAGAGUGGGAUUUUCUAAAAAAUUACACUCUGCCAAAAUCCAAAAUCUCUCACACCGAUUCGUAUUCGUGGCAACGAAGGUUGAGUGACAUCAUACUCCACUAACACCCUAGUUACAGAAGGGCGAUCUAAAGAGGCAGUAGCUUGGUCAAUUCGUAAUGGCUUGCCAAUAGCUGAUGUAAUAGAAAAUAAUGCUUCCUUACAGUGCAUAAAGUGGAAAGCAAGUAAGGAAAUGAAAUCCAUACUGGAACUAUAGGGGACUCCUCGGAACAUCGAAAAUCGAUGGUCUAUUUAAAAAUUCUCAUGGCACUCUCAUUGAUGUACCAUGUCUGUCUAACCCGUAGGCGGGAGUAGUCCUCCUCAACAUCCAAUUGAAUUAACACAUGUCGAUUAUCUAAAAAGGACACCUUGGAAGUUCCCUUCAAUCUCAUAGUAUUAAAAAAAUUUCAAAUUAAUUCCAUACUAGGUCUAUUGUAGGAAAAUUUACCUACCAAUGUCAGCUUGAAAGGAAUAGGCAUCGCUUGAAUUUCCGCAGUGGAAAAUUGCGCUUUAGGCUCUCCCUCGAACGAAGUGACAAUCUUGAUUGGAAUCGACGAGCUAGUUGGGACGUUCAUAAUAUCCACCAAAGAUUUUUUAGUGGGUUUAUUUUGAUUCGGAUUGGGGACAGAUUCUAAAACCGAGGCAUGAGAAUGUGCGGAUGUGGGCUGAAUGGUAUUUUAGAUUAGCGGAUUAUUUUGGGGGUUAUUUAAUAAGAUCGGAGAGGGCAUUUUGGAGGGCUGGGUGUUGGGGUUUAUUUCGAAAACGGAUUGGGCUUGGGUUUGACUAGUGGGAAAGGUUAAUGGGGCAUGGGAAGAGCUAGUGGGAGACACACAUGAGGAACACAAUUCAUGUGCUAUCGAAAGUGUCUUAUGAGCAUGGGAAUUACACGCGUGCAGACUUUUAAGCUGGUGUUGGGUGGAUGUUUGCUGACCAUGGCUGGGUUCUGUGGUGAUUGCUUGCAGCUGACUUUCUGUUGACAGUUGUAGCUGGCCGUGAGCUUGUGAUUUGCAUGGGGUUUUUUGUCGUGUGGGAGUUGUUUGUGUAGGUGGUGAUUGUGGCUGGCUGGUGGUUCUAUCUUGGACCGAAUCUUGAGACAAAUGGCCAUGGAGUACGGGCUGGUUUUGAUGGUGUAUAGGGGCUGUGACAGCAGGAUGAACUCCCGAAUGGUGUGUGGUUUGUGUUGGCUACGGGCUAGAGGCUGGUGGCUGGUUGGUUUGAGAUGAAAACCCAUUCACCAAGUCUGGUGGUGAAAGCUUGGAGUUGGCUGUUGAAGAGGUGACGAUGGCGGUUGGAGAUGGUUGUUGAAGGGACGACGAUGGCGAUGUGUUUGUAGAAGUUGAGGGCUGUUGGGGUUGAGCUGGCGUUUGACUCCUGUAUUUUGAGUGAGUUUGCCUUUGGGAUCUCCUAAGAAAAGGAGGUUCAUUUCUGGAAGUGAGGGGAGGAGCCGGUGGUGGUUGGUUGCUAUUAUCGUCAACCGGCUAGAUAAGAAUCGACUUGUCUCGAGUAUUGGUUUCUUCCCCUUCUUCUAGUGAAUGGAGGGGUGAUUUUGCUACCUCACGGCAGCAUUCAUAGUCAUUGAUGCCACCAUUGAUUGCCAUUUCUUUUUGCUCACUUAUGGCAUUAGGUGUGAUUGAAGGUUGUUGAAGUUUCGAGAGGAUAGCGGCAGUGGACAAUGGUGGUUGGUUUGCAUGGGGUUGGAUUUGAGAUGGAGGGUUUGCAUGAGAGUGGUUUGGUUUGAUUCGCGGUGAUGGCAACUGGACGUCCGGUGGCGGUUCAUUUGUGAAUUUUGGGGGUCGUCUAAAUGAUUUCUUAGGAGGGUUCGAACUCCUAAUAAUUUGUUCUUCUGCAGAGAAGGUGUAGACUGGUGAUGGCCGGUUGCCAUCAUCGGCGGCCGGAGAGGCCAUUAAGGCCAUUUAAGGCUUUUGAAGGGGGAAGGGGGAGACAUGUAGUUGAUAUUAGCAAUUAGAUCAGUAUAUGGAAAUUAACUAUUUAAGAAGUUAUAUUUGUUUAUUUAGUUGUUUUUAUUUUAUAUUAUUAUUGGAUAAAAUAUAAUAUAGUGUUAAUGUAACUAUAUUUUAACUUAUUUAUUUACUAGUAAAUACUAAUAUUAUAUUUACAAGUUUUAUUUUUUAAUUAAAUAAAUACUUUUUAUUUUUUUGCGGAUUCGCAGAUUUUUGCGAAUUUACAGAAGUAGAUCCAUAUCCAAUCCAUCGAUUGCGGAUUAUCAAAUUUUCAAUCCAAUCCAAUCAACGAAUCGGAUUUCUACGGAUCAAACGGAUUGAGCGGAUCGGAUUGGAUUCUGAACACCUCUAUAUGAAGGACCACUGAUAUUGAUGUUCAUACAUCUGAAUCAAUUUUCUUUACGAGGAGUCUACGUCAUGAUUUCUACGUCACGAAUUCUCCAAAAUAUGAUGUCUCUCACUCUUAUUUAAGGCAAACCUCAUAGAGGCAAUCACAGAACAUGAAGAAAAUUAAUUUUGUUCCUAGUCCUCACUAUCUAAAAAGAAUUUUCGUUGAAGCUAUAUAUAUAUAUAUAUUGAAUCUUUUGAAAAAAAUUGCUUCCUGAGCAUAUGAUUUCUUGCUGGGUUUCUUCAAUUGCUCUUCUUGUUCAGUUGUUAAAACUUUCCAGUUUCCUCUCUGUAGUACAAAGAAUAUUUGAUCAUUGAAGUGCCACCUUCGUAGUGUUAAUUUCGGUGAUGGAGUCCGCUGCUCAAGUGAGGGAUGUCGAUGCUUUGUAUGAGCUAAUUCGACAUGAUCGAUAUUUUUUGGACAACUUCGACGAGAAACCUUUUGUCGAUACUCCUUUGCAUGCUGCUGCAAGGGAUGGAAAUGUUGAAUGGUCCAUGGAGAUUAUCAGACUAAAGCCAUCAUUUGCCAGGAAGCUAAACCAAGAUGGCUUCUCUCCGGUGCAUUUAGCUUUGCAAAAUGAUCAAACUCAGUUAGUGCUUCAGCUGAUAGAUAUUGAUCCGGACCUUGUUCGUGUCCAAGGAAGAGAAGGCAUCACUCCUUUGCAUUUCGUGUCUGAAAAAGGAGAAAUUCAUCUGUUGAGGGAAUUUUUGUCUACUUGUCCGAAAUCUCUUGAAGAUGUGACAAAUAAAGGCGAGACUGCUCUUCAUAUUGCUUUGAAAAACGAUAAGGUCGAAGCUUUUGAUCAAGCCUUAACAACAGUACGACCACCGUGGCUUGGCCCUGAAGAAGCUCAACCAUACAAUCAAAGAAUCCUCAACUUGAAGGAUAGGGAUGGCAACACUUUGUUACACAUAGCAACAUCCAAAAGUCAAGUCAAGGCAAGCUCGAAUCCACACACAUAUAUAUAGAAAUUUUUCAAUGAGGUGCAGUCACCCUCAUUUUUUUUAAUGCAGACAUGCUAUUAAAUUAUGUGAUUUAAUAGAGUCAAUUUUUAAUUCAUUAUAAAGCUGUGUAUUUUAAUAGCAUGCCUGCAUAUAGGUUAAUAGAGUGUUCAUAUGAGAAAAAAAAAAUGAGAGUGUUCACAUUAGAGAAUGACUAUAUUUAUAUAUAUAGUAUCUAAUUAAUGACCUUAUCUUCAUUUUAACAAAGUAAAGAUAUCACAAAUAAAUAAAUAAAAAGUAGUUUAACAAAGUAAGGAUAUCAUUAACAAAAAAAAGCAGUUUUCAAUAUAUUGAAAUAUGUGUUUUUUUUAAUUUUAUUUGCAUUCUUAUUUUAUUAAAAUUUCUCGUUAGGGAAGGACUAUAUGUAUAUGGUCACAAAUAAAAUUCAGUUGAAUGAUGUCUAAAUUGAUGAAUUUGUUUAUCCAAAGCAGAUUGUAAGGUGUUUAUUGAAUUGCAAAGUUGAUACAAAUGCCCGGAAUUCGGAAGGUUUGACACCUUUAGAUAUUUCAUUACUUGAUAAAACUAAAUCAGAAAACCAAGAGAUUGCGGCAAUACUGCGGGAAGCUGGAGCACUAGAGGCAACUUCACUUCCUAUUACCGACAAGGAUAGACAUUUAUCGAGGUAACAGGAACACUGCUCUUUUACUAAAUUACAGUCCAUUUAUCGAUCAUCUUUUUAAAAACAAUAUGGCAUUUUCAUACUAUGUACAUCUCAAAAAAUGUUUAAUGUCCUUCAGAAGUAAGGAUCAGAGGCUGAACGAGGCUGCUCAAGCAGGAAAUGUUGAUGCCUUGUAUGAAUUAAUAUGGGAGGACGCAUAUCUUUUAGAUCAGAUAGACCAAGUACCAUUCGUGGAUACUCCUUUACAUAUAGCAGCAUCAAUGGGGCAUAUCAACUUUGCCCUGGAGAUAAUGAGGUUAAAGCCAUCAUUUGCGAGAAAGCAAAACCAAUAUGGAUUUAGUCCCCUGCAUCUUGCUUUGCAGAAGCAAAACCAAUAUGUACUUAGUGGCGAGGAUCUUUUGCAGAAGAAACAGACCCAAAUGGUGCUUCGGCUCAUAGACGUGGACAGAAAUCUUGUUCGUGUCCAAGGAAGGGAGGGUGUAACGCCUCUACACUAUGUUGCUGAGAAAGGAAAUGUCGAUCUUCUAUGCAAACUUCUAGCGGCUUGCCCUGAGUCCAUCACAGAGGUGACAAUCCGUAAAGAGACUGCUUUGCAUGUUGCUGCAAAAAAUGACCAGUUGGAGGCCGUUGAGUGCAUGCUAGGAUGGCUUCGAUAUGUCGACAUGGAGGAUAUCCUUAACUGGACGGACGAUGAAGGCAACACUUUAUUGCAUAUCACAAUCUCCAAAAGUCAAAUAAAGGCAUGAAAUUUUUUUAAAUUUUACUUCAGUUAGUCCCUAUAUUUUCAUGAUUAUUAAUUGCAUGCAUAUAUAAAUAUAUACUUGCAGUUGGUGAGGCUACUAGUUAAAAGAGCACGUGAUCAAAUAAAUGCCCGGAACUUAGACAAUAAGACACCCAUGGACAUGGUAGAAGAACAUUUGGGAGGGAAACCUGAAUUUAAAGAAGUAACACGCAUGGUGCGCAAAGCUGGCGGUAGACAAGGGUCCUCCCUUCCUGAUGGGGAUAUUGCAGGUUACUUAAAACAAGGUUUGACAUGGCGUCGAAACGUGAUUUUGUUCCUUUACCGCUUAUCACAGCACAUUACGGAUGAAAAUCGAAGCGCACUACUUGUGGUUGCUGUAUUAAUAGCGACAGCCACAUUCCAAGCAGCGCUUACCCCGGCUGACGAUCUUCAGGGAAAUAAGUCAACUGGAACCCCCAACUCUAUUGCCACUAAUGGAUCACACUCACCAUCGACAUCGGCAUCGGCAUCAGCAUGGGCAUAUGUAACACCAUCAGGAAGAGCAAAUUCAACCGCCAUUUCUCGGGGCAAUGGAACCAGCAGCAGCAUCCCAACAAGUGACAAGAUUCUAUUCGCUCCGGGGCAAUUUUAUGGCGAUGCCAUCAGUGAUAUGAUCUCCACACUUUUCGCAUUUUCAAAUAUUUCAGCCUUUUGUAUAGCUAUGCUGGUGAUUAAUUAUAACCUCCCGUGUGGCUCUACUCUGGUAUAUCCUCUUGUUAUUUGCUUUUGCCUGUUAGUGGUUGGCAGAACCCCGGUGUCGCUACUUGCCUCACUUUUAAUGUUUAUCGUCUUUCGGAUUUUUUUAUUUGUACAACUGGACUUCUCCAAGAUUCGAUUUAGACGAAGCUUCUGGACUACACAAGUUUUGGGCUCUGUUUUCAAACAUUACAGAAGCUUCUUCAAUAAGAUAAUGAAAGAAGCUGAAAAAUAGCUAUAAUGCCAAUAUGCUGCCAUGGACAAAACACAUGUCCGUUGGUCUGUUGAUGUUCUAUGCUGGCUUGGCUAUAUCUACUUAUUGGUGGUUUUAUUUUGAGUAAGAAGGUGUGUUUUUGUGUACUGUAUUUUCUGAAUUAUGUUCGUUUGCUUUUGCUUCAUUUUGUAAGGUCUUGCGUGUUUCAAUGUAAUUGUUAGAGUGCAAUUUAUGCACUAGUUUUGCAUUGUUUACUUCCCUUAAUAUCGAUGUUUUGCACUUAAUAAUAAUGUUUUACUUGUGUUUUACUUUUGUAGGUGCAAUUCUAUUGAUUGAUGAUAAAAUUGAGCUAAAAGAUGAUGUUUAAGGAGGAUUGUUCUCUUGGAGAAAUUUCUGAGCGUCAGAAGAACUUUGUUGAUAAGGCGUGGGCGCGUGCUGUCAACUGCGGACCUGCAGUUUUUAGUUUAACGUGUUUUGUAUUUUUGGUUAUUUUUGUAAUUACGAAUUUAAUAUUUCAGAUAUUAGUAUUUUAUUUUAAAUAGAAUUCUAAAAGAGAAGAGAGAGAGAGUAUUUAAGAGAGGAAUCUAUUGUGAAAAAGGGGGGAUUUUGGAUUGGAGAAAAAGAAACCCUAGAUCUAAUUUUUCUCUUCUCUCUAUGAGGAACUAAACCCAUUUUUCUGGUUGAAGGUUAAUGAAGCUUUGUUAUGUGAAUAUCAAUCUUAGUUUGUUUAUUCGAGAACUUGCUUUGUUAUGCAUGUUGAAGCCGCAUUACGAGAUUUUAUGCAUUAAAAUGAUAAGGGCAAAUCCUUUUCCAUUUUUCUAUUCUCGCAUUUUUUUUUCUCUACCCGAAGACCUUUAUUUGCUAUCUUUGUUUGAGCCUUAACCAUUACCCAUCUAAUUUUCUCCGUCUACUUAACCAUUUUUCUUCUUUUUGAGCCUCAAUUUAAGGAGAUUUUUGGACUCAUUGUGUGGAUAUAUUUUGUUGCUUUUUCUACCUUGUAAUAAAGUUUCUCAAUUAGAUCAACAAGCAUUAUGCUUGAAUUAAAUUGUGCAAGGUUCAUUUCCUUGUUUUGAUUCAAAAAAAAAAACAAAACAAAAAAAAAAGAAAAAGAAAAAAAAAGAAAAAUCGAAAAUCACUGUUCACUAUUCACUGUUCACAAAAUCCCUAAUUUUCCAGAACUUGUUUUCUUCUCCAGCCGCUUGCAGCACACCAGCAGCAAACCAGCCCGCCGGAAAACGCACCAUCCCGUGAGCGCAGCACCAGCAUCCCGUGUCUCGCAGCCCAGCAGCGCGCAACGAAGUCCCACCAGCGAAAGCAGCCGCGCGCAACGCAGCAAGCCCCAGCCAUCACCAUCGUGCGAAAUCAGCAGCAACCGUGCACGCAACACAUCCCGCGAAGCAGUAGCAGUAACGCCCCGCAACGCAGAUCCUCAGCUCCAGCCCGCGCGCACAGCGCAAAUCAAUCCAGCAAUCACCCUCGUGAAGCAGCAGCAGCAACGCCUCGCAACACAGCCACGCACCAGCAUCCCGCACGCAACCAGCAAUGUGCAACUAGCAACCAACAGCCACAGCCCACGCAUCAACAGCAACGCGCGCGCGCAACACAAUCAGUGCCAUCCCGCGUCCAUCAAGCAAGCUCCAGCCGAGCAGCAAUCGCAACGCAACCAGCCUACGACCUGCAUUCCAGGCGCGUGAAUCGAAAUCCGUGACAAGAUGGAGCAGAAUUUGGCCGCAUACUUCAAGAGUGUGGGAUUUAUCCCACCAUUCCCGCCAAACCCAUAGACGUUAUGAGGAUCAAAGCUCACAAUUCAGGGAAGUUUCUUUUUGCCCUUAAUCUUUUAUCCUUACGCUUUAAUUUUUAUGUGAGCUUUGAUUAUCUUACAUUGGGGACAAUGUAAGUUCUUGGUGUGGGGGAAGGAUUUUUGCAUUAUUGAUGUCUGGAAUUAUUGUUUUCACUCUACUCAUCUAUUUUCACUCUACUCAUCCUUAAAUGAUUUUGGAGUUAGUAUGCUUCAUAUAUUAUUAUUCUUCUUUUCUUUUCUUUCUCACUACUUUUUUCCCAUCUAUCUCAAACUAUUCAUAUCUAUUUUUAUUUUACCAUACUCUUUCAUCACUCACAUUUUAUCUUUCACUUUUCAUAUUACUACAUACAUCUUUCUCACUUCUUAUCAUUUUUACCUUUUCUUUUAUAUAUCACUCAUACUUUCUUCUCAUUCUACACCACUAUUGAUGGUUGAUUCAUUUGAAGAGUGUACAUGAUUUGAUGGCAAAUUUACCAACUUUGUGAGGAUUUGAGCCUAUGAGCAACCACUUUGCUAUAAUAUUUUUGUUAUGUGAAUAUCAAUCUUAGUUUGUUUAUUCGAGAACUUGCUUUGUUAUGCAUGUUGAAGCCGCAUUACGAGAUUUUAUGCAUUAAAAUGAUAAGGGCAAACCCUUUUCCAUUUUUCUAUUCUCGCAUUUUUUUUUCUCUACCCGAAGACCUUUAUUUGCUAUCUUUGUUUGAGCCUUAACCAUUACCCAUCUAAUUUUCUCCGUCUACUUAACCAUUUUUCUUCUUUUUGAGCCUCAAUUUAAGGAGAUUUUUGGACUCAUUGUGUGGAUAUAUUUUGUUGCUUUUUCUACCUUGUAAUAAAGUUUCUCAAUUAGAUCAACAAGCAUUAUGCUUGAAUUAAAUUGUGCAAGGUUCAUUUCCUUGUUUUGAUUCAAAAAAAAAAAACAAAACAAAAAAAAAGAAAAAGAAAAAAAAAGAAAAAUCGAAAAAAAAGAAAAAAAAUGUUUACAUUCUUGGUGACUUGAGUAGAAAUAAGCAUUUUGAUAUCAUAAGUUCAUUCAAUGAGUUCAUUCUUCUCAUUUUGAUCUCUUUUUCUUUCGUAAACCUUUCUUUUUCAUUCAACCUAUUUAACCCCAUUACAACCCUUUUAAGACCCUUAGAUUUUUGCAAUUUUAUUCAUGUUUUGUGGAUUGAGAUGUGAUAUAUGAGCAAGCUUAUGGUAAUAGCAUUCUUUGAUUUGAUUUGAGUGAAUAAAUGACACCCUAAACACUUUGAGUGCAUAGAGUGAAGUUAUUGAGAGGGCUAUUACAUCUUGUUGCACUUGAAUUUUGAAUGGAUCUUCUUGGUGGUUGAAUGUUCUUAUUCUAUCUUAUGAGAUUCUAUGCUUUAAAAUCCUUGUCUCUCGAAUGUUGAUCGACUUAAUUUCUUGAGGUAUGCUUGCUUAAAAUUAUUUUUGGAUGAGUUGAGAUGAGAAUUGAGUGGAGAUUUGGGAUUAAUCUUGAGUUAUAUGCUUGAGGACAAGCAUCAUCUUGGUGUGGGGGAAUUUGUUAGAGUGCAAUUUAUGCACUAGUUUUGCAUUGUUUACUUCCCUUAAUAUCGAUGUUUUGCACUUAAUAAUAAUGUUUUACUUGUGUUUUACUUUUGUAGGUGCAAUUCUAUUGAUUGAUGAUAAAAUUGAGCUAAAAGAUGAUGUUUAAGGAGGAUUGUUCUCUUGGAGAAAUUUCUGAGCGUCAGAAGAACUUUGUUGAUAAGGCGUGGGCGCGUGCUGUCAACUGCGGACCUGCAGUUUUUAGUUUAACGUGUUUUGUAUUUUUGGUUAUUUUUGUAAUUACGAAUUUAAUAUUUCAGAUAUUAGUAUUUUAUUUUAAAUAGAAUUCUAAAAGAGAAGAGAGAGAGAGUAUUUAAGAGAGGAAUCUAUUGUGAAAAAGGGGGGAUUUUGGAUUGGAGAAAAAGAAACCCUAGAUCUAAUUUUUCUCUUCUCUCUAUGAGGAACUAAACCCAUUUUUCUGGUUGAAGGUUAAUGAAGCUUUGAUUCAUCACUACUGUGAGAUCUUUCUUGUGCUUUAAUUGUUUUAUUACUUUUUGGGUAUUUGUUUAUUCUCUGAAUUAUUUUCAUGAUUAUGUUUGUUAAUUAGGUAAUUGGCCACUAUUUAAUUAUCAACUUAAUCUAUUGUCAAUUAAAGGAUUCAUCGUAUGAAGAAUUUAAUGUUUGUGACAAAUAACAUAGCAGAGAGUUGUGUUGUGAGAAUAAACAAUCUAAUUUAAAUGAAUCAUCAUAUGUGUUGAUUAGGAUUUGGGUCUCUCUGGUUUUUCAGGCUGUCAAUUGAUUAAAUUCUAUGAUCGUAUCUAGGGUUGUCUAUUGAUUAGGGAAAUAACCAACGGUCGUACCUUGGUUAUCGACUAGUUAAGGAGAGAUUGGCUAUUAGAGAGUCUCAGUAGCUAUAACCGGUCUAUUCAUGAGUAAUAAUAAUCUAUAUUUGAAUCAAUGAUCAGUAGUCGAAUCAAGCUGAGUUAAUUCCUUCAACCAGAGCUUUCUCCAAUUUGAAUUACAACUUUAAUUUGCAUUCUUGUUAUUUUAAUUUGAUUUUUAUUAUUGUCAACAAUUCCCCUAUUUUACGUUUUACGUUUCAAAAGGAUUUAAUUAAUUACCUAUCUCUGUGGACACGACCCUGCUCAAUCACUAUACACAAUUUAUUUAGAGUAGGAAUUUACUUUUGUUGGCUUCGACACCCAUCAAAUAUUAAUUACUCUUGUUGUAUCUGAUAGCUGUAUUGUUCACCUUCGUGACUGUGAAUACAAUGAUGUUAAUUUAAUAAAAUUAUAUGCUUGUUUGUUUGAUAAGAAAAUGAUGGAAAAUUUAUUGACUUAGAGAGGAAAAACAGAAAUUGAACUCAUUAUGAUUGAUACAGUGAAAUGAGAUUACAAUACACUAUAUAUAUAUAUAUAGUAGCAUCUGGAACUUUCCAAGUGUAACAGAAUCAUAUACAGUCUCUGAUAUUCACCAUAACAUUUUGGUGGGAAAUAACAAACUAAUAACAAACUUUUAACAACUUGUAUAACAAUCUUCCAGUAGCUUCCAGCAUCUUGUCCAGCGUGGCAUCUGAUUCAUUACUCUACUUAACAAUUUGCUGACAUGAAGAAAAACAAACAACAAACAGCAAACGCACAAACAUAGCAAAAAAAAGAAGACAAGACAAUAAAGACUGCUUUUGACAACCUAAGUGAUUCAUCAACCUAUGUAUCGGGUUUUUCAUUCAUCAGCAAAGAGUUUCAGCACUUGAUCUGAAAAAUAAAGACUGCUUUUGACACUCUAGAAAUUCAAUUUCAUUUUUCCAUGUUAUUGAUGAUCAAACUCAGAUUAGCAACUGAAAAUAUAAUAUAACAAUUUGACAUCAAAAGUAAGUCCACUGAAAAUUUUUGGAAAUAUAUUAAUUAAAAUUAUGUUGAUGAAAUUUUUUAAAAUUUUAUGGUUUUGGUUUACGAAUCGUGUUGGCGAACGGCUUUAUUGUACAAGUACAGGUGCUGCUUCCUCUUCAUCUAUAUUAUACGGUUUACAUUGUUAAUUUAUUUUAGUACUUUGUUUCCUCAUUUGUUGAAAUCCACUGAGUGCUUUAAAGUUACCUGAUUGACACUAAAAUUAUCAUUUUUUUUUCCUUCAUCCUGUUCUCAAAUUCAGUCACGUUCCUUCGUCAUUUGUUCACGAAAUCCAAGUGCGGGCAACCAAUUGAGAAAGCCUGUAUUUUGACAAGCUCAAUCAAAAUUCUUCGGUUCCUUACGUGUUGAUUUCGACCUCUAUAAAUUAAAUUUAUUUAGCUUGAAAAGAGAAUUUGAUAAAAAUUUAAAUAAAGAAAUUGGGCAAUGAGAAUAUAUUUGUAAUUUUAUUAACAAUAUAUGGACAAAUUGGACAAUUAACAACUAUUUUUUUAUGUGCUAGAAGGGUAUAACGGUAAUUAUAUAUUAAAAUUAUAAUUUCUGUUAAAAGUAACGGUUUCCGUUGAUGAAUGAGGGUGUGGAUGUCUUUUUUAAAAUAUUGGAGGGACUUUUAUCCAUCUGUCUAAACGUUGUGAGUGUGUUAGUCUUUUUCCCUAUUUACAAGUACAAUUGUAAAUUUAUUUUCCCAUUCUUCUUCCCUUCUCUUCAAAAUUCAGCGCGAUUUUCUCCAUUUAAUUAUUCACAUCUACAACAUUGCAAAUCUAUAAUUAGAAUUAAAAAUUCUUCUGAUUUUCCAAUACCAAUAAGUCAAUAAAUCAACUAUUAUAGUCAAAACCAAACCCUAAAACAAAAUUAUCAUUUUUUUUCCUUCAUCCUAUUCUCAAAAGGGGCUAUCUUUGUUGCUAGGCAUGUGGUGUUUAACGAAUCAGAAUUUCCUUUCUCUACGAAUCCUCAAUUCUCUAAGCAAUCUUCUACCUCUGUUUCCGAGUAUAGACAUCCUAUGUUUAAAACUUCUUCUGUGUUAGUUCUACUACAUGAUCCUUCAGGCUCAAGUGACAACACUGUACAACAGCUUCAGCUCCAUGCAGUUCCAGCUUCCUCUUCUUCCUCUAGUUCUUCAUCAUCAUCACCUUUACCUCCAAAUCCAUAUUUCCCUGAUCCUUAUCACAAUAUGUCCCAUAAUUCCCAACACUCUUCUUCUUCUACAUCUAUUGUGCCUAUUCCACAGCCUUCUGUCCCUACUCAUGUACCAUUGCCAACUCAUCCAAUGGUUACAAGAGCAAAAGCAGGAAUAUUUAAGCCAAAGUUUCUUGCAUAUUCUUUUGUUCUUGAAGAACAUGAACCUGCUACAAUUUCUCGAGCUCUCUCAAAUCCUAAACGGAAAGCAGCAAUGCAGGCUCAGUAUGAUGCACUCAUGAAAAAUGAAACUUGGGUUCUUCUUCCAACCUCUCAAGUUACUAAAGUUGUUGGUUGUAAAUGAGUGUUUCGCAUUAAGUAUAAUGCAGAUGGCUCUAUAUCUUAGUACAAAGCUCGUUUGGUUGCAAAUGGGUUUCAUCAAACCCCUGGUAUUGAUUACUUUGGGACUUUUAGUCCAGUGGUUAAGCAAUCUACUAUGAGAAUUGUACUUAGUCUUGCUGUUAUGAAGAGCUGGAAAAUAAGGCAGAUAGACAUCAACAAUGCUUUCCUCAAUGGGCAACUCAAUGAAGAUGUUUACAUGUUUCAACCUGAGGGAUUUGUCUAGCUUUCAUCUGGUCAUGUUUGUAAAUUGCUUAAGGCUCUUUAUGGUCUAAAACAGGCUCCUAGAGCAUGGUUUGAUCGGUUAAGGAAAGCAUUGUUGAAGUGGGGGUUUCAGAGCUCAAGAACAAAUUCAUCUUUAUUCUUUAAACAUGAACUUGGAGGUAUUGUUGUUGUGUUGAUAUAUGUUGAUGAUAUUCUUAUUACUGUAGAUAAUAAUACAGUGAUUGAAAGGUUCAUCAAAUAUCUUGGAGAUACUUUUGCUUUAAAAGACCUUGGUUAAUUCAAUUACUUCCUUGGUAUUGAAGUUACUCAAGGUACAAAGGACAACUUACAUCUCUCACAAGCCAAAUAUGUAAGAGAUUUGCUCACAAAAACUGCAGAGAAAGUGAUACUCAAAUGAGUACAAGACAAAAACUAAGAAGAGCAAGAAAUGAAGAUAAUUUGAUUGUUAAUGUUACUGAAUAUAGAAGCAUAAUAGGUGCAUUGUAGUAUUUGGUACUCACAAGACCAGAGCUUGCUUUCUCAGUAAACAAGUUGAGUCAAUUUCUUGCUGCAUCUACAGAGAAGCAUUGGACUGCUUGUAAGAGAAUUCUAAGAUACUUAAAGGCAACUGAGGAUUAUGACUUGCUAUUUAAACCAGGUGGUGGUGUUGUCUUAACUGCAUAUACUGAUGCAGAUUGGGCAUGUGAUGUUGAUGAUAGGAAAUCAGUUGGAGCAUAUUGUGUUUAUCUUGGGCAAAAUCUUAUAUCAUGGUCUUCUGAGAAGCAACAAACAAUAGUUAGAUCUAGCACAUAUAGAGCAUUAUCAACAUCAUGUGCAAAAAUCGUUUGGGUUCAGGCUUUGCUUGGUGAACUUAAUAUUAAGUGCAAUCAAACACCAAUAAUCUGGUGUGACAACAAUGGUACUGCUGCAUUGGCAACAAAUCCAGUAUAUCAUGCUAAAACCAAGCACAUAGAAUUAUAUGUACAUUUCAUAAGAGAGAAUGUGACAAAUAAACAAGUGGAAAUCAAGUAUGUGCCUAGUGAAUGGAAUAUUGCAGAUGUGCUUACAAAGCCUAUGGCUUACUGUUGAGUGUUAGAAAAUGCAUAUUUAUAAAGGAGAAAACCGUCAUUUUACAUUUUAAGUCUUACUAACAACCCUUACUUUUAUAUAUUUAACCUUCUUGUGAUUUAAUUACAUGUGUUUUAUUUUAAUUAAGUAUUUUAUGUAUUUUAGGGGCAUUAUAGUCAUUUCACAAUAAAGGAGAGAUCAGACAGCAAAACGGACAUCACUUUUGAACUCAGGACGGUCGAAAACCUUAGGAGGAGCAUAAAAGGAAAAAUGGCACUAUUCACAUGUACGGUACUAUUCACGUGUACGGUACUGUAUACGUUACUGUUCACGACACUGUUCACAUAGACGGAUGAUGACGUGGCAUUGACCGAUGAUGUGGCAUUGACUGAUGAGGUGUCACGAUCCUGUUGGACUAAAAUUCUUAUGUACUGUUGAUGGUGACGUGGCAGCAUAUCAGUGGACGAAAAAUCUCGCGUACGGUGCAUGCAUCACACAGGAUUAUUUUCAACCAAACCGCGUUACUGUUCAUCCGGGUCAAACCGCGUUACUGUUCAAAGUCGGGUCAAACCGUGUUACUGUUCAUCCGCGUGGUCAAACCGUGGACUGUUGACUGAUGACGUGGCGCAAUCCUGAGCGUCCAAACUGUUUUUAAUCCGAUGGCCAUGAUUUACUCCAUGUAUCUAUAAAAAGGGGGCCUCCCCCCCCUAAUUUGAUAUCUCUGAAUCCAUUUUUGGGAUCCAUUUUCUGUAAUUCCUUCUCCAUCUUGUAUUUUCUUCGUAUUUUAAUAAAUUCUCAUUUUGCCUCUAGUUCAACUAUGAGUGGCUAAUUUUCUUUCAAGCUUGGGUUGAAGGUGAAGUCUCAACAUGUGUCAUGGGCUUAAUUUGGUAAAUUUAUUUUCUCUUCCCCUCUAAUUUUUGUGGAUGUUUUGACUUCUCGUCGACAAAUAAUAAUAGUCUUGUCUAGAUACCGCCUUGGUUACACCGGCUCUCUAGUAUAAGGUUAUUAUUAUUUGGCACGAUAAGCCCUUAGCACCAUAUUGAUUAGAGCGUGGUUCAUGAGGUGUGGAUUCCCCCCUCAUGAUUUAAUUGGCAUUAAUACGGAUUAUUUAGCCCAUGAUGCAUGUUGAUACGGAUCCAGAUACCCAAGUACGUCAUUUCAAUAGAUCUUCGCUUCAAUUUAUUCUCGUCAUUUCAAUUCCAAUUUCAGAAUUUAUUAUCGCCAUUUUAAUUUAAGUUUUAGCAUAUUCCAAUCAUUUCCACCACAAAUCCAAUCACCCAUUCACAAAAAUUAAUUCUACACAAUUAAAAUCCACCUCCUCGUGGGAUCGACACUCGUCACCAUUAAUCUAUACUACAACAGAUUCGUGCGCUUGCGAGUACAUUAAAAUUUGCACAACACUUACUGCUUUUUAAAUUACUAUAGAGACAAGCUUAAUGUUGUUUCAUGACCGUUAAGCUUGAGGAGGAGUGUUAAGAUGCUUAAUCAACAGCAGCAGACCAGUGGCUGAGAUUUGUGCGACAAGGAUUGCUGAGCUGAACAAAUUAGUUAAGUUGUUGUAAUUAGUUUUGGUUUAGCCAAUAGAUGUAUUACAGUUGUACAAAAGGUUGUUAUUACUGUUGAUCAACAAUAUAAGUUUGCUACGAGCUAAAUGUAAUUCAUAUAAUUCAUAUCAAUAAAAUUUUCUCUGAUUUAGUUACUUUUCUUUCUUCUUUCCGUCACUUUCCUGCUAGCCAAACAAACUAUCAACCUAAGAUCCGUGAGUUCUAACUUUUACAAAUGUAAUAAUUACCAUGAAUUUGCAAAAACUUGCAGCAAAUAUUUGUGUCCCAAUAGGUUGACAAUUGCAACACAUAUCGAAAAACUGUAAUAGUACCCUUGAUUAUAAUUACUUGACCAUAGUCAGUGGCGAACUAUGUAUACGCCUGGCAGCCGAGGUGUCAGGAAUUUAAUUUAAUAGGGGUGCCUAAGUUCAAACACUAACAUAAUUAAAAAAAUGGUCAAUAAAUAACAAAUAUUAAAAUAUUUAGGGCUAGUUUGGCAAUCUUAUAACUUUUAAAAUAAUUGUUGUUACUUGCGCUAUAAAAAUAAUAAGUUGUGAAUGGAAUUAGUUAAACGUUUGACAAAAUUUCUUCUUAAAAGUGCUUUUGUAAAUCUCAUUGUUGAACUAUUAUAAGAGUUUAAAUGAUUAAAAUGGACAUAAUAUUAAAUAAAAUAUAUUAUAUAGAUAUAAAUACAUACAUAUAAUAUUUUUUAUUAUGUAUAUUAGUAACUGAUAACUAAAAUAAUUAUCUUUGUUUUAUUAAUUAUUUUUUAUCUCAAUAUAAUUAGUAAUAAUAAUAAUCUCUAGAUUUAAUAAUUUUAUUUCCUAAUUGAAUAAGGAUAAUUUUAGAUUUUUAUAAUAUAUGUAAGGAUAUAUAUGGAAUUUUAUUAAUUAGAAAACUUAUCCUGAAAAUUAGAUUUUGAAAGCCUACUUCUUUUUUGCUUUCCAAAAUAUACUGUAUAUAAGAUAGAGUGAUUUUACCGAAAGUGAUUUUAAAAAAAAAAUCUACCAAACAGUAAAAUUAAAGUUUAGCUUUUAAAAUCACUUUUAAGUCUCUCAAAAGCAAUCUCAAAUAGGCCCUUAAUUCAAUACAGUUAUAAUUGUUCUCAUGUAUUUUCAUAUGUUAAAAAUAUUGAAGAAUAACCUCAUUAUCAUUACUACAAACAUAUUUUCUUCUACGUAUACAAUAAAACUAUCAUUCAACAAUUGGUUUCCCAUAUGAUUUUGUGGAAGAUUUUUCAGAAAAUUCAUAGCUGAAAAUACCCUUUCUAAUUUAGUUUUGUUACCUGAUAAAAUCAUUGCUAAUGUUACCAACAUAUAAAUUAAUGAAUACAACUAUCCAUUAUCUCAACCAUUUUUCUUGCUAACUCACCAGUCUCUUUUAAUCUUAAAAAUGUUGUCAAAACCCACAUUCAUAAUAUAAUCAUCAAGUUGAAUUUCAAGUGCCAUAAUGCAACAAUCUUUCUUUAUGGGUUCAAAAUGUUAAAAAGAAUAUUUAAUAUUUUACUUGUUUUUAAAUUUUAACAAGGGUGUUAUGGUAAAUCAAAUAAAAAUAGGACAAAUAUUAAAAUAAAUUUUAAAAAAAUUAAAAAAUUGAAAAAGGGUUUCAGCCCCUGCUAAAAUGGCACCACAUCUAAAGCCUAGGGUGCCUUGAGGCAACAUACCAAUAAUAAUAAUAAAGAAAGAAAUCAAGAAAAAAAAGACAUAAUAAUACGUAGUAACAUUAGCAAUGUUAAUUGUAUUUUAUGUUUUGACCCCUAUAAUUUUACAAGUUGAUUUUAUGUUACCGCCUACUCAAAUUUAUGGUUUUGGUCAUUGUGUUUGGCCCUCUCAAUUUUAGUGAUUAUAUACUGUAUGAAAUGUAAGUUAUGCAACCCAAGAGGGGGGUGAAUUGAGAUUUUAAAACUUACGCUAAACAAUUCGCACAACAAUUUAAUGUAUUGCCUUAAUCAAAUGUAAAAACAAUAAAUUCAGUAAAACACAAUACUAAAAGAGUAAGUACAAUAAUAAAAGAGUAAGGGAAAAGAAAGCAAACACAACAAUUUUUACGUGGUUCGGCAAUCCUCGCUUACGUCCACGCCUCCAAGCCAACCAAACUCGAGGAUUUCACUAUCAAAGCCUCCCAAAUCUUUAAGUUCUUACAAUUAACUUCCAAGGUGUCAAUGAACCUUUACAAUCAAGAGAUUAUCUCUCCAAUCUAUUCACCCCAAUUAUUUCUCACACUUGUACACUUACAAUUUGAUGAGAAAUGAACAAUUACAACAAAAACUCUCUUUAAGAGUGGAUUUGCAAAUAAUAGCAUAAUAAUGAUUCAAUAAAUGAUGAUUUACGAAAUGGAACCUCAAUAUGUGUUAUAUGAUCUUAUUUAUGCUUGCAUUAGUCUUGAAAAUGAAGAUGGAGUUAAGGUUUUAUAGCUAAAGCCCAAAAACUAACCGUUAUAGGCAAAUUCCAGCGCUCAAGCGGUUAGCCGCUUGAUUUAUCCAACUAGCCGCUCCAGAACAAUGAUGUUACCAUUAAAUUUGAAUUUUCCGAUAGUAUCAUUGUUCAUUAAAUUACAUUUGUGACCAAAACUUUCUAUAAUUAUAUUAUAGCCCAACAUGUCAUAAAACUUUGCAAAUAAGUCUAAUUUCAGAAUUUCUAAAUAAUACCUGUCAUUCCUAAAUCUUAUUGUAAUUAUGAUAUGACCUAGUAUAUAAUAACAUUUUUCAAAAAGUCCUUUUCAAAAUUUAAAAUAAUACCCAUAAAUUUUAAAGUUCUCAAAUCUUUUCAAUUUAGUCCAAAAUUUAAAAAUAUGAGACUUUCCUCAAGCGGUUAGCCGCUCACUCUCUGUUCAAUUUUUUAUUUCAAUUGUUUGGAUUACGUUUUGGUCCUCAAACUUUCUUAAAUUGUAAUAUGACCCAAAAUAUUUCAAAUAUUUGCAAAUAAAUCUAAAUUCGAAAUUCAAAAUUCAAAUUUCAAAACAAUAUUUAAUAAAAUAAAAGAUUGCAAAACUUUUUCAUUUUAGUCCAAAUUACUCAAAUCCACAAAAUACUUUAUCUUAUAAAUAUAAAACCUUUUAGUUUAUGAAAGGUAAUUAUUUAAAUAAACUCUUGAGUUUCUCAAAUGCUAAAUCAUGUAUCAAUUAAAUCAUACCGACUUUACAAGAAUUUGUCACAAUAAUUUGUUCGUUGAGCUUUAAACUUUAUUCUUGAUUUUGCCGUUGUCCGUUGAGUGUCUUGAACUUGAUUCACUUGCAUAAAUAUUAUCCUUAAAAAACUAGUAAAAAUGUGAAAUACAAUAUUUAUUAAAUCACUUAAGACACAUGUUUGUUAUCAUCAAAAUUACAUUAUGGGUAGCCCUUUAGGCUAACACUGUAGCCUACUCAAGUAUAUAGUUUCUUCAUUAGGCCCCAAAACCAAAAUCCUAAAAGUAUCUCCAAAAAGUUCUAUUAAUUUUACUCUUCAAAUAUUUAUUUGCUUACCUAUGUGGUAAAAAUGAGAGUGAAAAAAUAUGUUAUUCUCCAAAAGACUCUUUAAAUAGAAAUAAGUUAAUAUUAUUUUAAUCAAAUAAAUAUUUUUUCAAAGGAAAAAUAAAUGGUAAUUAAAGCAUUUCUCUCUCUUUCUCCCCAAUAAAAAGUAAUAAAAUAUAAAUUGAAGAGAGAGAAAGUAACUCUACAAAUUAAAGAGAGAGAAUUAUUUCUUAUUUGAAAAAUCUUAAUUAGAGUAUCUUUUGAAGUCUUAAAUACUGAUGUAACUCUUCAAAUAAGUAAUAAAAUCUUAUUUGAAGAUUUUUUUAGAGAUGCUCUAACUUCACCACUAGAUUUACUUGAGUAUUCAACAAUACUCGACUUACUCGAGCGUAGGUGAUUUAGUUAUACUUAAUUGACUACUAAAACAAUUUAUUCGACUUACUCGACGAUACUUUACUUAGGUCACUCCAUGUACUAAUAUUUUACUAUUUUUCUAAGUGGUACAUUUAAUUACAAAAAUCCAUGAAAAUUUGAUAAUGAUGAAAUGCUUAAUAAAUAAGGGUAUUUGGUCGAAUCAUAACAAUGUUUGUUAAACACUGGUCUAAUAAUAAGUAGUCAUUUUCUGAUGAAAUAAAAUUAAAGCUGACAAAAUUUAACAUGACUGGUUUACUCUAUACAAAUACAACAUGAAUAAAUAUGUAUCUAUCAUGAAAAUUGACAUGAUUAUUAAAUGAAUUUGGUCUAAGUCAACCCAAUUGUUUCCCGUGUCAGGCUAGAAUUCAAUUUUUCAAUGCAUUUACUUGGUCAAUGACGUGAUUGUUAAAUAGUUAACCAAAACUAAUUCAUAUUUGCAUUAAAAUAUACUUAUAUUUUCAAUUCUAAAUUAAUUUAUAGAAUCUUAUCAUUAAAACUCAAAAUUUGGUCAUGAUUCUAGAUGAACAUAUAUUUGAUGUUCUAUUUUGUAAAAUUCUUGAUAGAUUUAAAACUUCAAUGGUUCAUACAUGUUGUAUUUGCAUCAAAUGAGUGUGUAGUAUUUGAUGUAAAUCGUGUUAGAAUUUAAAUAGGUAUUCAGUGAAUUUUUAGGUUAUAUCAUGUUAGAUGACACAACUACCUAGUUAUUAAAAGAGCGUAUCAAGUCACUAUUUUAUUUUUCGUAUCGAGUUCAAAUUUUAAUAUUUUAACAUUUUAUUUUUCGUAUCAAGUUCAAGUUUUAAUAUUUUAACACGAUUAUUAAAUAAGUCGUGUUUUAACCAACAUAAAUUUAAAACAACACAAAAUUGACACAAUAUGACUGGCUUAAUGACCUAUUUUGUUAGUUUUAUUUAAAACCAUCUAAUCUAUUAAAAAAAAAAAAAAACGGUCCAUGGGCCUAGCCCAAAUAUAAAUUCAACAAAACCAGCUCCCGCUCAAUCACACUCUCUCGGUCGUUCCCUUCACUCUCCAAAACCCCCCAUUCCAAACAAAACCCUCAUUUUUCCCUCUUAACGAAGUCACUUUCUCGAGAACCAAACAUUCCCUUAGAUCUCCAAUUUCAUAAUGAGAGAAGAAGAAAUAGAGAAACUUCGAGGAUUGGUUCGCGACUGUGUGAGUAAGCAUUUGUACUCGUCGGCCAUUUUCUUCGCCGAUAAAAUCGCCGCUUUGACCAAUGACCCUACUGGCCUGUACAUGCAGGCUCAGGCUCUGUUCCUUGGCCGCCACUACCGCCGUCCAUUUCACCUCCUUAACGCCUCAAAAAUUGUGCCCCGUGACCUCCGAUUUCGUUACUUGGCUGGUAAGUGUCAGGUAAAGUUCUGUUUUUUGAUUGCAUUAGAAAAUUUGAAUUUCAGAUUUUGUGAUUUGUGCUUUUUGCGUUUUUAGUUUUUUUUUUUAUGUUAUGAAAAAGGGAAAUUUUGAAAAUUUUAACUUGAAAUUCGUGUUCUUUUUAUUUUAGAACAAAAGAAUUUCAAUGAAAAAUAUUUGGAAAUUGAAUUGCUCUAGCAAAUUUGCAUGUGUUGUGUGUUUUAAGAAAAUGAAAACUAGAUUUUGAGCAAUUAAGGAGAGAUUAUGGACUUUGAGCUGAAUGGUUUUGAUCAAUUUUUUCUUGAAUGUUUAUUUGUUUAUACAACUGGGUAGUUUUUCUUUUACUUAUUUAUUUCUGGUCUGUCCUUUGUAUAAUUAGGAGGAACUGAAGGAGUGGGACUAGUGUUUGUCGAUGCUCGGUGAUGCUAAGGUCGAUGAAGAUGGUAAUGUUUUUGACACAAAGGAUAGCAAUGUCAUGUACUUAGAUAAAGAUGGGGAAGACAGAGAAAUCAAUGUAAGUUUUUGUUUGUAAUCUCAUUUUAUCUGGCCUUUUAUUUUUUAAUUUGUUGCAUAUUUGUUGUAUACUUGACCCAAUAUUUCUUUUUUCUAUUACAGAUCUCUUCAGCUAUAUGCUUUUUGAGAGGCAAAGCAUAUGAAGCCUCAGGAAAUUGUGCCCAAGCUCGGCUGUGGUUAGUUUCUUGCGAUGAAUUUACAUGAAAAUCACUCUGCUUAAUUGUAAAAUGCUUUAUGGUUAUUUUCCCUUAGUUUUUCAGCCAAAAUGAUACCAACUUAUACUGUCUAACAGUCUUCUGUUAUAGUAACUUAGGUGUAGUAAUUUAACGUACUGUUAAAGAAAGGAAAUGACUUUAUUGUUUUAAUGCGAGAAAUUUGAACAUUGUUAUAAACUUGUUUAAGUUGGGCAUAAGUAAAUUUAUCUUCAAUUUCAUUACUGAGCAGAUUUUGUUUGAAUGCAUGAAUGUUUGAUAUAUGUGUUUAAUAGCCAAGGAGUUUGUUUAGAUACUACUUUAAGAAUUAUCUAUAUAUAGAUUGGGUAGUCUAGAAAACUCUCCUUGAUUAAAUCAAUGUAUAAUUUUGAUAAGACAGUUUAAAAUGUUAACAUCCUAUGUCUUCUGGAGUCCAUUUGGUGACACAGGAAUGGUAGUGUAUGCUGGGAUGGUUUAGUUCAAUAAGGCUAUUAGUUCUGUUCUACUUUUUCAAAGAGGUUGAUUGCCAAAUUAACAGCCACAUGAAGGAGAUUGUCUUUUUUUUUUUUUUUGUGUAUCCUGAAUUGUUUUUGCUUCCAACCACAAUUCUGGUCUUCUAUUGGUUCACACUUCCUACUUCUAUCUCGAUGAUUUUAUCUGCAAUACCUCAUUACUAAAUUCAGCUCUAACAACAGAGGAACUUAUUUGCUUCCUCUUUAUCUUGUUCCAUUACUAGCUUUCAUGUGCAGCAUUUUUAGAAUGUUAAAGACUAAUAGUACAGAAAGGUGGUUUUAAAUCAAAUGUAACAAGAUUCAAUUGACAGAUCAGCUAUGCUUCACUCCAUGUGGUUACCUACACACCUGGAUAUUUGUUUUAGAGUUUUAUGCUGUCUGAAUUAGUGGCCUCAUUUUGUUAUCUGAUUGAAAGCUUGCAUGUAUUUCGGUAAGUUAGGUUCUUCCCUCAACUCUUUUUCUUUAGUAACUAUCAUGGUAUUGUUUUAUAACCUUAAUUAGUUUCUCUUUGGUUUUUCAUUUGUCAGUAUAUCUGCUCUAUUCUGUUCAAUUCCUUUUUCUCUAUUCUCUCAGUUAUGUUGAACUAAAACGCUGUAGUUCAUACAAAGGCUUGCUAUAUUUUUUCAUAAUGAUUUAAGGUACAAAGCAGCAAUCAUAGCUGAUCCUUUGUGCUAUGAGGUAUGCAUGACACGCUAUCAAUGUUUUUUUUUUCCUUUCCCCCUAGGGAUAAGCUGGUGGGGGGAGCGUCCCGUUCUCAAAAACUCCUUACCUUGAAUUUUGUGGCUGCAUAAAUUUCAGACAUGACUUUCUAUGCAAAAUAUUACAACCUGUGGAAACUGUUGCCUUCUCAAGGAUUAGAAAAUUACUCAAAAGAGGGCUAGAUUUUUUGAGCUAGGCUUGUCCCUUUUUUUUUUUUUUGUAAAUAGAAUUUUAAUCCUUUUCUUUAAUUUGACCUCUGCUGAUCACAUAGAUGUCUCAUCUGGAUGUUCCUUAUAAGAUAUAUCGAUCCUCAUUCUUUAUGAUUUUUUUUAUGGCUGUACCUUGAUUUCUUUUUCAGGCUUUGGAAUGCCUUAUAGGAAAUCACAUGCUAACAUGCGAGCAAGGUAAUGAUGUAGUUUUUUCCUAGUCAUCUGUUUCUUUCAUCUGAGAGAAGUGGAUUAUGAAAAUGUUUACAGUUUGAAUUAUAGUUCUUACAUAAGUGCGCACGCACACACACACACACAUAAAUGAAAUUAUAGUCACACACAAACAUGUUGAUAUAAAUUUAAUUUGGCAAAAAUUUCUUUGGCUGUGUUCAACUAGCAUUGGAUUUUUCAUGGAACAUGUUAUAAUAGGCUAAUACUUUAAAUUUUUGGAUUUGCUGUUGAAUUUCAGAAACAAGUUUACUUUCAUCAUUGGAAUUUGGUUUUGAAGAUGGAUGGCUUUCUUCAUUCUACUCAUGUUUGAUAAAAAAGGUGAACUGUGUGCAAAUUCAUUAUAUGCUCUUCCAAAUGUAAACAUUUCAAUAAUAAGUUUCCCAUAUGUUUUCGUGAUGUCGAUUCUUUUUGCUGUGUUUGAGUGCAGUGAACAAUUUCUUUCCUUCUUUCCUGUCUCCCUUUGUUUUAUGCAGUAUGACAAGGAGAAUGUUGUAGAAGCCAAAUUCGGAGAAAUUGAAAAAGAAAGAUGUGAUAGUGUCCAUUCGAGCCCAUCCUUCUCACACAGUCUGAAAAACAAUACUGAUCUUUUAGAGGGCUUAUUAUUCUGUCGACCUGCGAUACUAGAUUUCAGAAAUCUUCUCUUCACACAGUGUUCUUGGCUCUCUAAUUGUCAAAAAGUUGAAAAGCCUUUUUCUGUCUGAUGCAUCAUAUAUAUGCAGUUUAAUAUUUGUGGACUUCAAUAAUAUUGAUUACCUUGAUUAUAAUAUUUUCAAUUGUAUGGUUUUUGGGUUUCUUCUUGGUAGGAAAGAUUUUUGUCUUUUUCUUUUUUUUUGGCUUGAUUCUUCUUCUUUUAUUAUUAUUAUUGUUACUGUUUUCCCAUUCACCAAGGAAAAAAAUUGGAAACUUGGCUCCACCUCGCAAAAAGUUUUAGAGCGCAUUUUAAAUUCUCGAAUUUGGGGAAAUUGGAUUGGAGAAUUGGGAAUGAUUGAUUGGUGUUUUCCUUGGCUAAAAACAUUGAAAGAAUGACGAUCGGAUUUUUGGGUGGAGCUCACAAGUUGGGAAAUGAGGAUUGGGAAUCCCGUUGCCAAAGGGGAGGGGGGAAUGCAAACGGAAAUUAACACUUUUACCCUUAAAGAAAUUAAAAUUUUAUUUUUUUCCUUNNNNNNNNNNNNNNNNNNNNNNNNNNNNNNNNNNNNNNNNNNNNNNNNNNNNNNNNNNNNNNNNNNNNNNNNNNNNNNNNNNNNNNNNNNNNNNNNNNNNUUUGUCGCUCUUGUUAAUAUAUCCUUUGUGGAUUUCAUAUGAGGUUUGAAAUGUUAUUUAGUGAAAUUUAAUUUCUUGUUGGCUCUAUUCACCACAGCAAGGCUACAAAUCUUGAUGGGACAUUCGCCCCCGCUUGGAUAGGUUAUGGAAAUGCUUUUGCUGCUCAAGAAGAGGGUGACCAAGCAAUGUUGGGUUAUCGCACUGCUGCUUGUUUGUUUCCAGGGUAAUUUUUAGCAUUAUUUAUUCAUUUCUGUACCUUUCUGAUUUUCUUUUCCUUGGAUCAGCAUAUUCAUGCAAUGAGGACAAGGACAAAGCCACUAACUUGCUUUUGAGCAAGUUUCAGAACACUUUUAGAAUUUCAUUUUUGGCUUCUUUUUUUUAACUUUUUUGGUCUCUGAAAGAUAUCUUAAGGGUAGGGUUUGGUUGAUUUUGCUCAUCUUGAUUUCAUGUAAUCCAUGAAAUUUCUGUUGCUUCAGCUUAAUCUGUUUCAAGUGCGCUACCACUAUAAAAAUUGGGUUUCAUGGGUUAUCAACCAAGAUUUUUUUUUUCUCCUUUGAUUUAAUAUUAAUAAACUGUUUUACCAAUAUAAACUUUUGAUGAAUGCUUCGCAUUUGAUUUCCAUAUUUCUUCCUGAGAAAUGUUGUAAGUUGAUUAAACAUAGUCUUAAAUCGACCCAAGGCAUUGUUGUAAUGUCUUUCUAUUUUGAUAAUAAGCCACACUGUCAUAGUAGUUUUAUGGUCGUAAAGAUCAAUGAAUUUCAUUGUUUAUUGUUUAGUGAUGGUAUGCAUUGUGUUGUGGGAGUACUCUUAUCACUAUGAAUUGUCUUUUUACAGGUUGAAUCUUGAUGUUCUCUUAUUCCAGGUGCCAUUUACCAACUUUGUAAAUUGGAAUGGAGUACAUGCGAACUCACAGCUUUAAGCAUGCCGAACAGGUGUAUUACCUUCUUCUAAAUAUAGACUGCCUUUCAUUUUUCUCUUUAGAUUUCAGUGAGAACUCUUAAGAGGUUGUUUGUUUGCAAUAUGAAGUCUGAUUGUUGGAUAUUCAGAUGUUGGUCUAUACGAUUUGCUAGUUGAUGUUGUCUUGGGGGUUUCAUUUUCCUCUUUGGAUUUAAUGUGAAUACGACUUCUUUCCUCUUUGUUUAAUUGCGACAACUUCUAACAGAUGCUAAUCACAAUCUUUAUUCAUGAUUCUGAGACCUGUGUAAUUAGAAUUUUGGUCAUAUCGUCCAUUUUCCUUUGUUGUCAAAAUAAUGUCUUCUUUAUCCAAAUCUCUUAGUCAUAAUUCUUUGAAUAUAUUGUUGAAUUUCUGAUUAGCUGUCCUUUCUCCAGUUUUUCAUGCAGGCAAAGAACAUAUGCCCAUCAGAUCCACUUGUAUAUAAUGAACUUGGUGUUGUUGCUUACCACAUGAAGGAUGUUUGGUUCACUUGAGUUGCUGUUUUCUGUUGAUCCGUUUACUUUAUUAGUGUUUCAUUUUUAAUAAUAUUAUUACUUAAGGAUAUGAAAUUCUAGUUGAUUUAAACUUAGGUCUUGUUUGGUGUUGAGGUGUUGUAGAUUUUAAGCUACAGGUGUUGUGGAAAAAAGCUACAACUAUUAAAUAAAAGUUAAUAGCUUGUAGUAAAUAUAAUUUUUAAAUAAUAAUUUUGACAAAAUUAGUAAAGAUAUAAUAAAGUUUUCAUCAUACAAGCGUAAAAUCAAAUCAAGUUAACUUUCAAGCUACAACAACUGGUGUUUACCAAAUACUUUAGUACUUUAGUUUUUAAGCUAUAGUUGUUCAACUCAAUACCAAAUGGUGCCUUUCAGGAAUUGUGCUCUUUUUAUUGUUAUAUGUUAUGGCUUUUGUAUGAGUUCCCAAUCACCAGUUUGACCAGCAAUUAUUUGAAAUGUGUGGUGGUUUGAAAAGACCUUGGCGCACAUUCCGUCCUCUUUAAGUGAAAUGUGGGAACCAACUGUGGUGAAUCUUGCACAUGCUUACAGAAAAUUAAAGUAUGUUUAAAUUUAUUGGAAUAGGCUGUCUCACUUGCUUUUUCUUGUUCUAUUGCCUACUCAGGAUAUUUAUCCUUUAUUUUAUUGUGUUUUUGUUGAAUUUUACAUGAAAUAUCAUUCAGAUAUCUAGAUUUGUUUUUUUUUUUUGGCUAAAUUUUCAAAUAGAGGAUCAUCUUUAUCUUGAUAAAUGCAUUUUAUUUUAGGGAUUCCAGCAUAGGGUAAGAUUUUUCAGUUUGCAUCGUCUGAGAUUGUGAGCAGCAUGAAGAUAUAAGAAAGAAGUAUAACCUUCCUUAUACCGUCAUGGCUGCUUAUGGUCAGCUUUGCCCAGUAAGCUCGAGAGACUACUAGGAGCCGUAGAAGUUGUCUGUAGCACUUCCUAAAAGGACUUGAUGCAAAUAGUUUAAAUAAGGAUAUGCCGGAUUAUGGAUUGGUCUACUCUCUACUGGCUACUUCAUAUGCUACCCUUUUAUAUGUUUUUAUCUUUAUGGAAUAGUACUUUUUUUUCAUGUUUUUGCUUUUUUCCUUCUUAGUAGGCAGUGGGUUUAGGUUUAUUUCUAGUAUUGCUAAUCUAUAAACAUACAUUUGACUUAUUGUUUAUUGAACCUGAUUCUAGAAUCUAUCAUGUUUCAGGAUAUAUCACGAGGCAAUAUCCUGUUACGAGCGAGCGCUGAUGUUGUCGAAUAGAAGUUUGAGCACCUAUGCAGGUUGUGCUUACACUUACCAUUUGCAGGUAUGGUGGAUUUAUUAUUAAUUCAUUUUCAAUGAAAACUUGUGUGCCUAUGAAUAUUCUGCUGAUGUGAGGAGUAGUUAGCAAAUUGAUCUAAGUGGUAUUUGUUAGCAAAUACUAGUUUAUUGGAUGCAUCUAAUAUUUGCAGCUUAGGGUUUAAAAAACCAUUGUCAGAUCUUCACCGUUGCGUUCAAAAAACUGCUAGAGUCUAUGGUGGCGAAUUUGUUUCUUUUGGGUCUCUUGUGCAGGAUAACUUCUCUGCUGCCAUUACAUAUUAUCACAAGGUAAACUAAAAAGUACUCUUGCUGUUUCCUUUAUGUGCAAUAAGCGUACUGUCUAUCGUAGUCAUCCACUGUUGAAGAGACAACUCUAAUCUCGCUACAUUAUAUGGAUCAUUGAUUUGCUUUUUCAUUCUAAUCUGCAAAUCAGGCAUUGUGGCCGAAGCCAGAUGAUCAGUUUUGUACCGAAAUGUUAAGUUUGGCUCUUGUUGAUGAAGAUCGCCAUGGCAUUGACCCCAAAAUCGAAUUUGAGUGUAAUUUGUUAUUCAUACCUAUAACAGUUUAAUUAUUUUGGUAUUGGUGAAGGGCUUUUAUUGUAUAAGCUCAGGGUGAAGGGCUUUUAUUGUAUAAGCGCAGGGGUGUCAUCUUCAUCUAUAUUCUACCUUUUACAUUAUUAAUUUAUUUCCUCAUUUGUUGAAAUCUACUUGGCUUAGAAGUGAUUUAAAUUGCUUUCUUUCAUGGAACCAUUUUCUUCACAGUUUUUAUUAUUUACCACCAAACAGUUAAGUCCAUUAAGAAAUUAAUGAUGUCACAUGGAUAUUUCAAGAAUUUUAGUUUAUUAAGCUGGAAGUAUUAUAAUAUUUACAAUUUUAUCAAUUGAUCAAUUUGGAUAAAUAAAACAACCAAUUGAUAAAAGUAUUAUCUCUUUGUGUAUGAUUAACUUUAUUUUUUUAUUGAUUUGGAAGAUUAAACCUAUUUUCACAAUUUAGGGGUAAACCAGACUUUUAGUAUAAAUUCUAUUAAAAUUUUGUUAUUUUAGCAAGUAAAAUGUAAUAGUUGGAAUAUUAAACUGUAAAAAUAUAAUUAUUAAAAAAAUUUACUAAUAAAGUGAUAUAUUAGACGAAGUUAGGCGAUAAAGAGAUAACAUCCCUCUUAGGAAUUAAUUAUAUUAGUUUACAACCUUGUAAUCCUUUGUUAAGCAGCAAAGUAAAAUAUCUUUUAUUGAGUAUUUUUGUUUCCUAUUUAACACAUGCAAUCUUUUAUUAAAUGAAAAAAGAUUUUUUUUUUAAAAUAAAUAAAUAAAAGAGGAGCAAGGCCGAAAUCAAAAGAGUUAAAUUUCGUCGAGCCUCGUGUACUCAGUUUAGAAUUCUAAAUUCACAAGUCUAAUUAGGUUUAUAUUAUUAUUAUGAUAUUAGUUAGAAAGGCAGCUAGUAAGCAAGUCGAAUAAGACAGCUAUUAUUAUUAUUAUUAAGUUUUUUUGGCCUCCUGCCUUUCCUCUUAUGUGAACUUUGUUGAACGACUAAAGAAAGCAUCGGCUAAGCUUCUGAGUCUCAUCCAAAAAUUAUUGGUUUAUACCAAGAUUCCUAAUUGCUACCAUUUGAAUUGUUUUUCAACUUCUAGUUCUCAUAAUUUUGAGAACAAUGAAACAUGAAAAUAAUUGCUUUCUUUGGUGAUUGAUUGAUGUGAUUCUAUUUCAUUGGAUCAUUUUAUUGAAUCUAUUUUUUCAUUGCUACAACCAAAAAUGCUAGUGGGAUCUCUUUCUAGUUUCUAGAAGUACUCUAAUCGCCCUGUUCCUUCUUGAACAUUAAUUGUAGGCUUUUCUGCUACACAACCUUUAAUCUUUUUGAAGUUAGAAUCAAAAGGGGUUUAUCAAAUCUCGAUCCUCCCCAAUUUAGGAUUUCAUAAACAAAAAAUAACUUUGAGAAUAGGGAUCUCUUUUAAAAAAAAAUAAAUUAAUUAAGAAUAAGAGUGAACUACUAUGAAAUUAGUGAGUUCUAAUUAGUUUAAUUAAUAAAUCUUUAUACUAAACUAAGAGAUUUAGAUUUUAAUCAUGUUCACGUGCAUAAGUAGUUACCAAUAUUACUAUGUUUAAGAAAAGUGGUACAAUAGUUUGUUUCAUGUACAUUAUUUUAUUAUUUAUAAUUAAUUAUCACAUUUCUUUUUUUUUUUUAUUAUUAUUGGUUAAAUGAAUCACGAGAUCAAUGGUACGGAUUUAUGAUUGGGAUAUAAGGAAGAAAUCAAUAUGAACUAGCUAAGAAAAUGGAGGAUUAAAAUGAGAAUGGAACAUGAAUCUCUUAAAACAUGGGCAUUUGGUAUCUUGAAUUUUUCUAGUUUAUUAUUAUUAUUUUUGUCGUCGUCGUCGUCUUUGAGGGUGUUUAGGUCAAUUUAUAGUGUAGAUGCCGAUAAGUACAGAAUAGAUGAGUCAACAUAUGUUGAUAGGGAGGUGAAUUCUUUUUCUUUUUUUUUUAUCAUUUUUUAAUGAUUUUUUUUGUCAUUUAUUCUUUUAGCAACUUUAAUUUUUUUUUAAGACUUUUUGUUCUCAGUGGAAACACGAGAUGCACGUGAGGUGGUUGUUAAUUUAGGAGUUGAGUUGAGUUUUUUUACUGAACAUUAAAUUAAUAUUUAUUAAAUAAAAGAAUAAAAAGAUAAAAAUGUAAAAUAAAUUCUAUUAAUAUAUUGUUCGUAAAAAUUAAGUUCAAUAUUGAAUUCUCUAAUUCGUUGUUUAACCUAUAAUUUUGAAAAAAAAUAAAAAAUGGAAAAAAUAAAAAGAAAACAUAAUAAACUAUUAAACCAUAUGACGUUAUAAUAUGAAUACGUUAUCUUGUCACUUUCUUUUUAAGUUAUAUGAUUUUAUAAGUAAAUUUAGAGUCCAGUUAAAUUACAGGGUGAGUAAUUUACAACCCAACCACUUUGUACAAAUAUGAAUAUUUAUAAGAGGGGUCUGGGCUGCAAGUUACUACUAAUGCUUUAACUUAGCGAAAAACCUUAAGUCUAUCUUUUUUGGGAUUAUUUUCUGGGAGAUUGCCACUUUCUCCUUUACAGUAAUUAAUAUAUACCAUUUAUCCCUUUGUUAUUUUGAAAAUGAUAAAAAUCUCAUUGACAGUAUAAGUUACAAUAUUAUCUUUAUUUGUAACUACUCUUUUAUUUAUAUUUAUUAUAAAUUAAAUAAAUUACAUGAAUAUAAACUAAAUAAAAAAAUUAAGUAUUAAAAAUAAGAAAUAUAUGUUUUGAUAUGAGCAAAAAAAUUAAUAAUAAAAUUUUUUUCUUGUAAUUAUUUAUUUUGCAAACAUUUUCUUAUAAUAAACAUUUUGUAAUAUUUUAAAAGUAAAUGUAAAAAGUAUAGGCAAAAUAUUUUAUUAUUUAUCUUAUAAUAAAUUUUUAUUUGUCAUUCAAGUUUUCUUAUAAUAAUUUUUUUAUCAUUUUAUAAUAACUUUCUUAUAUAUUUAUUAUAAGAAAAUUUUUACAAAAUAAAUAAGUACAAGAAAAAAAUUCAUUAUUAAUUUUUUAUAUUAAAAUAUAUAUUUCUUAUUUUUAAUGCUAAUUUUUUAUUUAAUUUAUAUUUAUGUGAUUUAUUUAAUUUAUAAUAAAUAUAAAUAAAAAAAUAAUUAAAAAUAAAAAUAAUAUUAUAAAUUUAUACUAUCAGAGGAAUUUUUAUCCAUUAUAAAAAUAAUAAGAAAAAAUAAUAAAUGUUCAUUACUGUUGGGAGAAAUUCACAAUCUCCUUAUUUUCUCCAUUUGGAUAACAUCACUCGAACUUUAGUUGACCACGUGUCAACAUUUCAAUGGUUUCAUAUCAAAUUAUUAGCUGUGAAUUAUUGAGUGAGAAAACAUACCGGACCCCCAACUUUUGCUUUUACGUGAACAUGAAUCAGAUCCUCUUUUUUUUUUUUUUUUUUUUUUUUCUUUUUGAUAUAGUGAAUCAGAUUCUUGAAAAGCUGUGAAGUGGGGAGCGAUCGUUUAAGUUAUUUAAAUUUAAAGCCGGCAAUAAUUGAAGCCUUAGGAUUGUUAUUGAUUAUUACCUCCACCAAAGCUUUCUGAAAAAACAGAUUAAGAAAAUUUUUUUUUUUUUUGUUUUCCUCGAAACGACAUAAGACGAUCGCUCUUAAUUUUAAAUAACUCCAGUUGACUUACCGUUGAACUGGAAGGACAUAAGGAGAAUGACCUUCUCAUUUUCCAUCUGUCAUAAAAAUUUAUUUAAAAAAUAAGUGCAUAAACUAAGCCGGGCUUAACGUUUUAUUUUUAACCAAUAUAUAUAUAUAUAUAUAUAUAUAUAUAUAUAUAUAUAUAUAUAUUAUAGAAAAUGAUAUUUACAUCCCAAGAUUUAGGAAAAUAGUCACAAAAACUCUUGAGUUUUUAAUAAAGGACACCAAAACUCUUUUUGACCAUAAUGCCUUUUGACUCUAUAAAUCUAAAAAGAAAAAUAACUCUAAAAUUUUAUAAUGAAUAGAAAUAUGACAUUAAAAUAAAUGUAAUAAGAUAUACAUUUCAAAAUAAUUUUAAUAUCUAAAAAUAUUUUAAUAUUUUUAAUCUAUUAGACCUCUUUUAUUAUAUUAAAGCAAUUUUUAAUAAUAAAUAGAAACAAAAUAUUAAAAUAAAAAUUAUUUUGACUAUUAUGUAAAAGUUAAUUUUAAUAUUAUUAAUAGAGAGAUUUUUUAAAUUGUAAAAUCUAUUUAACCCAAAGAUUAUUUAAAAUCUUUUUAAUAUUACAAUUAUAUUAUUAAAAUAAAUAUAAUAAUCUAAAAUUUUAAUAUUAUUUUAAAUGUUAAAAAUAAUUUAAUAUUAUUAGUCUACCAAAUAGAUUUAUAUUAUUUAUAUAAAAUUUGUGUUAGUUAAAAAUUUUUAAAAUCAAUUUUUUAAUUAAUAUAAUCAAAAGUAAUUGUGGGCAAAAAAAAGUUUUUGUAUCUUUUUUUUAAGACUUAAAGAGUUUUUUGUAACUAUUUUCCCAAAUCUUGGAAUGUAGUUAUUCUUUUUCUUUUUUUAUCCCAUCUCAGUUUUUUUACAAGUAUUCAAAUAUUAGUACGUGAAAUAUAUUUUAAAAUAUCCAUCAAUUUAUUAUUUCUUAAAGUACCUUUUAUUAAUAAAUAGCAUAAUACACACGAAGCACCAUUGAUAUUGAUGUUCAUACAUCUGAAUCAAUUUUCGAGUCUACGUCAUGAUUUCUACGUCACGAAUUCUCUUAUUUAAGGCAAACCUCAUAGAGGCAAUCACAAAACAUGAAGAAAAUUGAUUUUGUUCCUAGUCCUCACUUUCUAAAAAGAAUUUUUGUUGAAGCUAUAUAUAUAUAUAUAUAUUGAAUCUUUUGAAAAAAAUUGCUUCCUGAGCAUAUGAUUUCUUGCUGGGUUUCUUCAAUUGCUCUUCUUGUUCAGUUGUUAAAACUUUCCAGUUUCCUCUCUGUAGUACAAAGAAUAUUUGAUCAUUGAAGUGCCACCUUCGUAGUGUUAAUUUCGGUGAUGGAGUCCGCUGCUCAAGUGAGGGAUAUCGAUGCUUUGUAUGAGCUAAUUCGACAUGAUCAAUAUUUUUUGGACAACUUUGACGAGAAACCUUUUGUCGAUACUCCUUUGCAUGCUGCUGCAAGGGAUGGAAAUGUUGAAUGGUCCAUGGAGAUUAUCAGACUAAAGCCAUCAUUUGCCAGGAAGCUAAACCAAGAUGGCUUCUCUCCGGUGCAUUUAGCUUUGCAAAAUGAUCAAACUCAGUUAGUGCUUCAGCUGAUAGAUAUUGAUCCGGACCUUGUUCGUGUCCAAGGAAGAGAAGGCAUCACUCCUUUGCAUUUCGUGUCUGAAAAAGGAGACAUCCAUCUGUUGAGGGAAUUUUUGUCUGCUUGUCCGAAAUCUCUUGAAGAUGUGACCAAUAAAGGCGAGACUGCUCUUCAUAUUGCUUUGAAAAACAAUAACGUCGAAGCUUUUGAUCAAGCCUUAACAACAGUACAACCACCGUGGUUUGACCUUGAAGAAGCUCAACAAUACAAUCCAGGAAUCCUCAACUUGAAGGAUAGGGAUGGCAACACUUUGUUACACAUAGCAACAUCCAAAAGUCAAGUCCAGGCAAGCUCGAAUUCACACACACACAUAUAUAGAAAUUUUCCAAUGAGGUGCAGGCACCCUCAUUUUUUCCUUUUUAAUAUAGACAUGCUGUCUUUUCUUUUUUAAUAUAGACAUGCCGUUAAAUCACGUGCUUUAAUAUAGAUAAUUCUUAAUUCAUUAUAAAGCCAUAUAUUUUAAUAGCAUACCUGUAUAUAGUUUAAUAACGUAUCCGCAUGAGAAAAAAAUGAAAGUGUUUGCAUGAAAAAAAGGACUAUAUAAAUAUAUAUAUAUAUAUAUAUAUAGUAUCUAAUGAACUUAUCUUUAUUUCAACAAAGUAAGGAUGCCAUUAAUAAAUAUAAAAAGAAAAUCUUGAAUAAAUUAAAAUAUGUGUUCUUUUGUAUUUUAUUUACAUCUUUACUUCAUUAAAGUUUCUCUCAUAUACGGUCACAAAUAAAAUUCACAAAUAAAAUUCAGUUGAAUGAUGAUUAGACAGAUUAUUGCUAUUUCCACUUCCUGAUGAUGUCUAAAUUGAUGAAUUUGCUCAUCCAAAGCAGAUUGUAAGGCGUUUAUGGAAUUGCAAAGUUGAUACAAAUGCCCAGAAUUCGGAAGGUUUGACACCUUUAGAUAUUUCAUUACUUGAUCAAACUAAAUCAGAAAACCAAGAGAUUGCGGCAAAGCUGCGGGAAGCUGGAGCACUAGAGGCAACUUCACUUCCUACUACCGACAAGGAUAGACAUUUAUCGAGGUAACAGGAACACUGCUCUUUUACUAAAUUACAGUCCAUUUAUCGAUUAUCUUUUUAAAAACAAUAUGGCAUUUUCAUACUAUGUACAUCUCAAAAAUUGUUUAAUGUCCUUCAGAAGUAAGGAUCAGAGGCUGAACGAGGCUGCUAAAACAGGAAAUGUUGAUGCCUUGUAUGAAUUAAUAUGUGAGGACGCAUAUCUUUUAGAUCAGAUAGACGAAGUACCAUUCGUGGAUACUCCUUUACAUAUAGCAGCAUCAAUGGGGCAUGUCAACUUUGCCCUGGAGAUAAUGAGGUUAAAGCCAUCAUUUGCAAGAAAGCAAAACCAAUAUGGAUUUAGUCCCCUGCAUCUUGCUUUGCAGAAGAAAGAUACCCAAAUGGUGCGUCGGCUCAUAGAUGUGGACAGAAAUCUUGUUCGUGUCCAAGGAAGGGAGGGUGUAACGCCUCUACACUAUGUUGCUGAGAAAGGAAAUGUCGAUAUUCUAUGCCAACUUCUAGAGGCUUGCCCUGAGUCCAUCACAGAGGUGACAAUCCGUAAAGAGACUGCUUUGCAUGUUGCUGCAAAAAAUGACCAGUUGGAGGCCGUUGAGUGCAUGCUAGGAUGGCUUCGAUAUGUCGAUAUGGAGGAUAUCCUUAACUGGACGGACGAUGAAGGCAACACUUUAUUGCAUAUCACAAUCUCCAAAAGUCAAAUAAAGGCAUGAAAUUUUUUUAAAUUUUACUUCAGUUAGUCCCUAUAUUUUCAUGAUUAUUAAUUGCAUGCAUAUAUAAAUAUAUCCUUGCAGUUGGUGAGGCUACUAGUUAAAAGAGCACGUGAUCAAAUAAAUGCUCGGAACUUAGGCGAUAAGACACCCAUGGACAUGGUAGAAGAACAUUUGCGAGGGAAACCUGAAUUUAAAGAAGUAACACGCAUGGUGCGCAAAGCUGGCGGCCGACAAGAGUCCUCCCCUCCUCCUCGUAGGGACGUUGCAGGUUACUUAAAACAAGGUUUGACAUGUCGUCGAAAGGUGCUUUUGUUCUUUUACCGCUCAUCACAGCGCAUUACGGAUGAAAAUCGAAGCGCACUACUUGUGGUUGCUAUACUAAUCGCGACAGCCACAUUCCAAGCAGCGCUUACCCCGUCUGACGAUCUUGAGGGAAAUAAGUCAACUGGAACCCCCAACUCUAUUGCCACUAAUGGAUCACACUCAUCAUCGACAUCGGCAUCGACGUGGGCAUCAGUAUGGGCAUCAGUAAACCAAUCAGGAACAGCAAAUGCAACGGCCUUUGGUGUGAGCAAUGGAACCAGCAGCAGCAUCCCAACAAGUGACAAGAUUCUAUUCGCUCCGGGGCAAUUAUAUCCUGAAGCCAUUAGUGAUACGAUCUCCACACUUUUCGCAUUUUCAAAUAUUACAGCAUUUUUUAUAUCUAUGCUGGUGAUUAAUUAUCACCUCCCGUAUGGCUCCGCAGCUACUCUGGUAUAUCCUCUAGUUAUUUGCUUUUGCCUGUUAGUGGUUGGCAGAACCCCGGUGUCGCUACUUGCCUCACUUUCAAUGCUUAUCGUCUUUCGGAUUUGUUUAUUUGUACAACUGGACUUCUCCAAGAUUCGAUUUAGACGAAGCUUCUGGAUUACACAAGUUUUGGGCUCCGUUUUCAAACAUUAUAGAAGCUUCCUCAAUAAGAUAAUGAAAGAUGCUGAAAAAUAGCUAUAAUGCCAAUAUGCUGCCAUGGAUAAAACACAUGUCCGUUGGUCUGUUGAUGUUCUCUGCUGGCUUGGCUUUAUCUACUUAGUGUGACACUUCCUCUCAAGUAAUAUUGCUGGUUUUAUUUUGCGUAAGAAGGUGUGCUUUUGUGUACUGUAUUUUCUGAAUUAUGUUCGUUUGCUUUUGCUUCAUUUUGUAAGGUCUUCGCAUGUUUCAAUGUAAUAUUAAUUACUCUUGUUGUAUCUGAUAGUUGUACUGUUCACCUUCGUGACUGUGAAUAUAAUGAUGUUAAUUUAAUUAAAACUAUAUGCUUGUUUGUUUGAUAAGAAAAUGAAGGAAAAUUUAUUGACUUAGAGAGGAAAAACAGAGAUUGAAACUAUAUGCAUCUGGAACUUUCCAAGUGUAACAGAAUCAUAUACACACUCUCUGAUAUUCACCAUAACAAUUUGGUGGGAAAUAAAAAACUUUUAACAACUUGCAUUACAAUCUUCCAGUAGGUUCCAGCAGCUUGUCCAGCUUGGCAUCUGACAUCAAUUAGUUGACUCAACUUAUUCUUAACAAAUUUUUAUGAACAUAUGAAAUAUCAAUAUCAUUGGGCUUUUGAUGCUCCCACCCACAGGCUACUUAAAAUUGUACCUAUAAAAGUCUGUUAGAAGAAAAGCUGAUUCAAAAUACUUACGGCAAUAUAUGAAGAAAAACAAUCAACAAACAGCAAACACACAAACAUAGCAAUAAAAGAAGACAAGGCAAUGUUUGAUGAGAUUAAAAAGCUGACACAUGUAGCAUAUAUAUUUACGUUUUCUUGGAGAGAGGAAACCGCUGUUGGAUCUUCAUUGAUGAACCCUUCAACAGGCCUCCAAAAGGCUCUGCUGGGUCAUAAUAAAUCGCAACAUCCCCUGGCCUAAUUGAUUCAUCAACCUAUGUAUCAGGUUUUUCAUUCAUCAGCAAAGAGUUUCAGCAAUUGAUCUAAAAAAUAAAGACUGCUUUUGACACUCUAUAUAUAUGUGUGUGUGUGUGUGUGUCUUUUCCAGACAUUAGCAGAUCUAAAAUACUGUAGUAGAACAUACAUACAUAUGUAUAUGUAUAUAUAUCCAGCGGCUCAUGGAGCCCUUUUUCUUUUUUUCUUUUUAUUUUGCAGGCUGCACGUGGUGGGAGCGCCCUUUAUCCUCCUCUUUUUUUUUUUAAUUUUGCAGGCUGCGCGUGGUGGACCUUUGAUGUCCCGCAUCGGAUUACUAUCCUCUCUCUCUCUCUCUCUAUAUAAUUGUCCAGUUAUUUCUAAAUUUUAAGCAAUUUAGAUUUAGUGAUGAUUUAAAUGUCAAAAUUUAAAAUUUUUAUUUUUCUUUUUGAAAUUUCGAUAUCCAAGAGAUUGCAGUAAUAAUAACCCAAUUAAACUUCCACCAGUGAAACCACUUCUCCAUGAGAUCUUAUUGUAAAUGCACAAAAAGUUGAGGGUACCAUGCAUAUACAGGAGCGCCGUAGCUGAACCCUCAAAUUAUUUAAUUGAGGACAAAUUGUAAAAAGAUAACCUUAUUAUCGAAGUCAUGGAGUUCUAAUAUGAAAAUGGCUAUAGCUUUCUAUUGGAACAGAAGCCUGUUAAAAUAUAAUAUUUCUCUCUAAAAUCAUCUAACAAAUUAAUAAUGAAGAUUUCUUUAUAAUGUUGUAUGAGUUUUUAUAGUAUUAAUAGUCGAAUUGUUGUAGAUUCUUGAAUUUUAAUGUUUUAAUCUCUACCAUUCAUUUGAUAUAGUGGAUAAAAAAAAUUAAUUAUUUAAAUAAUAACAGGUAACCUUCAGGUUGCAAGUAAAUGUGGAUUUUUUUUUUUAAAGAAAAUUUAUAUUAUGUUGGAUAAAAACCCCACAUUCAAUGGUGGGAUCAUUUGAUUUAAUAUUAUAAUCUUUACCCUUAAUUUAAUUUUAAUAGUUAAGUAAUUAUGUAGCAAAUAAUUUGCAAGUUGUGAUAUUUCUUCAUACUUUAAAUUAUUUUUUAUCUAAUCAACUGAUAAAUACAAAUAAUUAAUUUUGGAAUUAAAAUUGUUAUGUACUGGUUCUAUCACUUUACAAUUUUACAUUUUUUUUUUUGCUUUUACAUUUAGCAUUAAAAAUAUAUGUAAUAACAUUAAAAUAAAUGUAAUUAACCAGUAAUAUUAUUUCAACAAUACUUUAUUUAAAGAUAUUUCAUAAAAUCUUAUAACAAUUUGUAUUGUAUGAAUUUAAUUACAAAGCCAUUAAUACUUAGACAAUAAUGAAUUGGCAAUGGAGAUUAUUAAGCUAAAGCCUUCAUUUGCCAAGAAGCCCAACCAAGAUGGCUUCUCUCCCAUGCACUUGGCUUUGCGAAAAUGGUCAAACUCAAACAGUGCUUCAGUUGAUAGAUACUGAUCCGGAACUCGUUCGUGUUAAAGGAAGGGAAGGCAUCACUCCUCUGCAUCAUGCGUCUGAAGAUGGAGACCUGUAUCUCUUGGAGAAAUUUUUGUCUGUUUGUCUGAAAUCUCUUGAAGAUGUGACAAAUAAAAGCGACACUGCUCUUCAUAUUGCUUUGAAAAACGAUAAGGUUGAAGCUUUUCAAGUCCUAACAAGAUGCCCUCCGUCGGUCAUUGGCCUUAAAGAAGCUGAUCAAUGCUACAACAAAAGAAUCCUCAACUCGAAAAAUAGGGAUGGCAGCACUCUGCUACACAUUGCAACAUCAAAAAAUCAAGUCCAGGCAAGCUUGAAUUAAUAUGCUAAAAAAAUCGGUUGAGUGAUUACAUUAUUGAUAUUGCCACCUGUUUUUUGUUUUAAAGUUUCAGAGUUUGUAUAUUACAUAGUGUCGCGCCUUCUAUUUUUGUGAGCUGUAGAGCUCUCACUCACACCUAACUUACUUAGGACCGUUUUCUAAGUAUUUAGGGAGUAGAUGAUUCCUAAUUAAUUAGAUUAGGAGUAAGUUUUUCUAAAGAUAAUCAUGCACAUAUUAUUAUGUUUUCCCUUUUAAGUAUGGUUUCUUCUCAUUCGAUUAGGAUACCUUAUAGUAGCAAUAUUACUUAAGACUUGUAUAUAAAGACCUCUUUGCAAGCAUAUAAUACAACAAGAUCUAAGCCAUAAUUAAUUUGCUCUCUAAGUUCCCACAUUCUCUCUUUCUUUGCCGUGAUGCUACAUUAAGAGUGUGAAAAUCAGAAAAAGGACAAAAGACCCCUGUGGUUUAGUGAAAUAGUUAUGAAACCUACUUAUUUUUAGAAAUAAUCAUAAAUACACCUUUUAGGAUACACAAACCCAAUUUAUUUGCCAAACUUUAGGGGUCUAUAUGACUUUUCUAAAUGUGAAAAUGAUUUACAUGUCCCCAAAAGGGGUAAUGUCGGACUAUUUCUGAAAACAAUCAGUCUCUAUAUGAUCAAUUUACUGAAUUUAUGAGUGUUGAUGUCUUUUUUCCUACUACAUCUUAUAGCUUAAACACAGACUCACAAGCAAAUAAAGAAUUGAUUUUUUCCAUAUUAAACAUGUCUCAUUACGUUAUUCUAGUUUUGUACCAUAUUGUUACAUUCCUUCAUCAUCUAGACCUAAUAUCAAUGGCUUUCAAUCAAUUACAUUACAUUACAAAAUGAUGUAGAAGAUAUCAUAUGAUAUUUGUCUUAUUACAGUAUUACACAUGACAUUGCAACCUUAAUUAAUAUAAUCAACCUAGAGUGUUCUUGCUCUACAAGUUAUACACUAGGUGAAAUCAUAGCCCUUGAUUUUGACACUUGAUGAAGAUUCAAUCAUUACUUGAUAACUUGUAGAAUUCAAAUCAAAUGCUUCUCUGAAGCAUUUCAUCAAACAACUUAUUCCAAAUAUCAAACACCCACUCUUUUAACUUCAAAACUACCUAACGACUUUGUAUUCACAUGUCCCAGCAGAUUGUAACGAGUUUAUUGAACUGCAAAGUUGAAAUAAAUUCUUUGAAUUCUGAUGGCUUGACACCUUUAGAUAUUACAUUACUUGAUCAAACUCAGUCAAGAAAUCAGGAGAUUGAGGAUAUGCUAUGCAGCGCUGGAGCAUUAGAAGCAACUCCACUUCCUAUUAUGGCCAACUGCACAAAUGUAUUGAGGUAAAACAACUCUUUUGCUAAACUAUGGUCCAUAUAUGGAUAAUAAUUUUAAAUAAUAUAUUUCAUUAAUUUGCAUUUUCCAUGUUAUGCACAUUGUAAUUACUUGCUAAGAAUAUUGCUUAAAUCAAUUAAUUAAUGUCCUUCAGAACGGAUCAGAGGUUGAACGAGGCUGCUCAAGUAGGAAAUGUUGAUGCCUUGUAUGAAUUAAUAUGGGAGGACGCAUAUCUUUUAGAUCAGAUAGACCGGGUACCAUUUGUGGAUACACCUUUACAUAUAGCAGCAUCGAUGGGGCAUGUCAACUUUGCCUUGGAGAUUAUGAGAUUGAAGCCAUCAUUUGCAAGAAAGCAAAACCAAUAUGGGUUUAGCCCUUUGCAUCUUGCUUUGCAGAAUUCACACACUCAAAUGGUGCUUCGGCUCAUAGAUGUCGAUAGAAAUCUUGUUCGUGUCCAAGGAAGGGAGGGUGUAACGCCUCUACACUAUGUGGCUGAGUGAAGAAAAUAUGAAACGAAGUGUUUGGCUUAAAAGAAAAUAACAGAGAAAAUAAUCUUCUGAUUUUCCAGAACUUUUAUUUUCAUAUAAAGAAUGAUUACAUCACUUCUAUUUAUACUAACUAAACAAUAACUAAUUAAGAAUCAACUCCAGCUAAUCAUUUUUUCAGUACACACUGUGAGUAAUAACAAACUUUAACUAAUUAUGCUAAGCUAGCAGUCUGGACUGUUGCGUUGCUUAACAGCUUCUGAUAGUUUGACUUGAGUUGACCCAAGCUUUGUUUUCUCAUGCUCUGCAUAAUGUGCUUCCUUAACACUGAGAAGGGAAAUGUCGAUCUUCUAUAUAAAUUUCUAGCAGCUUGCCCAGAGUCUAUCCUGCAGGUGACAAUUCGAAAAGAAACUGCUCUGCAUGUUUUUUUCGAAAUAUUAGAGGGACUUUUAUCCAUAUGUCUAAACGUUGUGAGUGUGUUAGUCUUUUUCCCUAUUUACAAGUACAAUUGUAAAUUUAUUUUCCCAUUCUUCUUCCCUUCUCUUCAAAAUUCAGCCCGAUUUUCUCCAUUUAAUCAUUCGCAUCUACAACAUUGCAAAUCUAGAAUUAGAAUUAAAAAUUCUUAUGAUUUUCCAAUACCAAUAAGUCAGUAAAUCAACUAUUAUAGUCAAAACCAAACCCUAAAAUAAAAUUAUCAUUUUUUUCCUUCAUCCUGUUCUCAAAAGGGGUUAUCUUUGUUGCUAGGCAUGUGGUGUUUAACGAAUCAGAAUUUCCUUUCUCUACGGAUCCUCAAUUCUCUAAGCAAUCUUCUACCUCUGUUUCCGAGUAUAGACAUCCUAUGUUUAAAACUUCUUCUGUGUUAGUUCUGCUACAUGAUCCUUCAGGCUCAAGUGACAACACUGUACAACAGCUUCAGCUCCAUGCAGUUCCAGCUUCCUCUUCUUCCUCUAGUUCUUCAUCAUCAUCACCUUUACCUCCAAAUCCAUAUUUCCCUGAUCCUUAUCACAAUAUGUCCCAUAAUUCCCAACACUCUUCUUCUUCUACAUCUAUUGUGCCUAUUCCACAGCCUUCUGUCCCUGCUCAUGUACCAUUGGCAACUCAUCCAAUGGUUACAAGAGCAAAAGCAGGAAUAUUUAAGCCAAAGUUUCUUGCAUAUUCUUUUGUUCUUGAAGAACAUGAACCUGCUACAAUUUCUCGAGCUCUCUCAAAUCCUAAACGGAAAGCAGCAAUGCAGGCUAAGUAUGAUGCACUCAUGAAAAAUGAAACUUGGGUUCUUGUUCCAACCUCUCAAGCUACUAAAGUUGUUGGUUGUAAAUGGGUGUUUCACAUUAAGUAUAAUGCAGAUGGCUCUAUAUCUGAGUACAAAGCUCGUUUGGUUGCAAAUGGGUUUCAUCAAACCCCUGGUAUUGAUUACUUUGAGACUUUUAGUCCAGUGGUUAAGCAAUCUACUAUGAGAAUUGUACUUAGUCUUGCUGUUAUGAAGAGCUGGAAAAUAAGGCAGAUAGACAUCAACAAUGUUUUCCUUAAUGGGCAGCUCAAUGAAGAUGUUUACAUGUUUCAACCUGAGGGAUUUGUCUAGCUUUCAUCUGGUCAUGUUUGUAAAUUGCUUAAGGCUCUUUAUGGUCUAAAACAGGCUCCUAGAGCCUGGUUUGAUUGGUUAAGGAAAGCAUUGUUGAAGUGGGGGUUUCAGAGCUCAAGAACAGAUUCAUCUUUAUUCUUUAAACAUGAACUUGGAGGUAUUGUUGUUGUGUUGAUAUAUGUUGAUGACAUUCUUAUUACUGUAGAUAAUAAUACAGUGAUUGAAAGGUUCAUCAAAUAUCUUGGAGAUACUUUUGCUUUAAAAGACCUUGGUGAAUUCAAUUACUUCCUUGGUAUUGAAGUUACUCAAGGUACAGAGGACAACUUACAUCUCUCACAAGCCAAAUAUGUAAGAGAUUUGCUCACAAAAACUGCAGAGAAAGUGAUACUCCAAUGAGUACAAGACAGAAACUAAGAAGAGCAAGAAAUGAAGAUAAUUUGAUUGUUAAUGUUACUGAAUAUAGAAGCAUAAUAGGUGCAUUGUAGUAUUUGGUACUCACAAGGCCAGAGCUUGCUUUCUCAGUAAACAAGUUGAGUCAAUUUCUUGCUGCAUCUACAGAGAAGCAUUGGACUGCUUGUAAGAGAAUUCUAAGAUACUUAAAGACAACUGAGGAUUAUGGCUUGCUAUUUAAACCAGGUGGUGGUGUUGUCUUAACUGCAUAUACUGAUGCAGAUUGGGCAUGUGAUGUUGAUGAUAGGAAAUCAGUUGGAGCAUAUUGUGUUUAUCUUGGGCAAAAUCUUAUUUCAUGGUCUUCUGAGAAGCAACAAACAAUAGCUAGAUCUAGCACAUAAUCAAAAUAUAGAGCAUUAUCAACAUCAUGUGCAGAAAUCGUUUAGGUUCAGGCUUUGCUUGGUGAACUUAAUAUUAAGUGCAAUCAAACACCAAUAAUCUGGUGUGACAACAAUGGUACUGCUGCAUUGACAACAAAUCCAGUAUAUCAUGCUAAAACCAAGCACAUAGAAUUAUAUGUACAUUUCAUAAGAGAGAAUGUGACAAAUAAACAAGUGGAAAUCAAGUAUGUGCCUAGUGAAUGGAAUAUUGCAGAUGUGCUUACAAAGCCUAUGGCUUACUGCUUUUUUAAUUACUGUAGGACAAGCUUAAUGUUGUUUCAUGACCGUUAAGCUUGAGGAGGAGUGUUAAGAUGCUUAAUCAACAGCAGUAGACCAGUGGCUGAGAUUUGUGCGACAAGGAUUGCUGAGCUGGACAAAUUAGUUAAGUUGUUGUAAUUAGUUUUAGUUUAGCCAAUAGAUGUAUUACAGUUGUACAAAAGGUUGUUAUUACUGUUGAUCAACAAUAUAAGUUUGCUACGAGCUAAAUGUAAUUCAUAUAAUUCAUAUCAAUAAAAUUUUCUCUGAUUUAGUUACUUUUCUUUCUUCUUUCCGUCACUUUCCUACUAACCAAACAAACUAUCAACCUAAGAUCCGUGAGUUCUAACUUUUACAAAUGUAAUAAUUACCAUGAAUUUACAAAAACUUGCAGCAAAUAUUUGUGUCCCAAUAGGUUGACAAUUGCAACACAUAUCGAAAAACUGUAAUAGUACCCUUCAUUAUAAUUACUUGACCAUAGUCAGUGGCGAACUAUGUAUACGCCUGGCAGCCGAGGUGUCGAGAAUUUAAUUUAACAGGGGUGCCUAAGUUCAAACACUAACAUAAUUUAAAAAAUGGUCAAUAAAUAACAAAUAUUAAAAUAUUUAGGGCUAGUUUGGUAAUCUUAUAACUUUUAAAAUAAUUGUUGUUACUUUCGCUGUAAAAAUAAUAAGUUGUGAAUAGAAUUAGUUAAACGUUUGACAAAAUUUCUUCUUAAAAGUGCUUUUGUAAAUCUCAUUGUUGAACUAUUAUAAGAGUUUAAAUGAUUAAAAUGGACAUAAUAUUAAAUAAAAUAUAUUAUAUAGAUAUAAAUACAUACAUAUAAUAUUUUUUAUUAUGUAUAUUAGUAAUUGAUAACUAAAUAAUUAUCUUUAUUUUAUUAAUUAUUUUUUAUCUCAAUAUAAUUAAUAAUAAUAAUAAUAAUCUCUAGAUUUAAUAAUUUUAUUUCCUAAUUGAAUAAGAAUAAUUUUAGAUUUUUAUAAUAUAUGUAAGGAUAUAUAUGGAAUUUUAUUAAUUAGAAAACUUAUCCUAAAAAUUAGAUUUUGAAAGCCUACUUCUUUUUUGCUUUCCAAAAUAUACUGUAUAUAAGAUACAGUGAUUUUACCGAAAGUGAUUUAAAAAAAAAAAAUCUACCAAACAGUAAAAUUAAAGUUUAACUUUUAAAAUCACUUUUAAGUCUCUCAAAACUAAUCCCAAAUAGGCCCUUAUUUCAAUACAAUUAUAAUUGUUCUCAUGUAUUUUCAUAUGUUAAAAAUAUUGAAGAAUAACCUCAUUAUCAUUACUACAAACAUAUUUUCUUCUACGUAUACAAUAAAACUAUCAUUCAACAAUUGGUUUCCCAUAUGAUUUUGUGGAAGCUUUUUCAGAAAAUUCAUAGCUGAAAAUACCCUUUCUAAUUUAGUUGUGUUACUUGAUAAAAUCAUUGCUAAUGUUACCAACAUAUAAAUUAAUGAAUACAACUAUCCAUUAUCUCAACCAUUUUUCUUGCUAACUCACCAGUCUCUUUUAAUCUUAAAAAUGUUGUCAAAACCCACAUUCAUAAUAUAAUCAUCAAGUUGAAUUUCAAGUGCCAUAAUGCAACAAUCUUUCUUUAUGGGUUCAAAGUGUUAAAAAGAAUAUUUAAUAUUUUACUUGUUUUUAAAUUUUAACAAGGGCGUUAUGGUAAAUCAAAUAAAAAUAGGACAAAUAUUAAAAUAAAUUUUAAAAAAUUAAAAAAUUGAAAAAGGGUUUCAGCCCCUGUUAAAAUGGCACCACAUCUAAAGCCUAGGGUGCCUUGAGGCAACAUACCAAUAAUAAUAAUAAAGAAAGAAAUCAAGAAAAAAGAGACAUAAUAAUAAGUAGUAACAUUAGCAAUGUUAAUUAUAUUUUAUGUUUUGACCCCUAUAAUUUUACAAGUUGAUUUUAUGUUACCGCCUACUCAAAUUUAUGGUUUUGGUCAUUGUGUUUGGCCCUCUCAAUUUUAGUGAUUCUAUACUGUAUGAAAUGUAAGUUAUGCAACCCAAGAGGGGGGUGAAUUGAGAUUUUAAAACUUACGCUAAACAAUUCGCACAACAAUUUAAUGUAUUGCCUUAAUCAAAUGUAAAAACAAUAAAUUCAGUAAAGCACAAUACUAAAAGAGUAAGUACAAUAAUAAAAGAGUAAGGGAAAAGAAAGCAAACACAACAAUUUUUACGUGGUUCGGCAAUCCCCGCUUACGUCCACGCCUCCAAGCCAACCAAACUCGAGGAUUUCACUAUCAAAGCCUCCCCAAAGCUUUAAGUUCUUACAAUUAACUUCCAAGGUGUCAAUGAACCUUUACAAUGAAGAGAUUAUCUCCCCAAUCUAUUCACCUGAAGUGUUUCUCACACUUGUACACUUACAAUUUGAUGAGAAAUGAACAAUUACAACAAAAACUCUCUUUAAGAGUGGAUUUACAAAUAAUAGCAUAAUAAUAAUUCAAUAAAUGAUGAUUUACGAAAUGGAACCUCAAUAUGUGUUAUAUGAUCUUAUUUAUGCUUGCAUUAGUCUUGAAAAUGAAAAUGGAGUUAAGGUUUUAUAGCUAAAGCCCGAAAACUAACCGUUAUAGGCAAAUUCCAGCGCUCAAGCGGUUAGCCGCUUGAUUUAUCCAGCUAGCCGCUCCAGAACAAUGAUGUUACCAUUAAAUUUGAAUUUUGCUACAAUAUCAUUGUUCAUUAAAUUACAUUUGUGACCAAAACUUUGUAUAAUUAUAUUAUAGCCCAACAUGUCAUAAAACUUUGCAAAUAAGUCUAAUUUCAGAAUUUCUAAAUAAUACCUGUCAUUCCUAAAUCUUAUUGUAAUUAUGAUAUGACCUAGUAUAUAAUAACAUUUUUCAAAAAGGUCCUUUUCAAAAUUUAAAAUAAUACCCAUAAAUUUUAAAGUUCUCAAAUCUUUUCAAUUUAGUCCAAAAUUUGAAAAUAUGAGACUUUCCUCAGGUGGUUAGCUGCUCACUCUCUGUCCAAUUUUUUAUUUCAAUUGUUUGUAUUAUGUUUGGGUCCUCAAACUUUCUUAAAUUGUAAUAUGACCCAAAAUAUUUCAAAUAUUUGCAAAUAAAUCUAAAUUCAAAAUUCAAAAUUCAAAGCAAUAUUUAAUAAAAUAAAAGAUUGCAAAACUUUUUCAUUUUAGUCCAAAUUACUCAAAUCCACAAAAUACUUUAUGUUAUAAAUAUAAAACCUUUUAGUUUAUGAAAGGUAAUUAUUUAAAUAAACUCUUGAGUUUCUCAAAUGCUAAAUCAUGCAUCAAUUAAAUCAUACCGACUUUACAAGAAUUUGUCACAAUAAUUUGUCUGUUGAGCUCUAAACUUAUUCUUGAUUUUGCCGUUGUCCGUUGAGUGUCUUGAACUUGAUUCACUUGCAUAAAUAUUAUCCUUAAAAAACUAGUAAAAAUGUGAAAUACAAUAUUUAUUAAAUCACUUAAGACACAUAUUUGUUAUCAUCAAAAUUAUAUUAUGGAUAGCCCUUUAGGGUAACAUUGUGGCUUACUCAAGUAUAUAGUUUCUUCAUUCGGCCCCAAAACCAAAAUCCUAAGAGUAUCUCCAAAAAGUUCUAUUAAUUUUACUCUUCAAAUAUUUAUUUGCUUAUCUAUGUGGUAAAAAGGAGAGUGAAAAAAUAUGUUAUUCUCCAAAAGACUCUUUAAAUAGAAAUAAGUUAAUAUUAUUUUAAUCAAAUAAAUAUUUUUUCAAAGGAAAAAUAAAUGGUAAUUAAAGCAUUUCUCUCUCUCUUUCUCCCCAAUAAAAAAUAAUAAAAUAUAAAUUGAAGAGAGAGAAAGUAACUCUACAAAUUGAAGAGAGAGAAUUAUUUCUUAUUUGAAAAAUCUUAAUUAGAGUAUAUUUUGAAGUCUUAAAUACUGAUGUAACUCUUCAAAUAAGUAAUAAAAUCUUAUUUGAAGAUUUUUUUGGAUAUGCUCUAACUUCACCACUAGAUUUACUUGAGUAUUCAACAAUACCCGACUUACUUGAGCGUAGAUGAUUUAGUUAUACUUAAUUGACUACUAAAACAAUUUAUUCAACUUACUCGACGAUACUUUACUUAGCUCACUCCAUGUACUAAUAUUUUACUAUUUUUCUAAGUGGUACAUUUAAUUACAAAAAUCCAUGAAAAUUUGAUAAUGAUGAAAUGCUUAAUAAAUAAGGGUAUUUGGUCAAAUCAUAACAAUGUUUGUUAAACACUGGUCUAAUAAUAAGUAGUCAUUUUCUGAUGAAAUAAAAUUAAAGCUGAAAAAAUUUAACAUGACUGGUUUACUCUAUACAAAUACAAUAUGAAUAAAUAUGUAUCUAUCAUGAAAAUUGACAUGAUUAUUAAAUGAAUUUGGUCUAAGUCAACCCAAUUGUUUCCCGUGUCAGGCUAGAAUUCAAUUUUUCAAUGCAUUUACUUGGUCAAUGACGUGAUUAUUAAUUAGUUAACCAAAACUAAUUCAUAUUUGCAUUAAAAUAUACUUAUAUUUUCAAUUCUAAAUUAAUUUAUAGAAUCUUAUCAUUAAAACUCAAAAUUUGGUCAUGAUUCUAGUGAACAUAUAUUUGAUGUUCUAUUUUGUAAAAUUCUUGAUAGAUUUAAAACUUCAAUGGUUCAUACAUGUUGUAUUUGCAUCAAAUGAGUGUGUAGUAUUUGAUGUAAAUCGUGUUAGAAUUUAAAUAGGUAUUCAGUGAAUUUUUAGGUUAAAUCAUGUUAGAUGACACAACUACCUAGUCAUUAAAAGAGCGUAUCAAGUCACUAUUUUAUUUUUCGUAUCGAGUUCAAGUUUUAAUAUUUUAACAUUUUAUUUUUCGUAUCAAGUUUAAGUUUUAAUAUUUUAACACAAUUAUUAAAUAAGUCGUGUUUUAACCAACAUAAAUUUAAAACAACACAAAAUUGACACAAUAUGAGUGGCUUAAUGACCUAUUUUGUUAGUUUUAUUUAAAACCCUCUAAUCUAUAAAAAAAAAUAAAAAACGGUCCAUGGGCCUAGCCCAAAUAUAUAUCCAACAAAACCAGCUCCCGCUCAAAUCACACUCUCUCGGUCGUUCCCUUCACUCUCCAAAACCCCCCAUUCCAAACAAAACCCUCAUUUUUCCCUCUUAACGAAGUCACUUUCUCGAGAACCAAACAUUCCCUUAGAUCUCCAAUUUCAUAAUGAGAGAAGAUGAAAUAGAGAAACUUCGAGGAUUGGUUCGCGACUGUGUGAGUAAGCAUUUGUACUCGUCGGCCAUUUUCUUCGCCGAUAAAAUCGCCGCUUUGAUCAAUGACCCUACUGGCGUUUACAUGCAGGCUCAGGCUCUGUUCCUUGGCCGCCACUACCGCCGUCCAUUUCACCUCCCUAACGCCUCAAAAAUUGUGCUCCGUGACCUCCGAUUUCGUUACUUGGCUGGUAAGUGUCUGGUAAAGUUCUGUUUUUUGAUUGCAUUAGAAAAUUUGAAUUUCAGAUUUUGGGAUUUGUGCUUUUUGCGUUUUUAGUUUUUUUUUUAAUGUUAUGAAAAAGGGAAAUUUUGAAAAUUUUAACUUGAAAUUGGUGUUCUUUUUAUUUUAGAACAAAAGAAUUUCAAUGAAAAAUAUGUGGAAAUUGAAUUGCUCUAGCAAAUUUGCAUGUGUUGUGUGUUUUAAGAAAAUGAAAACUAGAUUUUAAGCAAUUAAGGAGAAAUUAUCGACUUUGAGCUGAAUGGUUUUGAUCAAUUUUUUCUUGAAUGUUUAUUUGUUUAUACAACUGGGUAGUUUUUCUUUUACUUAUUUAUUUCUGGUCUGUCCUUUGUAUAAUUAGGAGGAACUGAAGGAGUGGGACUAGUGUUUGUCGAUGCUCGGUGAUGCUAAGGUCGAUGAAGAUGGUAAUGUUUUUGACACAAAGGAUAGCAAUGUCAUGUACUUAGAUAAAGAUGGGGAAGACAGAGAAAUCAAUGUAAGUUUUUGUUUGUAAUCUCAUUUUAUCUGGCCUUUUAUUUUUUAAUUUGUUGCAUAUUUGUUGUAUACUUGACCCAAUAUUUCUUUUUUCUAUUACAGAUCUCUUCAGCUAUAUGCUUUUUGAGAGGCAAAGCAUAUGAAGCCUCAGGAAAUUGUGCCCAAGCUCGGCUGUGGUUAGUUUCUUGCGAUGAAUUUACAUGAAAAUCACUCUGCUUAAUUGUAAAAUGCUUUAUGGUUAUUUUCCCUUAGUUUUUCAGUCAAAAUGAUACCAACUUAUACUGUCUAACAGUCUUCUGUUAUAGUAACUUAGGUGUAGUAAUUUAACGUACUGUUAAAGAAAGGAAAUGACUUUAUUGUUUUAAUGGGAGAAUUUUGAACAUUGUUAUAAACUUGUUUAAGUUGGGCAUAAGUAAAUUUAUCUUCAAUUUCAUUACUGAGCAGAUUUUGUUUGAAUGCAUGAAUGUUUGAUAUAUGUGUUUAAUAGCCAAGGAGUUUGUUUAGAUACUACUUUAAGAAUUAUCUAUAUAUAGAUUGGGUAGUCUAGAAAACUCUCCUUGAUUAAAUCAAUGUAUAAUUUUGAUAAGACAGUUUAAAAUGUUAACAUCCCAUGUCUUCUGGAGUCCAUUUGGUGACACAGGAAUGGUAGUAUAUGCUGGGAUGGUUUAGUUCAAUAAGGCUAUUAGUUCUGAUCUGCUUUUUCAAAGAGGUUGAUUGCCAAAUUAACAGCCACAUGAAGGAGAUUGUCUUUUUUUUUUUUUUUUUUUGUGUAUCCUGAAUUGUUUUUGCUUCCAACCACAAUUCUGGUCUUCUAUUGGUUCACACUUCCUACUUCUAUCUCGAUGAUUUUAGCUGCAAUACCUCAUUACUAAAUUCAGCUCUAACAACAGAGGAACUUAUUUGCUUCCUCUUUAUCUUGUUCCAUUACUAGCUUUCAUGUGCAGCAUUUUUAGAAUGUUAAAGACUAAUAGUACAGAAAGGUGGUUUUAAAUCAAAUGUAACAAGAUUCAAUUGACAGAUCAGCUAUGCUUCACUCCAUGUGGUUACCUACACACCUGGAUAUUUGUUUUAGAGUUUUAUGCUGUCUGAAUUAGUGGCCUCAUUUUGUUAUCUGAUUGAAAGCUUGCAUGUAUUUCGGUAAGUUAGGUUCUUCCCUCAACUCUUUUUCUUUAGUAACUAUCAUGGUAUUGUUUUAUAACCUUAAUUAGCUUCUCUUUGGUUUUUCAUUUGUCAGUAUAUCUGCUCUAUUCUGUUCAAUUCCUUUUUCUCUAUUCUCUCAGUUAUGUUGAACUAAAACGCUAUAGUUCAUACAAAGGCUUGCUAUAUUUUUUCAUAAUGAUUUAAGGUACAAAGCAGCAAUCAUAGCUGAUCCUUUGUGCUAUGAGGUAUGCAUGACACGCUAUCAAUGUUUUUUUUUUUCCUUUCCCCCUAGGGAUAAGCUGGUGGGGGGAGCGUCCCGUUCUCAAAAACUCCUUACCUUGAAUUUUGUGGCUGCAUAAAUUUCAGACAUGACUUUCUAUGCAAAAUAUUACAACCUGUGGAAACUGUUGCCUUCUCAAGGAUUAGAAAAUUACUCAAAAGAGGGCUAGAUUUUUUGAGCUAGGCUUGUCCCUUUUUUUUUUUUUGUAAAUAGAAUUUUAAUCCUUUUCUUUAAUUUGACCUCUGCUGAUCACAUAGAUGUCUCAUUUGGAUGUUCCUUAUAAGAUAUAUCGAUUCUCAUUCUUUAUGAUUUUUUUUAUGGCUGUACCUUGAUUUCUUUUUCAGGCUUUGGAAUGCCUUAUAGAAAAUCACAUGCUAACAUGCGAGCAAGGUAAUGAUGUAGUUUUUUCCUAGUCAUCUGUUUCUUUCAUCUGAGAGAAGUGGAUUAUGAAAAUGUUUACAUUUUGAAUUAUAGUUCUUACAUAAGUGUGCACGCGCACACACACACACACACAUAAAUGAAAUUAUAGUCACACACAAACAUGUUGAUAUAAAUUUAAUUUGGCAAAAAUUUCUUUGGCUGUGUUCAACUAGCAUUGGAUCUUUCAUGGAACAUGUUAUAAUAGGCUAAUACUUUAAAUUUUUGGAUUUGCUGUUGAAUUUCAGAAACAAGUUUACUUUCAUCAUUGGAAUUUGGUUUUGAAGAUGGAUGGCUUUCUUCAUUCUACUCAUGUUUGAUAAAAAAGGUGAACUGUGUGCAAAUUCAUUAUAUGCUCUUCCAAAUGUAAACAUUUCAAUAAUAAGUUUCCCAUAUGUUUUCGUGAUGUUGAUUCUUUUUGCUGUGUUUGAGUGCAGUGAACAAUUUCUUUCCUUCUUUCCUGUCUCCCUUUGUUUUAUGCAGUAUGACAAGGAGAAUGUUGUAGAAGCCAAAUUUGGAGAAAUUGAAAAAGAAAGAUGUGAUAGUGUCCAUUCGAGCCCAUCCUUCUCACACAGUCUGAAAAACAAUACUGAUCUUUUAGAGGGCUUAUUAUUCUGUCGACCUGCGAUACUAGAUUUCAGAAAUCUUCUCUUCACACAGUGUUCUUGGCUCUCUAAUUGUCAAAAAGUUGAACAGCCUUUUUCUGUCUGAUGCAUCAUAUAUAUGCAGUUUAAUAUUUGUGGACUUCAAUAAUAUUGAUUACCUUGAUUAUAAUAUUUUCAAUUGUAUGGUUUUUGGGUUUCUUCUUGGUAGGGAAGAUUUUUGUCUUUUUCUUUUUUUGACUUGAUUCUUCUUCUUUCUUAUUAUUAUUGUUACUGUUUCCCAUUCACAAGGAAAAAAUUGGAACUUGCUCCACCUCGCAAAAGUUUUAGAGCGCAUUUAAUUCUCGAAUUGGGGAAUUGGAAUGGAGAAUGGGAAUGAUUGAUUGUGUUUACUUGCUAAAAACAUGAAAUAAUGACGAUCGAUUUUGGGUGGAGCUCACAAGUUUGGGAAUGAGGUAUUGGAAUCCCAUUGCAAUAAGAGAGGUGGGAAUGAAAAUGGGAAAAUUAACACUUUUAUCCUUAAAGAAAAUUAAAUAUUUAUUUUUUACCUUAUAUAAAUAAAUAACUAAUAAUAAUAGUCGUAGUAGUAAUAAUAGUUAUAAUAAUAAUAAUAAUAAUAAUAAUAAUAAUAAUAAUAAUAAUGAAAAUUAUAGUAUUAUCCUCAAUAUUAUAAUAAACAUGUAUAUAUUUAUUUAUUUAUUUAUUUUGUUAGUGAAAAAUGUACAAUUUUAACUAAGGGCAUCAUGAUAAUUUUCAAUAAUCCAUUUUGAUUACGAAAUAAAAUAAAUGGAUAAAUGAAAUUCAGCUCAUUCGAUUCUUAUAUUUCAAGUAAAUAAUUUAUUAUGGUUCUCAUUUCUUAUUCCGAUUCCAGAUUCCAUCCCAUUUCAAUUCCUAAUCAUUUUGAUUCAUGGGAAGUAAACGCACCGUUAAUUUGUCGCUCUUGUUAAAUAUAUCCUUUGUGGAUUUCAUAUGAGGUUUGAAAUGUUAUUUAGUGAAAUUUAAUUUCUUGUUGGCUCUAUUCACCACAGCAAGGCUACAAAUCUUGAUGGGACAUUCGCCCCCGCUUGGAUAGGUUAUGGAAAUGCUUUUGCUGCUCAAGAAGAGGGUGACCAAGCAAUGUUGGGUUAUCGCACUGCUGCUUGUUUGUUUCCAGGGUAAUUUUUAGCAUUAUUUAUUCAUUUCUGUACCUUCCUGAUUUUCUUUUCCUUGGAUCAGCAUAUUCAUGCAAUGAGGACAAGGACAAAGCCACUAACUUGCUUUUGAGCAAGUUUCAGGACACUUUUAGAAUUUCAUUUUUGGCUUUUUUAAAAAAAAAUUUUGGUCUCUGAAAGAUAUCUUAAGGGUAGGGUUUGGUUGUUUUUGCUCAUCUUGAUAUUAUUCAAUUCUUGUUCAAUUUGAAGAACAGUGUGCUUUGGCUGUAUAAUCAUGUGGGUAAAAAAAUUUUUUGGUCCCUCAAGUUUCUAUUAGGUUUCAUGUAAUCCAUGAAAUUUCAGUUGCUUCAGCUUAAUCUGUUUCAAGUGCGCUACACUAAAAAACUUGGGUGUCAUGGGUUAUCAACCAAGAUUUUUUUUUUCUCCUUUGAUUUAAUAUUAAUAAACUGUUUUACCAAUAUAGACUUUUGAUGAAUGCUUCGCAUUUGAUUUCCAUAUUUCUUCCUGAGAAAUGUUGUAAGUUGAUUAAACAUAGUCUUAAAUCGACCCAAGGCAUUGUUGUAAUGUCUUUCUAUUUUGAUAAUAAACCACACUGUCAUAGUAGUUUUAUGGUCGUAAAGAUCAAUGAAUUUCAUUGUUUAUUGUUUAGUGAUGGUAUGCAUUGUGUUGUGGGAGUACUCUUAUCACUAUGAAUUGUCUUUUUACAGGUUGAAUCUUGAUGUUCUCUUAUUCCAGGUGCCAUUUACCAACUUUGUAUAUUGGAAUGGAGUACAUGCGAACUCACAGCUUUAAGCUUGCCGAACAGGUGUAUUACCUUCUUCUAAAUAUAGGCUGCCUUUCAUUUCUCUUUAGAUUUCAGUGAGAACUCUUAAGAGGUUGUUUGUUUGCAAUAUGAAGUCUGAUUGUUGGAUAUUCAGAUGUUGGUCUAUACGAUUUGCUAGUUGAUGUUGUCUUGGGGGUUUCAUUUUCCUCUUUGGAUUUAAUGUGAAUACGACUUCUUUCCUCUUUGUUUAAUUGAUGUCCAAUCCAUAUCCAAUCUACGAUUUUACGGAUUAUAAAUUUUCAAUCCAAUUCAAUUCACGGAUUGAUGAAAUUCAAUUCAAAUCCAAAUUCAAUUCAUACAUCUGCAGAUCGGAUGCGGAUUUGAUCAAAUCCAUAUCCAAUCCAUCAUUUUGCGGAUUGGUUUGCGGGCUGAAAAUUUUUAAUUCUGUCAAAUCCACGAACUAACUAAAUAUAAAAAUAAUUUUACUACCGAUCAAAUUUAAAAUUAAAUAAGAUUUAAAUAAUUAAUUGUUUAAAUAAAGCUAGAAAAUACAUUUACAGUUUUAAAAUAUAACACACCAAAAUGAAAAAAAUCUUAUUCGUUUAGAUCAGUACAUUUUUUUUAUGCGAAUACCACUCUAUUGGUGGGGGGCUUAGGCGGGACCCCUACUUUUCAUUUAGAACAGAUAAUGAAGAUUACAUGUGGAGGGGGACAUAAACCAAACCUCCAAUCUAGAGAAAUAAAUAUAACAGUAAAAGAAAUGAUUUAGGCAUAGCCUAACAUAAGAAGAAAAAGAGUAAUGCAGACGGUGACAAUAUCUCUUACGAUACUUGCGGCCGGCAAGUAAUUUAAUGCCCUUUUUCGAGUGACUGACAACACUAAAAUCAAGGCUAGAGUCAAUUCUCUCAGAAUUCUCAGGAGCAGACAGAAAAUAGUCAUUAUUCGCCAAAUGUUUGUUAGAACUAUCAUCAUUAUCAGUAUAAGAACUGUAAUGCCUAAAAUAUGUGCUGGAUGCUCGAUGAAGCUAUGUAUUAUAUUCACCUAGUUCUCGGAUCCUAGAAUCAGGAGUCGUGACAUCCUGGCCAAUCGGCUCCUGAAUGGAAGUAGAGUUUGUAGCGUUAACUCGGUUCUCUUAGGUACAAUCGGAGACCCCACAUCUGCAAUUUGCUUAAUGAUGGAAGGCUAAAGUCGUGGAGUAUCCAAGGGUUGUGGAGUAUCUGACGGCAAAACUUCUAACUUCUUAUUAUCUACUCUAGUUUGCCAAUUCCCACUGGGCCGCUGGGGAAGGACCCCUGGAUUGGCCACGGAACACGUCUCAAUGGUAUGGCCAAGGCACUUGUAGGAAGCACAGUAGAGUGGGAUUUUCUAAAAAAUUAUACUCUGCCAAAAUCCAGAAUCUCUCACACCGAUUUAGAUUCGUGACAACAGAGUUGAGUGACAUUAUUCUUCACUAACACCCUACUUACAGAAGGGCGAGCUAAAAAGGCAGUAGCUUGGUCAAUUCGUAAUGGCUUACCAAUAGAUGAUGUAAUAGAAAAUAAUGCUUCCUUACAGUGCAUAAAAUGGACAAGCAAGUAAGGAAUUGAAAUCCAUACUGGGACUAUAGAGGACUCCUUGGAAAAUCAAAAAUCGGUGGUUUAUUUAAAAAUUCUCAUUGCACUCUCAUUGAUGUACCAUGUCUGUCUAACCCGUAGGCGGGAGUAGUCCUCCUCAACAUCCAAUUGAAUUAACACAUGUCGAUUAUCUAAAAAGGACAUCUUGGAAAUUCCCUUCAAUCUCAUAGUAUUAAAAAAUUUACAAAUUAAUUCCAUACUAGGUCUAUUGUAGGAAAAUUUACCUACCAAUGUCCGCAGUGGAAAAUUGUACUUUAGGCUCUCCCUCGAAUAAAGUGACGAUCUUGAUUGGAAUAGACAAGCUAGUUGGGUCGUUCAUAAUAUCCACCAAAGAUUUUUUAGUGGGUUUAUUUUGAUUCAGAUUGGGGAUGGAUUUCAAAACCGAGGUAUAAGAAGGUACGUAUGUGGGCUGAGUGGUAUUUUGGAUUAACGGAUCAUUUUGGGGGUUAUUUAAUAAGAUUGGAGAGGGCAUUCGGGAGGGCUGGGUGUUGGGGUUUAUUUCGAAAAUGGAUUGGGCUUGGGUUUGACUAGUGGGAAAGGUUAAUGGGGCAUGGGAAGAGCUAGUGGUAGACACACAUGAGGAACACAAUUCAUGUGCUACCGAAAGUGUCUUAUGAGCAUGGGAAUUACACGCGUGCAGACUUUUGAGCUGAUGUUGGGUGGAUGUUUGCUGACCUUGGCUGGGUUCUGUGGUGGUUGCUUGCAGCUGACUUUCGGUUGACAGCUGCAGCUGGACGUGAGCUUGUGAUUUGCAUGGGGUUUUUUUUGUUGUGUGGGAGUUAUUUGUGUAGGUAGUGAUUGUGGCUGGCUGGUGGUUGUAUCUUGGACCGAAUCUUGAGACAAAUGGCCAUGGAGUACGGGCUGGUUUUGAUGGUGUAUAGGGGCUGUGACAGCAGGAUGAACUCUCGAAUAGUGUGUGGUUUGUGUUGGCUACGGGCUAGAGGCUGGUGGCUGGUUGGUUUGAGAUGAAAACCCAUUCACCAAGUUUGGUGGUGAAAGCUUGGAGUUGGCUGUUGAAGGGGUGACGAUGGCAGUUGGAGAUGGUUGUUGAAGGGACGACGAUGGCGGUGUGUUUGCGGAAGUUGAGGGUUGUUGGGGUUGGGCUGGCGUUUGACUCCUGUAUUUUGAGCGAGUUUGCCUUUGGGAUCUCCUAAGAAAAGAAUGUUCAUUUAUGGAAGUAAGGGGAGGAGCAGAUGGUGGCUGGCUGCCAUUAUCGUCAGCCGGCGAGAUAAGAAUCGACUUGUCUCGAGCAUUGGUUUCUUCCCCUUCUUCUAGUGAAUGGAGGGGUGAUUUUGCUACCUCACGGCAGCAUUCAUAGUCAUUGAUGCCACCAUUGAUUACCAUUUCUUUUUGCUCACUUGCGGCAUUAGGUGUGAUUGAAGGUUGUUGAAGUUUCGAGAGGAUAGCGGCAAUGGACAAUGGUGGUUGGUUUGCAUGGGGUUGGAUUUGAGAUGGAGGGUCUGCAUGAGAGUGGUUUGGUUGGAUUCGCGGUGGUGGCAACUGGACGUCCGGUGGCAGUUCAUUGGUGAAUUUUGGGGGUCGUCUAAAUGAUUUUUUAGGAGGGUUCAAACUCCUGAUAAUUUGUUCUUCUGCAGAGAGGGUGUAGACCGGUGAUGGCCGGUUGCCAUCAUCGGCGGCCGGAGAGGCCAUUAAGGCCGUUUAAGGCUUUUGAGGGGGGAAGGGGGAGACAUGUAGUUGAUAUUAGCAAUUAGAUUAGUGCAUGGAACUUAACUAUUUUAGAAGUUAUAUUUGUUUAUUUAGUUAUUUUUAUUUUAUAUUAUUAUUGGAUAAGAUAUAAUAUAGUGUUAAUAUAACUAUAUUUUAACUUAUUUAUUUACUAGUAAGUACUAAUAUUAUAUUUACAAGUUUUAUUUUUUAAUUAAAUAAAUACUUUUUAUUUUUUUACGAAUUUGCGGAUUUUUGCGGAUUUAUAGAAAUAGAUCCAUAUCCAAUCCAUCGAUUUCGGAUUAUCAAAUUUUCAAUCCAAUCCAAUCCAUCAAUCCACGAAUCGGAUUUUUACGGAUCAAACGGAUUGAGCGGAUCGGAUUGUGAACACCCCCGUACGAAGGACCCCUGAUAUUGAUGUCCAUACAUCCGAAUAAAUUUUCUUUAUGAGGAGUCUACGUCAUGAUUUCUACGUCACGAAUUCUCCAAAAUAUGAUGUCUCUCACUCUUAUCUCUCACUCUUAUUUAAGGCAAACCUCAUAGAGGCAAAUACAGAACAUGAAGAAAAUUAAUUUUGUUCCUAGUCCUCACUAUCUAAAAAGAAUUUUCGUUGAAGCUAUAUAUAUAUAUAUAUUGAAUCUUUUGAAAAAAAUUGCUUCCUGAGCAUAUGAUUUCUUGCUGGUUAAUUUUAAAAUAAAAAUUAUUUUGACUAUUAUAUAAAAGUUAAUUUUAAUAUUAUUAAUAGAGAGAUUUUUUAAAUUGUAAAAUCUAUUUAACCCAAAGAUUAUUUAAAAUCUUUUUAAUAUUACAAUUAUAUUAUUAAAAUAAAUAUAAUAAUUUAAAAUUUUAAUAUUAUUUUAAAUGUAAAAAAUAAUUUAAUAUUAUUAGUCUACCAAAUAGAUUUAUAUUAUUUAUAUAAAAUUUGUGUUAGUUAAAAAAAUUUAAAAAUCAAAUUUUUAAUUAAUAUAAUCAAAAGUUAUUGUGGGCAAAAAAAAGUUUUUGUAUCUUUUUUUUAGGAUUUAAAGAGUUUUUUAUAACUAUUUUCCCAAAUCUUAGAAUGUCGUUAUUCUUUUUCUUUUUUUAUCCCAUCUCAGUUUUUUUACAAGUAUUCAAAUAUUAGCACGUGAAAUAUAUUUUAAAAUAUCCAUCAAUUUAUUAUUUCUUAAAGUACCUUUUAUUAAUAAAUAGCAUAAUACACACGAAGGACCAUUGAUAUUGAUGUUCAUACAUCCGAAUCAAUUUUCGAGUCUACGUCAUGAUUUCUACGUCACGAAUUCUCCAAAUUAUGAUGUAUAUCUAUUCUUUCCCCUUUUGGUAAACAUAUCUCACUCUUAUUUAAGGCAAACCUCAUAGAGUCAAUCACAAAACAUGAAGAAAAUUGAUUUUGUUCCUAGUCCUCACUUUCUAAAAAGAAUUUUCGUUGAAGCUAUAUAUAUAUAUAUAUUGAAUCUUUUGAAAAAAAUUGCUUCCUGAGCAUAUGAUUUCUUGCUGGGUUUCUUCAAUUGCUCUUCUUGUUCAGUUGUUAAAGCUUUCCAGUUUCCUCUCUGUCGUUCAAAGAAUAUUUGAUCAUUGAAGUGUCACCUUCGUAGUGUUAAUUUCGGUGAUGGAGUCCGCUGCUCAAGUGAGGGAUGUCGAUGCUUUGUAUGAGCUAAUUCAACAUGAUCGAUAUUUUUUGGACAACUUCGACGAGAAACCUUUUGUCGAUACUCCUUUGCAUGCUGCUCCAAGGGAUGGAAAUGUUGAAUGGUCCAUGGAGAUUAUCAGACUAAAGCCAUCAUUUGCCAGGAAGCUAAACCAAGAUGGCUUCUCUCCGGUGCAUUUAGCUUUGCAAAAUGAUCAAACUCAGUUAGUGCUUCAGCUGAUAGAUAUUGAUCUGGACCUUGUUCGUGUCCAAGGAAGAGAAGGCAUCACUCCUUUGCAUUUCGUGUCUGAAAAAGGAGACAUCCAUCUGCUGAGGGAAUUUUUGUCUGCUUGUCCGAAAUCUCUUGAAGAUGUGACGAAUAAAGGCGAGACUGCUCUUCAUAUUGCUUUGAAAAACGAUAAGGUCGAAGCUUUUGAUCAAGCCUUAACAACAGUACGACCACCGUGGCUUGGCCCUGAAGAAGCUCAACAAUACAAUCAAAGAAUCCUCAACUUGAAGGAUAGGGAUGGCAACACUUUGUUACACAUAGCAACAUCCAAAAGUCAAGUCCAGGCAAGCUCGAAUCCACACACAUAUAUAUAGAAAUUUUUCAAUGAGGUGCAGGCACUUCAUUAUUUUUAAUGCAGACAUGCUAUUAAAUUAUGUGAUUUAAUAGAGUCAAUGUUUAAUUCAUUAUAAAGCCGUGUAUUUUAAUAGCAUGCCUGCAUAUAAGUUAAUAGAGUGUUCGUAUGAGAAAAAAAAAGAGAGAGUAUUCACAUUAGAGAAUAACUAUAUUUAUAUAUAUAGUAUCUAAUUAAUGACCUUAUCUUCAUUUUAACAAAGUAAAGAUAUCACUAAUAAAUUAAAAAAAAAAGUAGUUUAACAAAGUAAGGAUAUCACUAAAAAAAAAAAGCAAUUUUCAAUAUAUUGAAAUAUGUGUUUUUUUUAAUUUUAUUUGCAUUCUUAUUUUAUUAAAAUUUUUUAUUAGGGAAGGACUAUAUCUAUCUGGUCACAAAUAAAAUUCAGUUGAAUGAUGUCUAAAUUGAUGAAUUUGUUUAUCCAAAGCAGAUUGUCAGGUGUUUAUUGAAUUGCAAAGUUGAUACAAAUGCCCGGAAUUCGGAAGGUUUGACACCUUUAGAUAUUUCAUUACUUGAUCAAACUAAAUCAGAAAACCAAGAGAUUGCGGCAAUGCUGCGGGAAGCUGGAGCACUAGAGGCAACUUCACUUCCUAUUACCGACAAGGAUAGACAUUUAUCGAGGUAACAGGAACACUGCUCUUUUACUAAAUUACAGUCCAUUUAUCGAUUAUCUUUUUAAAAACAAUAUGGCAUUUUCAUAUUAUGUACAUCUCAAAAAUUGUUUAAUGUCCUUCAGAAGUAAGGAUCAGAGGCUGAACGAGGCUGCUAAAACAGGAAAUGUUGAUGCCUUGUAUGAAUUAAUAUGGGAGGACGCAUAUCUUUUAGAUCAGAUAGACCAAGUACCAUUCGUGGAUACUCCUUUACAUAUAGCAGCAUCAAUGGGGCACGUCAACUUUGCCCUGGAGAUAAUGAGGUUAAAGCCAUCAUUUGCGAGAAAGCAAAACCAAUAUGGAUUUAGUUCUCUGCAUCUUGCUUUGCAGAAGCAAAACCAAUAUGUACUUGAUCACGAGCAUCUUAAGGAAAAGAAACAGACCCAAAUGGUGCGUCGGCUCAUAGAUGUGGACAGAAAUCUUGUUCGUGUCCAAGGAAGGGAGGGUGUAACGCCUCUACACUAUAUUGCUGAGAAAGGAAAUGUCGAUCUUCUAUGCAAACUUCUAGAGGCUUGCCCUGAGUCCAUCACAGAGGUGACAAUCCGUUAAGAGACUGCUUUGCAUGUUGCUGCAAAAAAUGACCAGUUGGAGGCCGUUGAGUGCAUGCUAGGAUGGCUUCGAUAUGUGGGCAUGGAGGAUAUCCUUAACUGGACGGACGAUGAAGGCAACACUUUAUUGCAUAUCACAAUCUCCAAAAGUCAAAUAAAGACAUGAAAAGUUUUUAAAUUUUACUUCAGUUAGUCCCUAUAUUUUCAUGAUUAUUAAUUGCAUGCAUAUAUAAAUAUAUACUUGCAGUUGGUGAGGCUACUAGUUAAAAGAGCACGUGAUCAAAUAAAUGCCCGGAACUUAGACAAUAAGACACCCUUGGACAUGGUAGAAGAACAUUUGGGAGGGAAACCUGAAUUUAAAGAAGUAACACGCAUGGUGCGCAAAGCUGGCGGUAGAGAAGGGUCCUUCCUUCCUCCUCGUAGGGACGUUGCAUAUUACUUAAAACAAGGUUUAACAUGGCGUCGAAAGGUGCUUUUGCUCUUUUACCGCUAGAUAAAUUUCUUAAAGGAAUAGCUUUUUAUUGCGGUAUGUGUCCUUUGUACAGAGCUCUGCUAUUUAUAUGCAGGGCUAGAUACUUUACAUGGUAAGUGUUUACAUGGCAAGAAUCACCGUUUAAUUAUACAAUAUUUUCAAUCUCCUCAUAUUUACAAUCUCGUUGAUCUCCUUCCUUGAAUACAGAUUCUUGCUUUGUGUCCAAGGUUAUUGCUUGACAGCUUCACACGAUUAUGUGGCAUCUGACUUGGACUCUUUUCUAACUCCCCCCUUCAAGCUUAACUGUCUGUUUGAGACUUUAAGCUUGUCUCUUAAAAAUCUGAAACGAUCACAGCUCAAGGGUUUUGUCAAAACAUCUGCCACUUGUUCCUUUGUCGGUACAUAUCUCACUUCUUGUUCACCAUUUGCAAUUUUUUCUCUGACGAAAUGUACAUCAAUUUCUAUGUGUUUAGUUCGGGCAUGAAAUACUGGAUUGCUGGCAAGGGAUGCUGCACUUGUGUUAUCACACCAGAUUACUGGUCUUUGUUUUGGCUUCAUUCCAAGUUCUCCUAGCAAAGAACAUAUCCACGUGAUUUCAGCACUUGUAUCGGCAAGGGACCUAUAUUCUGAUUCAGUGCUUGAGCGUGCCACCACCUUCUGUUUUUUCGAUCUCCAUGAGACUAGAUUCCCACCAAGGAAGGUGCAGUAACCACCAGUAGACCGUCUGUCAUCUUGAUCACUUGCCUAAUCUGCAUCAGUGAAACACAUCAGUCCUGGUUUUCCUUUUGGUGUGAAGUGUAGGCCAUAAUUUAAGGUUCCUUUCAAGUAUCUGAGAAUUCUCUUACACCCCUCCCAAUGAGUUUGUUUAGGUGCUUCUAAAUAUUGGCUUAGUGUGUUCACUGCAUAUGUUAUUUCAGGCCUUGUUAAGGUAGCAUAUUGUAGGCCUCCAAUUACACUCCUGUACAAGGUAUUGUCACUGAAGGCUUUCCCUCCUUCCUUUCUCAGCUUGGUACUUGUGCUCAUUGGUGUAGGCAAGCUUUUGCAAUUUUCCAUUCCUAUUCGUUGUAGGAGGUCAGUGAUGUAUUUCCCUUGCGAUAGAUGCAUUCCCUCAGCAGUCCUUUCUACUUCAAUUCCCAAGAAGUAUUUUAGCGAGCCAAGAUCCUUCAGAGAGAAGCUUUUGUUCAGCUUCUGAAUCACGUCGUCAAUUAUCCUGCUAUUACUUCCUGUGAGUAGUAUGUCAUCUACAUACACAGGUAGCAGCACUGUAUCUCCAUCUUUGUUCAUAAAGAAUAGUGAGGUGUCUGAUAUUGAGUUUUUGAACCCCCAGUCUUUAAGGGCUUAACUGAGCUUAUUAUACCAGGCCCUUGGAGCUUGUUUGAGACCAUAGAGUGCCUUUUUUAACUUGCAAACAUAUUGUGGCUUUCUUUUGUCCUCGAAGCCUUGCGGUUGUCUUAUAAAAACUUCUUCACAUAGUUCACCAUGCAAGAAUGCAUUAUUCACGUCCACUUGUUUGAUAUCCCAGUUGUUCAUAAUAGCUAGGUUCAACACAAUUCUAAUAGUUGGUGAUUUGGCCACUGGACUGAAAGUUUCGUUAAAAUCGAUGCCCGCUGUUUGAUGAAACCCUUUAGCCACAAGUCUCGCUUUAUACCUUGCUAUAGUGCCAUCUGGAUUAUACUUCACCUUGUAAACCCAUUUAUUUCCUAUUACCUUUUGAUCCUGAAAGGGUGGAACCAAUUCCCAGGUUCUGUUUUUCUGAAGUGCUUCAAACUCUUCCUUCAUGGCUGUCUCCCAUUUUUUAUUUUUCAACGCCUCUUCUACACUUGCUGGAGUGUCAAUUUUCUCUCUUGCUAAUCUUUUUGCUGUGUAAAUUUUGGGUUUAUAUAUCCCAGACUUGGCUCUUGUGAUCAUAGGGUGACUGGGGGGAAGUGUUUGUGGCUGGCUUGUUGACUCUGUAGCUGCAGUAUUUUGGGUACUUUUUUGCUGUUGUUUCUGAGUUUGUCAUGACUGGUUCUGGUGUUUUAGGUUCUGUAGUGUUGGUCUCUUGGUUUGGUGAAAGGAUGUGGAGCUCUCGGUCUGUUGGACAGUGAAGGUUGGAGCCUGCUUCUUGAACGACUGCUGGUGGAGAUGUAGCUGAGACACAUCCUGAAGUAGAAACCUGUGGCACUGUUAGGAUUUGAGUAUAAUAUGGACACACAGCUGUAUUUUUCUCAGUAGGUUGAAAAGCUUUGUCAUUUUGAAAUGGAAAUUCAAACUCAUUAAAGACCACAUUUAUUGCUAUAUAAACUCUCCCACUACUGUGUAAGCACAAGUAUCCUUUGUGUUGAGAGCUAUAUCCUAUAAACACACAUUUAGCAGUGCGAAAAUCUAAUUUAUGUGAAUUGUAUGGCCUUAAGUGGGGAAAACAUGCACAACCGAAAUCCUUCAUGAAUUUGUAAUCAGGCUUUUGAUGAUAGAUUAUCUCAUAUGGGGAUUUUCGAUUGAGUAUUAAUGUCGGCAUCCUAUUUAUUAAGAAUGUGGCUGUUUCAAAGGCUUGCCACCAAUACUUUGUAGGUAUUGAGGCUUGUGGUAGUAAGGUUAGGCCGAUUUCUACUAUAUGCCUAUGUUUUCUUUCCACCCUUCCAUUUUGGUGAUGAGAGUGAGGACAUGAAUGCCUAAAUAAAAUUCCAUUUUCUUUGAGAAAUGGUACGAAGGAUCUGAAUUCACCCCCCCAAUCUGUUUGCAAGGUUUUAAUUUUCUUUUCAAGUUGGGUUUCAAUCAUUUUCUUAAAUACUUGGAAGGUGGAAAAGGUUUCUGAUUUGGCAGCCAAUGGAUAAAUCCAUGUAAAUCUGGAAUAGUCAUCUACAAUGCUUAGGUAGUACCUAUAGUUGUUUCCAGAGGCUAUUGGUGAUGGUCCCCAGAGGUCAAUAUGCAAUAAUUCCAGUGGUUCAUUUGUUUUUGUUGCUGAGUUUGUAUGGCUUAGUCUAUGACUUUUUCCAUAUUGGCAUGCUACACAAAAUUGAGGAACGGAAAUUUUAUUGAUGUUACUAGAUACAUCACAUGACAUUAAUAUGUCAUUUAAUGUUUGAACACUAGGGUGACCAAAUCUUUGAUGUAAUGUAUCUAUUUUAUUGACUCCAUUACAAGUUGAUUCUAGACUUCGACUCUUAGAAGACUCUGAUUCGCUGUGUGACAACACAGGCUUAUUUAAAGCAGCAAAAAGAGAAGUUGCAAGGGGACUUUUGACUCUAGAUUCAGGUGUCUUGCAGGAUGUUUCCAACAGAUACAAUCCUCCAUCAGCCGUUCCUUGAAGCAAGACUUUCUUCCUCAUCUUGUCCUGUAUAAGGCAAGUAUUUUUCUUGAAAACAACAAACAAGUCAUUGUCAGAUAAUAAUUUAGAGAUGCUAAGGAGAUUUUUUGUAAUAUGAGGGACAUGCAAAACAUCUUUUAAAAUAAUUGGCUUCUGACAUGGGACAUGUAAUGAGGAUCUACCAAUAUAAUUUAUUUUUAACUUAUGACCAUUACCAACCAUAAGUUUGUCACUUCCCUUGUAUUCAAAUUUCGUUUCAAGGUUUUCAAUCUGAUAUGUGACAUGGUUUGUAGCACCACUAUCCAGGUACCAACCUUGAUCAUUUUCCGAAUCAAUCUUUGCAACAUUAGCCGUGGCUUGACUCUGGUUUUUCUCAUUGCUUUGUGGCUCGUAGUCUUCUUUAAAGCGAUGCCAGCAAUCGAAUGCAGUGUGUCCUACCUUUCCACAAAUUUGGCAAGUUGGCUUUGAUUUUCCUCUGCCAGAUGUUUGUGGUGUUUUUGCUCUGCCUCUACCUCUUGGAUUGUUUCCUCUUCCACUAUUGUAUUUUCUUUGGUUUUGAGUAGAUUGAGCAUAGUUUGCUGAUAUGUUCCCAUCAGAAGCUAUGUUGGCAGCAGUAUGCAGCUGAUCAAGUCUGCUUUCAUGGUUCAAGAGAAGUGAAUACACUUCUUGAAGAGGUAGUGUGUCUGAUCUUGCUGUUAUAUUAACCACUACAGGGUCAUAUUCUGAUCCCAAGCCUGCAAGAAUAUAGAGAACUAAGUCUUCUUCUGUGAUGGGAUUUCCUGAGGCGGUGAGAUUGUCAGCAAAGUUUUUCAUUUUGGAAUAAAAAUCACUAACAGUCAUAGACCCCUUUUUCUGGGUUUGAAGCUGCAUCCUAAGUUGUAGGAUUCGAGCUUUUGACUGAGAGGAGAAAAGCCUUUCCAGUGCAUUCCAAACUUCAUAAGAAGUGGUGCAACUGAUGACUGAACUUAAGACACUUUCAUUCAUUGAAGACAGCAGCCAACUAAGAAGAAGUUGGUCCUGUUUCUUCCAAAGUGCAUAUUCUGGAUUUACAGUCGUUUCUGCAGUUUGGUCAUCUACAGCAACUACCAGAAAUUUGUUUGGGCAAGGUUUUGUGCUGUUUAUGAAGCCUUCAAGUUCAUUGCCACGGAUUGAGGGCAGGACUUGAGAUUUCCACAUCAGGUAAUUUUGUCUAUCUAGCUUGAUUGGGACGGUGAAAUUGAAGGUGGUGGGAUUGGUUUGUGGUAUUGUAUGGGUGGCGGAAUUGGUGGUAUUAACAAAACUAGAUGAAGCCAUUAUUUCGACUUACCCGCUCUGAUACCAAGAUAAAUUUCUUAAAGGAAUAGCUUUUUAUUGCGGUAUGUGUUCUUUGUACAGAGCUCUGCUAUUUAUAUGCAGGGCUAGAUACUUUACAUGGUAAGUGUUUACAUGGCAAGAAUCACCAUUUAAUUAUACAAUAUUUUCAAUCUCCUCAUAUUUACAAUUUCGUUGAUCUCCUUCCUUGAAUACAGAUUCUUGCUUUGUGUCCAAGGUUAUUGCUUAACAGCUUCACACGAUUAUGUGGCAUCUGACUUGGACUCUUUUCUAACUCCGCUCAUCACAUGGCACUACGGAUGAAAAUCGAAACGCACUACUUGUGGUUGCUGUACUAAUCGCGACAGCCACAUUCCAAGCAGCGCUUACCCUGGCUGACGAUCUUCAGGGAAAUAAGUCAACUGGAACCAGCAACUCUGUUGCCAAUUUUGGAUCACAAUCAGCGUCGACAUCGACAUCGGCAUCAGCAUGGGCAUAUGUAACACCAUCAGGAAGAGCAAAUGCAACCGCCAUUUAUCGGAGCAAUGGAACCAGCAGCAGCAUCCCAACAAGUGACAAGAUUCGAUUCGCUCACGGGAAAUUUUAUGGCGAUGCCGUCAGUGAUACGAUCUCCUCACUUUUCGCAUUUUCAAAUAUUACAGCAUUUUGUAUAUCUAUGCUGGUGAUUAAUUAUCACCUUCCGUAUGGCUCCGCAGCUACUCUGGUAUAUCCUCUAGUUAUUUGCUUUUGCCUGUUAGUGGUUGGCAGAACCCCGUUGUCGCUACUUGCCUCAUUCUUAAUGCUUAUCGUCUUUCGGAUUUUUUUAUUUGUACAACUGGACUUCUCCAAGGUUCGAUUUAGACGAAGCUUCUGGAUUACACAAGUUUUGGGCUCCGUUUUCAAACAUUACGGAAGCUUCCGCAAUAAGAUGAACGAAGAUGAAAAAUAGCUAUAAUGCCAAUAUGCUGCCAAGGACAAAACACAUGUCCGUUGGUCUGUUGAUGUUCUCUGCCAUGGACAAGUGUUUUAGUUAAACACUUCCUCUGAAGUAAUAUUGCUGGUUUUGUUUUGUGUAAGAAGGUGUGCUUUUCUGUACUGUAUUUUCUGAAUUAUGUUCGUUUGCUUUUGCUUCAUUUUGUAAGGUCUUGCAUGUUUCAAUGUAACAUUAAUUACUCUUGUUGUAUCUGAUAGUUGUAUUGUUCACGUUCGUGACUGUGAAUAUAAUGAUGUUAAUUUAAUUAAAACUAUAUGCUUGUUUGGCUGAUAAGAAAAUGAAGGAAAAUUUAUUGACUUAGAGAGGAAAAACAGAAAUUGAAUUCGUUAUGAUUGAUACAGUGAAAUGAGAUUACAAUACACUAUAUAUAUAUAGUAGCAUCUGGAACUUUCCAAGUGUAACAGAAUCAUAUACAAAGUCUCUGAUAUUCACCAUAACAUUUUGGUGGGAAAUAACAAACUAAUAACAAACUUUGAACAGCUUGCAUAACAAUCUUCCAGUAGCUUCCAGCAUCUUGUCCAGCGUGGCAUCUGAUUCAUUACUCUACUUAACAAUUUUCUGACAUCAAUUAGCUGACUCAACAUAUUCUUAACAAAUUUGUAUGAACAUAUGAAAUAUCAAUAUCAUUGGGCUUUUGAUGCUCCCACAGGCUACUUAAAAUUGUACCUAUAAAAGUCUGUUAGAAGAAAAGCUGAUUCAAAAUACUUACGGCAAUAUAUAAGUAUGCUUCCGGCAAUAGGGUGAAAGCCUACACAUGAAGAAAAACAAACAACAAACAGCAAACGCACAAACAUAGCAACAAAAGAAGACAAGACAAUGUCUGAUGAGAUUAAAAAGCUGACAAUUGAUGAACCCUUCAACACCCCUCCAAAAGGCUCAGCUGGGUCAUAAUAAAUGUCAACAUCCUCUGACCUAACUGACUCAUCAACCCUAAGUGACUCAUCAACCUAUGUAUCGGGUUUUUCAUUCAUCAGCAAAGAGUUUCAGCACUUGAUCUGAAAAAUAAAGACUGCUUUUGACACUCUAGAAAUUCAAUUUCAUUUUUCCAUGUUAUUGAUGAUCAAACUCAGAUUAGCAACUGAAAAUAUAAUAUAACAAUUUGACAUCAAAAGUAAGUCCACUGAAAAUCUUUGGAAAUAUAUUAAUUAAAAUUAUGUUGAUGAAAUUUUUUAAAAUUUUAUGGUUUUGGUUUACGAAUCGUGUUGGCGAACGGCUUUAUUGUACAAGUACAGGUGCUGCUUCCUCUUCAUCUAUAUUAUACGGUUUACAUUGUUAAUUUAUUUUAGUACUUUGUUUCCUCAUUUGUUGAAAUCCACUGAGUGCUUUAAAGUUACCUGAUUGACACUAAAAUUAUCAUUUUUUUCCUUCAUCCUGUUCUCAAAUUCAGUCACGUUCCUUCGUCAUUUGUUCACGAAAUCCAAGUGCGGGCAACCAAAUGAGAAAGCCUGUAUUUUGACAAGCUCAAUCAAAAUUCUUCGGUUCCUUACGUGUUGAUUUCGACCUCUAUAAAUUAAAUUUAUUUAGCUUGAAGAGAGAAUUUGAUAAAAAUUUAAAUAAAGAAAUUGGGCAAUGAGAAUAUAUUUAUAAUUUUAUUAACAAUAUAUGGACAAAUUGGACAAUUAACAACUAUUUUUUUAUGUGCUAGAAGGGUAUAACGGUAAUUAUAUAUUAAAAUUAUAAUUUCUGUUAAAAGUAACGGUUUCCGUUGAUGAAUGAGGGUGUGAAUGUCUUUUUUGAAAUAUUGGAAGGACUUUUAUCCAUCUGUCUAAACGUUGUGAGUGUGUUAGUCUUUUUCCCUAUUUACAAGUACAAUUGUAAAUUUAUUUUCCCAUUCUUCUUCCCUUCUCUUCAAAAUUCAGCCCGAUUUUCUCCAUUUAAUCAUUCGCAUUUACAACAUUGCAAAUCUAGAAUUAGAAUUAAAAAUUCUUCUGAUUUUCCAAUACCAAUAAGUCAAUAAAUCAACUAUUAUAGUCAAAACCAAACCCUAAAACAAAAUAAUCAUUUUUUUUCCUUCAUCCUGUUCUCAAAAGGGGUUAUCUUUGUUGCUAGGCAUGUGGUGUUUUACGAAUCAAAAUUUCCUUUCUCUACUGAUCCUCAAUUCUCUAAGCAAUCUUCUACCUCUGUUUCCGAGUAUAGACAUCCUAUGUUUAAAACUUCUUCUGUGUUAGUUCUGCUACAUGAUCCUUCAGGCUCAAGUGACAACACUGUACAACAGCUUUAGCUCCAUGCAGUUCCAGCUUCCUCUUCUUCCUCUAGUUCUUCAUCAUCAUCACCUUUACCUCCAAAUCCAUAUUUCCCUGAUCCUUAUCACAAUAUGUCCCAUAAUUCCCAACACUCUUCUUCUUCUACAUCUAUUGUGCCUAUUCCACAGCCUUCUGUCCCUGCUCACGUACCACUGCCAACUCAUCCAAUGGUUACAAGAGCAAAAGCAGGAAUAUUUAAGCCAAAGUUUCUUGCAUAUUCUUCUGUUCUUGAAGAACAUGAACCUGCUACAAUUUCUCAAGCUCUCUCCAAUCCUAAAUGGAAAGCAGCAAUGCAGGCUGAGUAUGAUGCACUCAUGAAAAAUGAAACUUGGGUUCUUGUUCCAGCCUCUCAAGCUACUAAAGUUGUUGGUUGUAAAUGGGUGUUUCGCAUUAAGUAUAAUGCAGAUGGCUCUAUCUCUGAGUAUAAAGCUCGUUUGGUUGCAAAUGGGUUUCAUCAAACCCCUGGUAUUGAUUACUUUGAGAAUUUUAGUCUAGUGGUUAAGCAAUCUACUAUGAGAAUUGUACUUAGUCUUGCUGUUAUGAAGAGCUGGAAAAUAAGGCAGAUAGACAUCAACAAUGCUUUCCUUAAUGGGCAGCUCAAUGAAGAUGUUUACAUGUUUCAACCUGAGGGAUUUGUCUAGCCUUCAUCUGGUCAUGUUUGUAAAUUGCUUAAGGCUCUUUAUGGUCUAAAACAGGCUCCUAGAGCCUGGUUUGAUCGGUUAAGGAAAGCAUUGUUGAAGUGGGGGUUUCAGAACUCAAGAACAGAUUCAUCUUUAUUCUUUAAACAUGAACUUGGAGGUAUUGUAGUUGUGUUGGUAUAUGUGGAUGAAAUUCUUAUUACUGUAGAUAAUAAUACAGUGAUUGAAAGGUUCAUCAAAUAUCUUGGAGAUACUUUUGCUUUAAAAGACCUUGGUGAAUUCAAUUACUUCCUUGGUAUUGAAGUUACUCAAGGUACAAAGGACAACUUACAUCUCUCACAGGCCAAAUAUGUAAGAGAUUUGCUCACAAAAACUGCAGAGAAAGUGGUACUCCAAUGAGUACAGGACAGAAACUAAGAAGAGCAAGAAAUGAAGAUAAUUUGAUUGUUAAUGUUACUGAAUAUAAAAGCAUAAUAGGUGCAUUGUAGUAUUUGGUACUCACAAGGCCAGAACUUGCUUUCUCAGUAAACAAGUUGAGUCAAUUUCUUGCUGCAUCUACAGAGAAGUACUGGACUGCUUGUAAGAGAAUUCUAAGAUACUUAAAGGCAACUGAGGAUUAUGGCUUGCUAUUUAAACCAGGUGGUGGUGUUGUCUUAACUGCAUAUACUGAUGCAGAUUGGGCAUGUGAUGUUGAUGACAGGAAAUCAGUUGAAGCAUAUUGUGUUUAUCUUGGGCAAAAUCUUAUUUCAUGGUCUUCUGAGAAGCAACAAACAAUAGCUAGAUCUAGCACAUAAUCAAAAUAUAGAGCAUUAUCAACAUCAUGUGCAGAAAUCGUUUGGGUUCAGGCUUUGCUUGGUGAACUUAAUAUAAUCAAACACCAAUAAUCUGGUGUGACAACAAUGGUACUGCUGCAUUGACAACAAAUCCAGUAUAUCAUGCUAAAACCAAGCACAUAGAAUUAUAUGUACAUUUCAUAAGAGAGAAUGUGACAAAUAAACAAGUGGAAAUCAAGUAUGUGCCUAGUGAAUGGAAUAUUGCAGAUGUGCUUACAAAGCCUAUGGCUUACUGCUUUUUUAAUUACUGUAGGACAAGCUUAAUGUUGUUUCAUGACCGUUAAGCUUGAGGAGGAGUGUUAAGAUGCUUAAUCAACAGCAGUAGACCAGUGGCUGAGAUUUGUGCGACAAGGAUUGCUGAGCUGGACAAAUUAGUUAAGUUGUUGUAAUUAGUUUUAGUUUAGCCAAUAGAUGUAUUACAAUUGUACAAAAGGUUGUUAUUACUGUUGAUCAACAAUAUAAGUUUGCUACGAGCUAAAUGUAAUUCAUAUAAUUCAUAUCAAUAAAAUUUUCUCCGAUUUAGUUACUUUUCUUUCUUCUUUCUGUCACUUUCCUGCUAGCCAAACAAACUAUCAACCUAAGAUCCGUGAGUUCUAACUUUUACAAAUGUAAUAAUUACCAUGAAUUUGCAAAAACUUGCAGCAAAUAUUUGUGUCCCAAUAGGUUUACAAUUGCAACACAUAUCGAAAAACUGUAAUAGUACCCUUGAUUAUAAUUACUUGACCAUAGUCAGUGGCGAACUAUGUAUACGCCUGGCAGCCGAGGUGUCAGGAAUUUAAUUUAACAGGGGUGCCUAAGUUCAAACACUAACAUAAUUAAAAAAAUGGUCAAUAAAUAACAAAUAUUAAAAUAUUUAGGGCUAGUUUGGCAAUCUUAUAACUUUUAAAAUAAUUGUUGUUACUUGCGCUGUAAAAAUAAUAAGUUGUGAAUGGAAUUAGUUAAACGUUUGACAAAAUUUCUUCUUAAAAGUGCUUUUGUAAAUCUCAUUGUUGAACUAUUAUAAGAGUUUAAAUGAUUAAAAUGGACAUAAUAUUAAAUAAAAUAUAUUAUAUAGAUAUAAAUACAUACAUAUAAUAUUUUUUAUUAUGUCUAUUAGUAAUUGAAAACUAAAAUAAUUAUCUUUGUUUUAUUAAUUAUUUUUUAUCUCAAUAUAAUUAGUAAUAAUAAUAAUCUCUAGAUUUAAUAAUUUUAUUUCCUAAUUGAAUAAGGAUAAUUUUAGAUUUUUAUAAUAUAUGUAAGGAUAUAUAUGGAAUUUUAUUAAUUAGAAAACUUAUCCUGAAAAUUAGAUUUUGAAAGCCUACUUCUUUUUUGCUUUCCAAAAUAUGCUGUUAAUAAGAUAGAGUGAUUUUACCGAAAGUGAUUUAAAAAAAAAAAAUCUACCAAACAGUAAAAUUAAAGUUUAGCUUUUAAAAUCACUUUUAAGUCUCUCAAAAGGAAUCCCAAAUAGGCCAUUAAUUCAAUACAAUUAUAAUUGUUCUCAUGUAUUUUCAUAUGUUAAAAAUAUUGAAGAAUAACCUCAUUAUCAUUACUACAAACAUAUUUUUUUCUACGUAUACAAUAAAACUAUCAUUCAACAAUUGGUUUCCCAUAUGAUUUUGUGGAAGAUUUUUCAGAAAAUUCAUAGCUGAAAAUACCCUUUCUAAUUUAGUUGUGUUGCCUGAUAAAAUCAUUGCUAAUGUUACCAACAUAUAAAUUAAUGAAUACAACUAUCCAUUAUCUCAACCAUUUUUCUUGCUAACUCACCAGUCUCUUUUAAUCUUAAAAAUGUUGUCAAAACCCACAUUCAUAAUAUAAUCAUCAAGUUGAAUUUCAAGUGCCAUAAUGCAACAAUCUUUCUUUAUGGGUUCAAAGUGUUAAAAAGAAUAUUUAAUAUUUUACUUGUUUUUAAAUUUUAACAAGGGCAUUAUGGUAAAUCAAAUAAAAUAGGACAAAUAUUAAAAAAAUUAAAAAAUUGAAAAAGGGUUUUAGCCCCUGCUAAAAUGGCACCGCAUCUAAAGCCUAGGGUGCCUUGAGGCAACAUACCAAUAAUAAUAAUAAAGAAAGAAAUCAAGAAAAAAGACACAUAAUAAUAAGUAGUAACAUUAGCAAUGUUAUUUGUAUUUUAUGUUUUGACCCCUAUAAUUUUACAAGUUGAUUUUAUGUUACCGCCUACUGAAAUUUAUGGUUUUGGUCAUUGUGUUUGGCCCUCUCAAUUUUAGUGAUUCUAUACUGUAUGAAAUGUAAGUUAUGCAACCCAAGAGGGGGGUGAAUUGAGAUUUUAAAACUUACGCUAAAUAAUUCGCACAACAAUUUAAUGUAUUGCCUUAAUCAAAUGCAAAAACAAUAAAUUCAGUAAAGCACAAUACUAAAAGAGUAAGUACAAUAAUAAAAGAGUAAGGGAAAAGAAAGCAAACACAAAAAUUUUUACGUGGUUCGGCAAUCCCCGCUUACGUCCACGCCUCCAAGCCAACCAAACUCGAGGAUUUCACUAUCAAAGCCUCCCAAAUCCUUAAGUUCUUACAAUUAACUUCCAAUGUGUCAAUGAACCUUUACAAUCAAGAGAUUAUCUCCCCAAUCUAUUCACCCUAAGUGUUUCUCACACUUGUACACUUACAAUUUGAUGAGAAAUGAACAAUUACAACAAAAACUCUCUUUAAGAGUGGAUUUGCAAAUAAUAGCAUAAUAAUGAUUCAAUAAAUGAUGGUUUACGAAAUAGAACCUCAAUAUGUGUUAUAUGAUCUUAUUUAUGCUUACAUUAGUCUUGAAAAUGAAGAUGGAGUUAAGGUUUUAUAACUAAAGCUCGAAAACUAACCGUUAUAGGCAAAUUCCAGCGCUCAAGCGGUUAGCCGCUUGAUUUAUCCAACUAGCCGCUCCAGAACAAUGAUGUUACCAUUAAAUUUGAAUUUUACUACAGUAUCAUUGUUCAUUAAAUUACAUUUGUGACCAAAACUUUCUAUAAUUAUAUUAUAGCCUAACAUGUCAUAAAACUUUGCAAAUAAGUCUAAUUUCAGAAUUUCUAAAUAAUACAUGUCAUUCCUAAAUCUUAUUGUAAUUAUGAUAUGACCUAGUAUAUAAUAACAUUUUUAAAAAAGGUCCUUUUCAAAAUUUAAAAUAAUACCCAUAAAUUUUAAAGUUCUCAAAUCUUUUCAAUUUAGUCCAAAAUUUGAAAAUAUGAGACUUUCCUCAAGCGGUUGGCCGCUCACUCUCUGUCCAAUUUUUUAUUUCAAUUGUUUGGAUUACGUUUUGGUCCUCAAACUUUCUUAAAUUGUAAUAUGACCCAAAAUAUUUCAAAUAUUUACAAAUAAAUCUAAAUUCGAAAUUCAAAACAAUACUUAAUAAAAUAAAAGAUUGCAAAACUUUUUCAUUUUAGUCCAAAUUACUCAAAUCCACAAAAUACUUUAUCUUAUAAAUAUAAAACCUUUUAGUUUAUGAAAGGUAAUUAUUUAAAUAAACUCUUGAGUUUCUCAAAUGCUAAAUCAUAUAUCAAUUAAAUCAUACCGAUUUUACAAGAAUUUGUCACAAUAAUUUGUCCGUUGAGCUCUAAACUUUAUUCUUGAUUUUGCCGUUGUCCGUUGAGUGUCUUGAACUUGAUUCACUUGCAUAAAUAUUAUCCUUAAAAAACUAGUAAAAAUGUGAAAUACAAUAUUUAUUAAAUCACUUAACACAUGUUUGUUAUUAUCAAAAUUACAUUAUGGGUAGCCCUUUAGGCUAACACUGUAGCCUACUCAAGUAUAUAGUUUCUUCAUUAGGCCCCAAAACCAAAAUCCUAAGAGUAUCUCCAAAAAGUUCUAUUAAUUUUACUCUUCAAAUAUUUAUUUGCUUACCUAUGUGGUAAAAAGGAGAGUGAAAAAAUAUGUUAUUCUCCAAAAGACUCUUUAAAUAGAAAUAAGUUAAUAUUAUUUUAAUCAAAUAAAUAUUUUUUCAAAGGAAAAAUAAAUGGUAAUUAAAGCAUUUCUCUCUCUCUCUCUCCCCAAUAAAAAGUAAUAAAAUAUAAAUUGAAGAGAGAGAAAGUAACUCUACAAAUUAAAGAGAGAGAAUUAUUUCUUAUUUGAAAAAUCUUAAUUAGAGUAUCUUUUGAAGUCUUAAAUACUGAUGUAACUCUUCAAAUAAGUAAUAAAAUCUUAUUUGAAGAUUUUUUUGGAGAUGCUCUAACUUCACCACUAGAUUUACUUGAGUAUUCAACAAUACUCGACUUACUUGAGCGUAGGUGAUUUAGUUAUACUUAAUUGACUACUAAAACAAUUUAUUCGACUUACUCGACGAUACUUUACUUAGCUCACUCCAUGUACUAAUAUUUUACUAUUUUUCUAAGUGGUACAUUUAAUUACAAAAAUCCAUGAAAAUUUGAUAAUGAUGAAAUGCUUAAUAAAUAAGGGUAUUUGGUCGAAUUAUAACAAUGUUUGUUAAACACUGGUCUAAUAAUAAGUAGUCAUUUUCUGAUGAAAUAAAAUUAAAGCUGACAAAAUUUAACAUUACUGGUUUACUCUAUACAAAUACAACAUGAAUAAAUAUGUAUCUAUCAUGAAAAUUGACAUGAUUAUUAAAUGAAUUUGGUCUAAGUCAACCCAAUUGUUUCCCGUGUCAGGCUAGAAUUCAAUUUUUCAAUGCAUUUACUUGGUCAAUGACGUGAUUGUUAAAUAGUUAACCAAAACUAAUUCAUAUUUGCAUUAAAAUAUACUUAUAUUUUCAAUUCUAAAUUAAUUUAUAGAAUCUUAUCAUUAAAACUCAAAAUUUGGUCAUGAUUCUAGAUGAACAUAUAUUUGAUGUUCUAUUUUGUAAAAUUCUUGAUAGAUUUAAAACUUCAAUGGUUCAUACAUGUUGUAUUUGCAUCAAAUGAGUGUGUAGUAUUUGAUGUAAAUCGUGUUAGAAUUUAAAUAGGUAUUCAGUGAAUUUUUAGGUUAUAUCAUGUUAGAUGACACAACUACCUAGUUAUUAAAAGAGCGUAUCAAGUCACUAUUUUAUUUUUCGUAUCGAGUUCAAGUUUUAAUAUUUUAACAUUUUAUUUUUCGUAUCAAGUUCAAGUUUUAAUAUUUUAACACGACUAUUAAAUAAGUCGUGUUUUAACCAACAUAAAUUUAACACAAAAUUGACACAAUAUGAGUGGCUUAAUGACCUAUUUUGUUAGUUUUAUUUAAAACCCUCUAAUCUAUAAAUAAAAAAUAAAAAACGGUCCAUGGGCCUAGCCCAAAUAUAAAUUCAACAAAACCAGCUCCCGCUCAAUCACACUCUCUCGGUCGUUCCCUUCACUCUCCAAAACCCCCCAUUCCAAACAAAACCCUCAUUUUUCCCUCUUAACGAAGUCACUUUCUCGAGAACCAAACAUUCCCUUAGAUCUCCAAUUUCAUAAUGAGAGAAGAAGAAAUAGAGAAACUUCGAGGAUUGGUUCGCGACUGUGUGAGUAAGCAUUUGUACUCGUCGGCCAUUUUCUUCGCCGAUAAAAUCGCCGCUUUGACCAAUGACCCUACUGGCGUGUACAUGCAGGCUCAGGCUCUGUUCCUUGGCCGCCACUACCGCCGUCCAUUUCACCUCCUUAACGCCUCAAAAAUUGUGCUCCGUGACCUCCGAUUUCGUUACUUGGCUGGUAAGUGUCAGGUAAAGUUCUGUUUUUUGAUUGCAUUAGAAAAUUUGACUUUCAGAUUUUGGGAUUUGUGCUUUUUGCGUUUUUAGUUUUUUUUUAAUGUUAUGAAAAAGGGAAAUUUUGAAAAUUUUUACUUGAAAUUCGUGUUCUUUUUAUUUUAGAACAAAAGAAUUUCAAUGAAAAAUAUUUGGAAAUUGAAUUGCUCUAGCAAAUUUGCAUGUGUUGUGUGUUUUAAGAAAAUGAAAACUAGAUUUUGAGCAAUUAAGGAGAAAUUAUCGACUUUGAGCUGAAUGAUUUUGAUCAAUUUUUUCUUGAAUGUUUAUUUGUUUAUACAACUGGGUAGUUUUUCUUUUACUUAUUUAUUUCUGGUCUGUCCUUUGUAUAAUUAGGAGGAACUGAAGGAGUGGGACUAGUGUUUGUCGAUGCUCGGUGAUGCUAAGGUUGAUGAAGAUGGUAAUGUUUAUGACACAAAGGAUAUCAAUGUCAUGUACUUAGAUAAAGAUGGGGAAGACGGAGAAAUCAAUGUAAGUUUUUGUUUGUAAUCUCAUUUUAUCUGGCCUUUUAUUUUUUAAUUUGUUGCACAUUUGUUGUAUACUUGACCCAAUAUUUCUUUUUUCUAUUACAGAUCUCUUCAGCUAUAUGCUUUUUGAGAGGCAAAGCAUAUGAAGCCUUGGGAAAUUGUGCCCAAGCUCGGCUGUGGUUAGUUUCUUGCGAUGAAUUUACAUGAAAAUCACUCUGCUUAAUUGUAAAAUGCUUUAUGGUUAUUUUCCCUUAGUUUUUCAGUCAAAAUGAUACCAACUUAUACUGUCUAACGGUCUUCUGUUAUAGUAACUUAGGUGUAGUAAUUUAACGUACUGUUAAAGAAAGGAAAUGACUUUAUUGUUUUAAUGGGAGAAUUUUGAACAUUGUUAUAAACUUGUUUAAGUUGGGCAUAAGUAAAUUUAUCUUCAAUUUCAUUACUGAGCAGAUUUUGUUUGAAUGCAUGAAUGUUUGAUAUAUGUGUUUAAUAACCAAGGAGUUUGUUUAGAUACUACUUUAAGAAUUAUCUAUAUAUAGAUUGGGUAGUCUAGAAAACUCUCCUUGAUUAAAUCAAUGUAUAAUUUUGAUAAGACAGUUUAAAAUGUUAACAUCCCAUGUCUUCUGGAGUCCAUUUGGUGACAGAGGAAUGGUAGUAUAUGCUGGGAUGGUUUAGUUCAAUAAGGCUAUUAGUUCUGUUCUGCUUUUUCAAAGAGGUUGAUUGCCAAAUUAACAGCCACAUGAAGGAGAUUGUCUUUUUUUUUUUUUUGUAUCCUGAAUUGUUUUUGCUUCCAACCACAAUUCUGGUCUUCUAUUGGUUCACACUUCCUACUUGUAUCUCGAUGAUUUUAGCUGCAAUACCUCAUUACUAAAUUCAGCUCUAACAACAGAGGAACUUAUUUGCUUCCUCUUUAUCUUGUUCCAUUACUAACUUUCAUGUGCAGCAUUUUUAGAAGGUUAAAACUAAUAGUACAGAAAGGUGGUUUUAAAUCAAAUGUAACAAGAUUCAAUUGACAGAUCAGCUAUGCUUCACUCCAUGUGGUUACCUACACACCUGGAUAUUUGUUUUAGAGUUGUAUGCUGUCUGAAUUAGUGGCCUCAUUUUGUUAUCUGAUUGAAAGCUUGCAUGUAUUUCAGUAAGUUAGGUUCUUCCCUCAACUCUUUUUCUUUAGUAACUAUUAUGGUAUUGUUUUAUAACCUUAAUUAGCUUCUCUUUGGUUUUUCAUUUGUCAGUAUAUCUGCUCUAUUCUGUUCAAUUCCUUUUUCUCUAUUCUCUCAGUUAUGUUGAACUAAAACGCUAUAGUUCAUACAAAGGCUUACUAUAUUUUUUCAUAAUGAUUUAAGGUACAAAGCAGCAAUCAUAGCUGAUCCUUUGUGCUAUGAGGUAUGCAUGACACGCUAUCAAUGUUUUUUUUUUCCUUUCCCCCUAGGGAUAAGCUGGUGGGGGGAGCGUCCCGUUCUCAAAAACUCCUUACCUUGAAUUUUGUGGCUGCAUAAAUUUCAGACAUGACUUUCUAUGCAAAAUAUUACAACCUGUGGAAACUGUUGCCUUCUCAAGGAUUAGAAAAUUACUCAAAAGAGGGCUAGAUUUUUUGAGCUAGGCUUGUCCCUUUUUUUUUUUUGUAAAUAGAAUUUUAAUCCUUUUCUUUAAUUUGACCUCUGCUGAUCACAUAGAUGUCUCAUUUGGAUGUUCCUUAUAAGAUAUAUCGAUUCUCAUUCUUUAUGAUUUUUUUUAUGGCUGUACCUUGAUUUCUUUUUCAGGCUUUGGAAUGCCUUAUAGAAAAUCACAUGCUAACAUGCGAGCAAGGUAAUGAUGUAGUUUUUUCCUAGUCAUCUGUUUCUUUCAUCUGAGAGAAGUGGAUUAUGAAAAUGUUUACAUUUUGAAUUAUAGUUCUUACAUAAGUGUGCACGCGCACACACACACACACACACAUAAAUGAAAUUAUAGUCACACACAAACAUGUUGAUAUAAAUUUAAUUUUGGUAAAAAUUUCUUUGGCUGUGUUCAACUAGCAUUGGAUUUUUCAUGGAACAUGUUAUAAUAGGCUAAUACUUUAAAUUAUUGGAUUUGCUGUUGAAUUUCAGAAACAAGUUUACUUUCAUCAUUGGAAUUUGGUUUUGAAGAUGGAUGGCUUUGUUCAUUCUACUCAUGUUUGAUAAAAAAGGUGAACUGUGUGCAAAUUCAUAUGCUCUUCCAAAUGUAACCAUUUCAAUAAUAAGUUUCCCAUAUGUUUUCGUGAUGUUGAUUCUUUUUGCUGUGUUCGAGUGCAGUGAACAAUUUCUUUCCUUCUUUCCUGUCUCCCUUUGUUUUAUGCAGUAUGACAAAGAGAAUGUUGUAGAAGCCAAAUUCAGAGAAAUUGAAAAAGAAAGAUGUGACAGUGUCCAUUCGAGCCCAUCCUUCUCACACAGUCUGAAAAACAAUACUGAUCUUUUAGAGGGCUUAUUAUUCUGUCAACCAGCGAUACUAGAUUUCAGAAAUAUUCUCUUCACACAGUGUUCUUGGCUCUGUAAUUGUCAAAAAGUUGAAAAGCCUUUUUUCUGUCUGAUGCAUUGUAUAUAUGCAGUUUAAUAUUUGUGGACUUCAAUAAUAUUGAUUACCUUGAUUAUAAUAUUUUCAAUUGUAUGGUUUUUGGGUUAGGGAAGAUUUUUGUCUUUUUCUUUUUUUGGCUUGAUUCUUCUUCUUUAUUAUUAUUAUUGUUACUAUUUCCCUUUCACAAGGAAAAAAUUGGAACUUGCUCCACCUCGCAAAAGUUUUAGAGCGCAUUUAAUUCUCGAAUUGGAGAAUUGGAAUGGAGAAUGGGAAUGAUUGAUUGUGUUUACUUGCUAAAAACAUGAAGAAAUGAGGAUUGAUUUUGGGUGGAGCCCACAAGUUUGGAAAUGAGGUACUGGAAUCCCAUUGCCAUGAGAGAGGUGGGAAUGAAAAUGGGAAAAUUAACACUUUUAUUCUUAAAGAAAAUUAAAUAUUUUUUUUAUCUUAUAUAAAUAAAUAAUUAAUAAUAAUAGUAGUAGUAGUAGUAAUAGUUAUAAUAAUAAUAAAAAAAAUUUAAUGAUAACAUUAGUAGUAGUAAUAAUAAUAAUAAUAAUAAAUAUUUCUUUUUUACCUUAUGUAAAUAAAUAACUAAUAAUAAUAGUAAUAGUAGUAAUAAUAAUAAUAACAAAAUUUAAUGAUAACAAUAGUAGUAGUAUUAAUAAUAAUAAUAAUAAUAAUAAUGAAAAUUAUAGUAUUACGCUCAAUAUUAUAAUAAACAUGUAUAUAUUUAUUUAUUUUGUUAGUGAAAUAUAUAUAAUUUUAACUAAGGGCAUCAUGAUAACUUUCAAUAAUCUAAUCUGACUACGAAAUAAAAUAAAUGCAUAAAUGAAAUUCAGUUAAUUCGAUAGUAAACAAUUUAUUAUGAUUCUCAUUUCUUAUUUUGGUUCCAAAUUCCAUCCCAUUUCAACUCCUGCUCAUUUUGAUUCAUGGGAAGUAAACGCAUUGUUUUUUUUUUUUGAAGAAAGGAAGAAAUUCAUUAAACAGACAAAUGAGAAAAUAACCAGGGUGGUGGAACAUGUCUCCAUUCACCCGGACCUGACAAAGAACACCCCACCUUAGCCACAAUAUGGGCAGCGGUAUUCAUAGAUCUCCUUACAAAAGAGAAAGUCACCUCUUUUAAGCUAUGAGCCAAGGCUCUACAAUCCGAAAUAAUAAGGCCAAAUCCAUUCUGAUAGUCCUUGGAAUCAAUCAACACAUUAAACACUUGUAAACAAUCAGUCUCAAUAAUAAUAGGAAAAAACUGGGUGUUCUUAAGCCAACUCAAGACCUCCCGCACACCCAAAGCCUCUGCCUCACGGGCUGCAAAAUUGCCAACCAAAGAUCCACAUUUUGCAGCAAGAAAUUGACCCUCAGAAGACCGGAUAACUGUGCCGUAGCUAAUCCUAGUAGUAGCACGGGAAGUGGCAGCGUCCACAUUGCAUUUAAACCAUCCAACGCGAGGGCGUUUCCAACAAAAAGAGCCAAGAGUUAAAUCUGCUGGCAUCUGAGUAAAGUGACUCAGUUGACGAGCCCUUUGCCACUGGAACAAGUCUUGACCAGCUUUAUUGAGCACUUGAGGCACUCUGCCUACUACAUGCCUCCAAACUUUAGUAUUCCGAUUUUGCCAAAGACCCCAACAAACCAUUGCAGCAAGACAACUAUCCUCAAUACUACACCGAGUAAAUAGAGCAUCCAACCAAGCUCCAAAAGUAACAAAAUUUCCAGCAAAACCAACCAAAGAAACCAUCCAGCAUUGUUUGGCAAAAGGACAAUCAACUAAGACAUGAUAAAUUGUCUCAAGAGAUGCAUUACAGAUAGAACAAUAAGGGUGUACCUCAACUCGACGACUGAGAAGGUUAUCAGCAGUGGGAACCACAUUUGCCACAGCUCUCCAAAGAAAAUUCUUGAUUUUGGCGGGCACAGCCAGCUUCCAAAUCUUAUUCCAAACUCCACUGUCAGGCGGUUCCGAUAUAAUAUCCAUCCACUUAUAACAACUCCGAACAGUGUAAACUCCUUUGCGUCGGGGAACCAAUACCAAGUAUCACAAUCCCUCCGAGAGCUAAGAGGAAUUUGGAGAAUGCAGUCUCGAUCUCUUCUAUUACACACAUCCUUUACAAGGUCAUAAUCCCACAUUCGGUGAUCAGGAAUCAUAAGACUACUCACAGGAGCUGAUGCUAACGUCGCUGGAAGAUUAGUUGUAAUAAAGCCACUCUCCUGAUCAGGCAACCAAGGAACCGAGCCAAUAGUAAUGCUCUGUCCACUUCCAACUUGGACACGACUCCCUUGGAUUAAAAUCUUCUGAGCAGCCAAAAUCGAUCUCCAUACAAAACUCGGAUUACUUCCCAUCUUUGCUUGAGUGAAGUCUGCAUUAGGAUAAUACCGUGCUUUAAACAAUCUGCCCACCAGCGAAGAUGGAUUUGUAAUUAACCUCCAACCUUGUCUCCCUAGCAUAGCAACAUUAAAGUUGUGGAUGUGUUUAAAUCCAAUACCACCAUAAGAUUUGGGCUUACAAAGUCUGCCCCACUGCAUCCACCUAAUUCCACCACUACCAUAUCUUUUACUGCCCCACCAAAAAGAAUUCAGCAUCCUUUCAAGUUCCCGGCAUAGGUCGAGAGGGAGGAGGUAAACUUGCAUAGCAUAAUUAGGUAUGGCAUGUGCCACAGUUUUAAUUAAGAUUUCCUUUCCAGCUCUAGAGAGGAGUUUCUGACCACCCUUGAAUUCUCUGCCAAACUUUAUCCUUUAUAUAUCGGAAAAUGUCUAUCUUCUUGCGCCCAACAUAAGAUGGUAAUCCAAGAUAGGUACCAUGGUCUGUAGUAGCUACAACUCCAAGCUGUUGACAUAUAUUAUGAACAGUAUCGUCUGCCACAUUCCUACUGAAAGAAAUUAAGGAUUUAUUGUAGUUCACUUGCUGCCCCGAAGCUGCUUCAUAAGUUGCCAAAACCUUUUUUACCAGAUGAGCCUCCUGGACAGUAGCUUUAAAGAAAAGAAAACAGUCAUUAGCAAAAAAGAGGUGAGAAACCAAAGGAGCACCUCUAGCAACUCGAGCCCCAUGGAUCAUCCCGGCCCUCUCAUAGUGAUUUAUCAGCAAACUCAGCCCCUCUGCACAGAUGAUAAACAGAUAUGGCUAUAGCAGAUCUCCUUGUCUAAGACCUCGACUUGGCACGAUAGGGCCUAGCUCCAACUCUCCCCGGGUAAUCUUAUAGGUAACUGUAGUGACACAGAGCAUAAUAAGAUUCACCCAAACAACAUCAAAGCCCAACUUCAGUAAAAUCGAUUUAAAAAACCCCCACUCAAUCCGAUCAUAAGCCUUGGACAUGUCAAUCUUUAAUGCAGCAAUCCCCUCUUUUCCUUGACGUUUCCGUUUGAGAAAGUGCAUUAUCUCAGCCGAGAUUAAAACAUUAUCAGCAAUAGCUCUGCCUGGAACAAAAGCACUCUGUGAAUCGGAAAUUAUCGAUCCUAAAACCAUCUUCAUACGGUUAGCAAGCAUCUUGGCUACAAUUUUAUAGAGGACAUUGCAUAAGGAAAUUGGUCGAACAUCAGUUAAAAAUUCUAUCUGUUUCUUCUUAGGAAUAAAGACAAUAGAAGUCUCAUUAAGACCCUCAGGGAAAGAACAAUCCCGAAUGAACCUAAGACACGCCUCAGUAAUAUCAGUACCCACUACAUUCCAAAACUUUUGGUAAAAUGUUGGGUUCAUUCCAUCAGGACCAGGGGAUUUAUCAGGGUGCAUAUCAAACACGGCAGAUUGAACAUCUUCAGCAGUAAAAGGUUCCAAAAGAGAUUGAUUUUGUGCAUCAGUAAUUUUAGAUUCCACACAAUUAAGCACAUCAUCAUAGGAACAAAUCCUAGCAGUAAAUAAAGUUGUGAAAUACUCACAAAUUAAAUUAUUUACAUCCGCAGGAUUAGUACACCAUUGCCCCUCUUGAUUGCGAAGCUUGAUUAAGGUAUUCUUACGCUUCCUUGACGAGGCCAUGGCAUGGAAAUACUUUGAAUUUGAAUCCCCAUCUCGAAGCCAAAACGUCUUCGAACGCUGCUUCCAAUAAACUUCGUGGCUAUGCAAGAGCUCAUUGUAUCUAUCUCGAGCUUCAAUAAAAUCAGCCAAGCUAACUGCAUCACGCUUGCCCCUAAGCUGAUGCAUUUUAUCCUUACACUCCUUAAUUUGAGCUUUGAAAUCCCGAGUACGAUGAUAGCCCCACCGAACUAAAUCUAAGCUGCAAGCCGAGAUUUUACUGAGAAUAGGAAGCCCACCCACCAUAGACCAACUCUUCUCAACAAUAUUAGCACAAUCCGGAUCUCUAAGCCAUGAGUUCUCAAAACGAAACUUCAUAGACCGUCGUCUAAAACCACAGGAGACACAUCCAAAAAGAUAGGGAGGUGAUCUGAACUCGAAGCUUCAAGACACAGAACCUUCACUUGCGGGAAAAGAUUCACCCAAGCGGAAUUUGCAAGGGCUCGAUCUAACUGUUCUUCAACCCAAGCUUCAGUGCCCCGUGACCUUUCCCACGUGAACUGGUAACCAUCCAUACCCAAAUCAAUGAGGCCCGAAUCAGAAAGUGCAGCCCUGAAACCAUUUAUCUUCCACUGCGGGUGAGCAUGAGAGCCGCGCUUCUCUGAGAAAUUGAGGAGGUCAUUGAAGUCCCCUAGACAGACCCAUGGUAACGACGAAGUAGAAGCUAAAUACCGGAGAAGAUUCCAAGAAUCAUGUCUGCGAAAUGACUCGGGAAACCCUUAGAAACCAGUAAGUCUCCAGUUGCCCCUUUCACUAUCCUCAACUGCAAAGUCUAUAAAAUUACACCCAAACUUCAAUAAAUUAACUUUAAAACUAUUUUUCCAGAACAUAGCAAGCCCACCACUACGGCCCUUUCUAUCCACCACAAACAGACCCUCAAAACCUAAUCUAAUUUUGAUGCUUUCUAACUUAUCUCUGUAACACAAUGUCUCAAUCAAGAAAAUAAAAUCCGGUCUUUUAUUCUGGACCAACUCAACAAGAGCUUGAACUGACCGUGGUUGGCCCAACCUACGACAGUUCCAACUUAAACAACUCAUUGGUGUCGGUGGGCCUAGAAUACAGGGCCCACCGCUGGUCCAUUUUUUGAGUGCUCACUCAUCUCUAUUAUCUCAGUAUCAGCAUGCUCUUCUAAAUUCAAGUUGAUAGGAGGCCCACCUCCUGAUCUUCUCCGUUUUGCAUCAACUAAAAUUAAUGCAGAAUUAUACUCCACAUCAGUUUCCUUCACAAGCAUCGAAUGAUUAGCUAUUAGUUCCUCGUCAAUUCCAUCUACACGCAUUGACUUACAGCCUGUUACAAGAAUAUUAGAAUUCAUUGUGACUUGAGCACUUUCCUUCCCAAGGUCUCCGUGACCAGCUGUCCCAUGAUUCACGCCAUUUUCCAAGUCAACUGCCAUUUCAACAGCGUAAGUUGAGGGAUUACCAAAUUUCACCUCAUCUAUCUCUAACACUCCCGAUCUGAGCCAACGGUCACCGGUGUUCAUCGAGCUUCUCCGAUUGGGAGCCUUCAUCCAAGGGCCAUAAGGUUUAAUAACAGGGGUAGCAUCAGUUUCAUAUAUUGAGGGGCAAUUUUUAUCAGUGUGUCCUAAAAUGCCACAGAUAAAACAAAAAUUGUGCAGUCGCUCAUACUUGAAGUCUACCUAUAACCACUCCCCACCCGCUCUUUUGAGGCGCAUUCGUCGUUUAAGGGGUUUCCUAACAUCAAUCGAAACCCUCAGCCUCAUGUAAUUACGCCAUACUCCUGUAAGAUUAUGUUCAUCAGAUGCCAAAAAUUCACCAAUAAAGUUGCCAAUACUCUGUAAUAUUUUCUCGGACUGAAAUCCAAGAGGCAGAUUAUACACUUGAACCCAGAAAUAUGUGUGGAAAAGAGGGAUAUUCUGCGGUUGUUCGUCUACCCCAAGUCUCCGAAUUAUAAGAAUAUGCUGAUCAAAGGUCCAGGGACCAGAUUCAAGAACCCUCCUCAUAUCAAUUUCAUGAAAGAACUGGAAGAGAAAAAGCGUGGGAGAUAAAUCCUUAAUACAAACACCACGCCCAGGACGCCAUAACGAAGCCAUAGUAUUUUUCAUGGCAAUAAAGUUCACUACUUUGUCCGUGAGAAAUCUUCCCACAAGGCAGAAUUUGGAAUCAAGACGGAUAUCCCCAGGAUUAUCAAUCUCCUCUCCAGCCACAAUCAAACCACCCUCCUCCUCCUCGUCAAGUUGCAGGCGCGCACAGAUGUUGCUCAUCUCAGAUUUCAAAGUAUUACUUGUGUUGGCCAUGGAUUAAAGAAAGAAAAGGAUUGAAUCCGUAGACAGUAGAGAAAUAACAAAAGGAGACCAGAAUUUACUUGUCAAAAGACAAGACACACACACUUGUCAAAAGACAAGACUCAUUUUUUAACAAUACUCAAAACAAGUAAACGCAUUGUUAAUUUGUCGCUGUUGUUAAAUAUAUCCUUUAUGGAUUUCAUAUGAGGUUUGAAAUGUUAUUUAGUGAAAUUUAAUUUCUUGUUGGCUCUAUUCACCACAGCAAGGCUACAAAUCUUGAUGGGACAUUCGCCCCCGCUUGGAUAGGUUAUGGAAAUGCUUUUGCUGCUCAAGAAGAGGGUGACCAAGCAAUGUUGGGUUAUCGCACUGCUGCUUGUUUGUUUCCAGGGUAAUUUUUAGCAUUAUUUAUUCAUUUCUAUACCUUCCUGAUUUUCUUUUCCUUGGAUCAGCAUAUUCAUGCAAUGAGGACAAGGACAAAGCCACUAACUUGCUUUUGAGCAAGUUUCAGAACACUUUUAGAAUUUCAUUUUUGGCUUUUUUUUUUUACUUUCUUGGUCUCUGAAAGAUAUCUUAAGGGUAGGGUUUGGUUGAUUUUGCUCAUCUUGAUAUUAUUCAAUUCUUGUUUAAUUUGAAGAACAGUGUGCUUUAGGUGUAUAAUCAUGUGGGUAAAAAAUUUUUUUGGUCCCUCAAGUUUCUAUUAGGUUUCAUGUAAUCCAUGAAAUUUCUGUUGCUUCAGCUUAAUCUGUUUCAAGUGCGCUACCACUAAAAAAAUUGGGUUUCAUGGGUUAUCAACCAAGAUUUUUUUUUCUCCUUUGAUUUAAUAUUAAUAAACUGUUUUACCAAUAUAAACUUUUGAUGAAUGCUUUGCAUUUGAUUUCCAUAUUUCUUCCUGAGAAAUGUUGUAAGUUGAUUAAACAUAGUCUUAAAUCAACCCAAGGCAUUGUUGUAAUGUCUUUCUAUUGUGAUAAUAAACCACAAUGUCAUAGUAGUUUUAUGGUCGUAAAGAUCAAUGAAUUUCAUUGUUUAUUGUUUAGUGAUGGUAUGCAUUGUGUUGUGGGAGUACUCUUAUCACUAUGAAUUGUCUUUUUACAGGUUGAAUCUUGAUGGUCUCUUAUUCCAGGUGCCAUUUACCAACUUUGUAUAUUGGAAUGGAGUACAUGCGAACUCACAGCUUUAAGCUUGCCGAACAGGUGUAUUACUUUCUUCUAAAUAUAGGCUGCCUUUCAUUUUUCUCUUUAGAUUUCAAUGAGAACUCUUAAGAGGUUGUUUGUUUGCAAUAUGAAGUCUGAUUGUUGGAUAUUCAGAUGUUGGUCUAUACGAUUUGCUAGUUGAUGUUGUCUUGGGGGUUUCAUUUUCCUCUUUGGAUUUAAUGUGAAUACGACUUCUUUCCUCUUUGUUUAAUUGUGACAACUUCUAAUAGAUGCUAAUCACAAUCUUUAUUCAUGAUUCUGAGACCUGUGUAAUUAGAAUUUUGGUCAUAUCGUCCAUUUUCCUUUGUUGUCAAAAUAAUGUCUUCUUUACCCAAAUCUCUUAGUCAUAAUUCUUUGAAUAUAUUGUUGAAUUUCUGAUUAGCUGCCCUUUCUCCAGUUUUUCAUGCAGGCAAAGACCAUAUGCCCAUCAGAUCCACUUGUAUAUAAUGAACUUGGUGUUGUUGCUUACCACAUGAAGGAUGUUUGGUUCACUUGAGUUGCUGUUUUCUGUUGAUCCGUUUACCUUAUUAGUGUUUCAUUUUUAAUAAUAUUAUUACUUAAGUAUAUGAAAUUCUAGUUGAUUUAAACUUAGGUCUUGUUUGGUGUUGAGGUGUUGUAUCUUUUAAACUACAAGUGUUGUGGAAAAAAGCUGCAACUAUUAAAUAAAAGUUAAUAGCUUGUAGUAAAUAUAAUUUUUAAAUAAUAAUUUUGACAAAAUUAGUAAAGAUAUAAUAAAGUUUUCAUCAUACAAGUGUAAAAUCAAAUCAAGUUAACUUUCAAACUACAACAGCUGGUGCUUACCAAAUACUUUAGUGCUUUAGUUUUUAAGCUAUAGUUGUCCAAUUCAAUCCCAAACGGUGCUUUUCAGGAAUUGUGCUCUUUUUAUUGUUAUAUGUUAUGGCUUUUGUAUGAGUUCCCAAUCAUCAGUUUGACCAGCAAUUAUUUGAAAUGUGUGGUGGUUUGAAAAGACCUUGGCGCACAUUCCGUCCUCUUUAAGUGAAAUGUGGAAACCAACCGUGGUGAAUCUUGCACAUGCUUACAGAAAGUUAAAGUAUGUUUAAAUUUAUUGGAAUAGGUUGUCUCACUUGCAUUUUCUUGUUCUAUUGCCUACUCAAGAUAUUUAUCCUUUAUUUUAUUGUGUUUUUGUUGAAUUUUACAUGAAAUAUCAUUCAGAUAUCUAGAUUUGUUUUUUUUUUUUUGGCUAAAUUUUCAAGUAGAGGAUCAUCUUUAUCUUGAUAAAUGCAUUUUAUUUUAGGGAUUCCAGCAUAGGGUAAUAAUGUAAGAUUUUUCAGUUUGCAUCGUCUGAGAUUGUGAGCAGCAUGAAGAUAUAAGAAAGAAGUAUAACCUUCCUUAUACCGUCAUGGCUGCUUAUGAUCAGCUUUGCCCAGUAAGCUCGAGAGACUACUAGGAGCCGUAGAAGUUGUCUGUAGCACUUCCUAAAAGGACUUGAUGCAAAUAGUUUAAAUAAGGAUAUGCCGGAUUAUGGAUUGGUCUACUCUCUACUGGCUACUUCAUAUGCUACCCGUUUAUAUAUUUUUCUCUUUAUGGAAGAGUACUUUUUUUUUCAUGUUUUUGCUUUUUUCCUUCUUAGUAGGCGGUGGAUUUAGGUUUAUUUCUAGUAUUGCUAAUCUAUAAACAUACAUUUGACUUAUUGUUUAUUGAACCUGAUUCUAGAAUCUAUCAUGUUUCAGGAUAUAUCACGAGGCAAUAUCCAGUUACGAGCGAGCGCUGACGUUGUCGAAUAGAAGUUUGAGCACAAUAUAA
rnacentral:lncRNA from 1 species